AUGUCCGGUCCGAUUGCUCGUGUUAGCUUCUCCGACAUGCCACUUCUUGCUUCCCUUGACUUUUCCACAAACUCCCUGACUGGGUGGCUCCCGACUAGCCUCGCCGGCUGUGGUGAGCUCAAGUCGCUCAACCUUGCCAACAAUAUAUUGGUCGGCACCAUCCCGUCGUGGAUUGGUGAGUUUGACAACCUUUGGUACUUGAAUCUCUCAAAUAAUUCAUUUGUUGGCGAGGUACCCAAGAGUUUGUUACGGCUCACUGGCCUCGCCGCCACGGGUCGUUCAUUGGGUAUGGUUUUCACUAACAUGCCCUCUUUCGUAAAUUACGAAAGAAGAGCACUCGAUGAACAACCAAAUACCAUAACUGGGACCAACAACACAGUGAGAUCUGGGCGCAACAACACCAUGUCUGAAAACGACAACAUUGUCAUGUCCGGAGACAGCAACACUGUGUCCGGGAGCUUCAACACCCUUGUAUGUGGGGACAACAAUGUUCUAACUGGUGAUCACCAUGUCGUAUCUAGGAGCAACCAUAUUGUAACUAACAGCUACAAUAAAGUAUCUGGGUGCACCAAUAAUGUAUCCGGCAGCCACCAUACCGUAUCCGGUAGCAACAAUGCCGUAUCUGGGAGCAACAAUACGGUAUCUGGGAGCAAUCAUGUCGUAUCCGGGAGCAACAAAAUCGUAACUGACGAUUAAUGAUCUGUCAGUGGAUUGAUUCCAUCCUCGAGAACGAGAUCCCGGAGCACAUCAGAGACUCGUGAGAAGAAGUUCUUCACCCAGAACCGAAAACCUAGGUACAUGGACCCCCAUAUCUUGUUCCAAGCUGGGAGGGCACCAUAAAGACCUUUUGUAUCUUUUACUGUUUUUAGCAUAUUUAAAUUUCCGCAACUAUAUACAUCCGUAUAUAGUCCAUGCGGAAAUUUCUAAAAGGGCUUAUAUUUAGAAACGGAGGAAGUUGUAUGUAUUUCCGUGCUUGCAAUAUUAGUGUUAACUUCCAGCCUACAAUGAGAAUUAUAUCAAAUGAUGCACUCGUCGUUUUUUGAUGAAUGUCUUUGUUACAGCUUCUGGUUAUUGUUAUUAGAUGUGUGACUCCUGUUGAAUGAUCCCUUACUUGAUAGUUUCGAAUUGGCCGCUAUUCAACACCAUUAGUGCUAAUUGUCAACAACAGCUUAUUCUUUGCCGAUAGAUACAAAUUGUGAGGUGGGGAAGUGGGUACAGACCGAAGUUGGGUAGGAAGCUGUUGUUGCUAGGUUACGACGAGGCUGUGGCAGUGCAUUGUUCAUAUACAGAUGGGUUGGACGUUAGCAUGUACCCACUUGCAUGAGCUGCACUUGACCUGACUUGGACAGGUUUUGGGAGAGAUGGAUUGCAGCACCCGAGCUCCACUGCUCUCUAUAUUUAAACAUUUUAAAAUUUGUAUUUUUGAAAUUUCAAAAAAAAUGUGAAUUUUUCGCAGGGAUACAUAUACACAUUCCGAAUACAGAAAAAAAAAUUCAGCUUCCGAAUACAAUUUUUUUGCAGGGAUACAUAUACACAUUCCGAAUACAAAUUUUUCGCAAGUUCCUGUAGAAAUCUCGUUUUGUUUUGGGCUACAGAAAAAGAUAAUUUCUGACACUAUAUAGGAGAAAAGGUGUGCCAUUUUCUGUCAGAAAUUUAUCUUUUUUGUAUUUCCCAAAAUAAAAAGUAUUUCUUUUUCAGCUUUUUACCAGGCCUUAGGAAUGUGUGUAUCUAUUCACGUAUUUGAUAUAAGAUUCUUUAAGCAACGAAACUGUGUUUUUCAAAAAUUUCAAAUACCAGGAGCCCUGGAGCCCGGUAGUUGCAGGCACUUUUUGAGGCUUGGGAAGGUCUCUCUCUGUCUCUCUCUCUCUCACACGCACGCACGCACGCGCACGCACGCGCACACGCGCACACGCGCACACAUGUAGUCAUAGGUGUGGCGAUGCAUGGCUUUGACUGGCUGCAGUGAAUUGUUGGUUUUGUUUUGUCCUUUUUCUUCUUCCUCCUCCUUAUUUUCAUCCUCUUGUUCCACGUACAUGCAUGCUCCUCCUCCUCGUGCAUUAUCUCUUUGUCUGUGACAUGCAUCCAUGUAUGGAUUUUUUUUCUCCUACGGUAAAAUUUCUCCCAUGAGGGCAAUUCUCGUUGUUUUUAUUCCUUUCCUUCACUUGCAUGAGCCCCCUGCCGGAUAUACAUCAAUACAUGCAUGCAGCACUUGCAUUAGCAGCCCUACGCGUUUGAGACGUGCUCUGUAAGAAAGUAAGCUGUUUUUGGGCUAGCUACAGUCAUUUCACGCUGUUUUUGUCGGUAAGUAAUUUUCCAGCUUGAAAAAGGUAUUUGGUCUGAAAAACCUGGAAACUUGCAUGAAAUAAAAAUACAAACUUGCAUCGAAAACUACAGAUUGUACAAAAAUAGGCUGGAAUCAUCGUAAUAGUUGGAGUUGCAAGAACUCAUCUACAAUACGAAACUAUCAAUCAACCAUGCAUACAAAAAGCGCAGAUGGUUUUUUUUACCUUUGUUGAUAUUUCAUCGAACACCUAGUGUGCGAGGAGGAGAAAUCCGUCCGGCGAGCCAUCAGUGGCUUGCGGCUGUCGGGAGGGGGUGGACAACGGCUACUGGAAGUGCUCCCUCGACAUGCAUACGGCGGUUAUGCAUCCGGAACUCGGAGACGUAGCCGUUGUCGCCUAAAUUAAAUGCCGCCGACUCUCUGCUCGGCCGUGGCGGUGGGGCGACCGCUGUGGAGCUCCGGCGGCCGCUAGGCCAUAAUGUAGGGGCACAACUGACUGGCCAUGGCGACUACAAUGGUGAAUCGAUGUGGCGGCCACGACGCGGGCGCAGGCCAAAUCGGGGCGGGCGGAGGAGCUCCGUUGUGCAAGGCGAUCAGCGGUGCGUCUUUCUUUUGGCUUAUUUGUGCUGCGGCCAAGCGAGCUCGAUGUAUCGGGUAUUUGCUUUAUAAUAUAAAGUAGGGGACCCUUUAUCGUAUAAGCAGUGCGUCUGAUGUGCGGAGCAUGCGAAGCCACGAGACUCAGCGUACAUAUGUACGCUGUGACACCAAAAUGCAAUAACAAAUGAUACAAAGCCUCAUUAUUAACUGCAUAUUUUCUAAUCAUUCUAAUCUUCAAGCGCAUUGCAUCCAUCUUGAUCUUGUGAUCAUCGACGACAUCAGCAACAAACAACUCCAGUUUCAUCUUCUCUUCUUCAAUUCUUUUCAAUUUUUUUUCAAAUACUCAUUUUCUUUUUCAACUAAAUUUAACUUCUCAACAAGAGGGUCGGUUGCAAUUUCCGCUUCACAUACCUCCUAAAUAAAAAUAUCUAUGUCAACUUGAUGGGAAGAAUUGUCAUAAACAUGAAAUGCAACAAAUAGUUAUCAAAGAGAAUAUACCACAUCCAAAUCAUAAACCGGACAAGGGCUGACGGAUAUCAAAUCCAUGCCACUAUGUAUAAUAAACAAAGUACGUGUAAGAAAAUUAUACAAGUAACUAUCUAAAUCUCAUAGACAUGAUUUUUUUUAUAAAAAGGAUAAGAAUAAGAGGCUCACCAAGGUGGUGAUGACGACAGGACGGUACGGGCGAUGGACGGUGGUUAGGACGGGGACGGGAUGGCACUAAGUAAACCACACCUACAUAUGCAAAUUAAGAAGUUAAUUUGAGCUCAAAUUGCAUAUAAAUCAAAUAAACUACCACAUAUAAUUACUCCCAAACUAAAACCCAAAAAUCACUAUACUUAUAGAGCAUUGCAAGAGCUAAUCUAGAAAUGAGAGAUGAAAGAACAAAGUUGCUGACGGUGUCCUGGACUAGGGGUACUCAUCACAUCGUCUCGCGACCAGGUGGAUCUGGCCGAGGACCCCUGUUGGGGAUAUGAUUACUGAGUUAAACCGCCCAGGAAGGGGCCGGAUUAACUCACAAGGAGUCCUGUGCAAGAGCCCAUGAAGAUGAAGGCUAUGGCGCUUUAACCAUGAAGACAUAGAGGCCCAGAGCCCGAUGGCGGAUUAGGGCCCAUAAUGGUAAACCGCCAUAGAUGUGUAACUUGUGUUGUAAGUCAGGGAAAGGAGAAACCGAGUCGGACACUUGUAUGAGCCGAACUCGGGAUCUUGUAAACCGGCCGGGCGUCAACCUGUGUAUAUAAAGGGACGACCCGGCGGCGGUUCAGGGACAAGAAACAACAACUCGAAAGCCAGACAUAUCGUGUUUGCCCCCUGGUAAUCGAGACCACAUCAAAAACACCCCAACUGGAUCGUAGGCUUUUACCUUCACCGCAAGGGGCCGAACCAGGACAAACUCCCUGUGUCCUUUGUCCGGUUUAACCCUUCUAAGCUAACCCGUUGCGAUGGCUCCACGACUAAGUCCUUUCACUAGGACAUCUGACGUGAUAAUUCCACGACAGUUAGCGCCCACCGUGGGGCGAUCGCACGAUGGUUUCAAGUUCUUAGAGGGCAAGUUCGAAGGGCUCAAGGGAUACGCAGUGGUCCGGAUGACUAAGAGUCGUCGCGGCAAGCUCUACAUCAAUGACACAAGCUGGGGCCCCGACGCCGGCUCAGUCGAGUACGGAUACCGGGUCCCCUUCGGAGGAAUUCACGUCUUCAUCGGCAAGAUCGGCGAACCGGGCCCUGAGUCGGACAUCUGCACCGACCACGUCGAGAUGGCUCAGCGUGCGAGCCCUACCCGGGGUCAGCCCGCCAUGAAGCAUGCGUUCGUAGGAUGUAUCCAUAGGAUCGAAUCUGAACCGGUGUCCGAUGGUGAGACGGCCGUUUACUCCGAUGGUGAGUCAUCUACCGGUGAGACUGAGUCUUUGUAUCAAGUUCAGGAUGGCCUGUUUGGGGGGUAUUCCGAUGGCAGCAAUAUUCCGGACCCCUUUGAACCGCCAAACCGGGUUGCAAUCUUCAUGGCUGGCACGCAACUCGUCCGACAAUCUUCAACAGCAGCGGCGAUAAUCUCCGGAUCAACAGCUGGGGCAGGUGGCCCUGGGCGCCCGUCGGUUCAAGUCUUGUCUGGAUUAUUGGACGCUUUGGCAACAUUAUUGACUGCUGAAGUUAGUACGGAAAAUCGGGAGGAGCAUAAUACGGAAGUCAGAAAGUUGCGAGAGCAGAUAGCUCAGGCUAAUUAAGGAGGACAUGGCUGCUGAGGAGACCAGGAUGGUCGAGGAACGAAUCGCUUUAAAUGCUAAGGCACAGCGAGUUCAUGCAGAGGCUUACCGGCUUAUGUUGCAUCAGAACGCUUCAAACGAAGUGAUGAUGAGAAGGCACCAAUCUCGUCUGCCGUCGGUUUACGAAGGAAGAAAUCUUUUUAACACGCCAGGAGUGGGCACUAGCAACCCGCCCGUGGUGAACCCGAUUGAAGCACCAAGUACAGGAGCGCUAGAUCAGCUGGGCAUGAUGGGUCCGCCUCAGCAGAAUCAUGAUCCUCCGCAAUACGCACCAGCUCCACCGGGUCAUUUUGCCACCCCUUUGGACAACAUGAUUGCUGCAGCGUCAAGAUUGGCUGCUAUUCCAAUGGAAGGUGACUCCCUGAUACGUCUCCAACGUAUCUAUAAUUUUUGAUUGUUCCAUGCUAUAAUAUUACCUGUUUUGGAAGCUUAUGGGCUUUAUUCUACAUAUUUAUAUCAUUUUUGGGACUAACCUACUAACCGGAGGCCCAGCCGAUAUUGUUGUUUUUUUUGCCUAUUUCAGUAUUUUGAAGAAAAGAAAUAUCAAACGGAGUCCAAACGAAAUGAAACCUUCGGGAGUGUUAUUUUUGGAACAAAUCAGAUCCGGAGAGACUGGAGUGCAAGUCAAGAAAGCUCCGAGGGCCCCACGAGAUAGGAGGGCGCGACCCCCUAUAGGGCGUGCCACCUGUCUCGUGGGCCCCUCGGGCGUCCACUGAUGUACUUCUUCCUCCUAUAUAUACCUACGGACCCCGAAAACAUCCAGGGGCACCACGAAACACAAUUUCCACCACCGUAACCUUCUGUAUCCGCGAGAUCCCAUCUUGGAGCCUUCGCCGGCACUCUGCCGGAGGGGGAAUCAACAACGAAGGGCCUCUACACCAACAUCCUUGCCCCUCCUAGGAGUUGUGAGUAGUUUCCAUAGACCUACGGGUCCAUAGUUAUUAGCUAGAUGGCUUCUUCUCUCUUUUUGGAUCUCAAUACAAUGUUCUCCCCCUCUCUUGUGAAGAUCUAUUCGAUGUAAUCUCUUUUUGCGGUGUGUUUGUCAAGAUCCGAUGAAUUGUGAGUUUAUGAUCAGAUUCAUCUAUGGUUAUUAACUGAAUCUUCUCUGAAUUCUUUUAUGUAUGAUUGAGUUAUCUUUGUAAAUCUCCUCGAAUUAUCGGUUUGGUUUGGCCUACUAGAUUGAUCUUUCUUGCCAUGGGAGAAGUGCUUAGUUUUGGGUUCAAUCUUGCGGUGUUCUUACCCAGUGAUAGAAAGGGUUGCAAGACACGUAUUGUAUUGUUGCCAUCGAGGAUAACAAGAUGGGGUUUAUAUCAUAUUGCAUGAGUUUAUCCCUCUACAUCAUAUCAUCUUGCUUAAUGCGUUACUCCGUUCUUAUGAACUUAAUACUCUAGAUGCAUGCUGGAUAGCGGUCGAUGUGUGGAGUAAUAGUAGUAGAUGCAGGCAGGAGUCGAUCUACUUGUUUUGGAUGUGAUGCCUAUAUACAUGAUCAUGCCUAGAUAACGUCAUAAUUAUUCGCUUUUCUAUCAAUUGUUUGACAGUAAUUUGUUCACCCACCGUAAUACUUAUGCUCUCGAGAUAAGCCUCUAGUGAAACCUAUGGCCCCCGGGUCUAUCUCUUAUCAUAUUUGCUUUCAAUCUACUUUAAUUUUGCAUCUUUACUUUCUUGCAUUUAUAUUACAAAAUACCAAAAAUAUAUUUAUCUUAUCAUACUAUCUUUAUUAGAUCUCACUUCCGCAAGUGGCCGUGAAGGGAUUGACAACCCCUUUAUUGCGUUGGUUGCGAGUUCUCAGUUUGUUUGUGUAGGUGCGUGGGACUUUUGAGGAGCCUCCUACUGGAUUGAUACCUUGGUUCAUAAAACUGAGGGAAAUACUUACGCUACACUUGCUGCAUCACCCUCUCCUCUUCGGGGAAAACUAACGCUAGCUCAAGACGUAGCAAGAAGGAUUUCUGGCGCCGUUGCCGGGGAGGUCUUCGCUCAAGUCAAGACAUACCAAGUACCCAUCACAAACUCAUCUCCCUCGCAUUUACAUUAUUUGCCAUUUGCCUCUCGUUUUCCUCUCCCCCCACUUCACCCUUGCCGUUUUAUUCUCCCUCUCUUUCCCAAUCUCCUCCUCUCUUUUCCGUUUGCCGUUUUCUAUUUGCUUGUGUGUUGGAUUACUUGUUGCCAUGGCACAAGAUAAUACCAAGUUGUGUGAUUACUCGAAUACCAAUAAUAAUUAUUUCCUUAAUACUCCGAUUGCUCCUCUUAAUGAUGUUGAGUCUUGUGAAAUCAAUACUGCCUUGCUGAAUCUUGUUAUGAAAGAUCAAUUCGCCGGCCUUCCUAGUGAAGAUGCCGCUACUCAUCUAAAUAAUUUUAUUGAUUUGUGUGAUAUGCAAAAGAAGAAAGAUACGGAUAAAAAUAUUGUCAAAUUGAAGUUAUUUCUGUUUUCACUUAGAGAUCGUGCUAAAGUUUGGUUUUCGUCUUUGCCUAAAAAUAGUAUUGAUUCUUGGAACAAGUGCAAAGAUGCUUUUAUCUCUAAGUAUUUUCCUCCCACUAAGAUCAUCACUCUUAGGAAUGAUAUUAUGAAUUUUAAACAACUUGAUCAUGAGCAUGUUGCCCAAUUUUGGGAAAGAAUGAAAUUGAUGCUUCGCAAUUGCCCUACUCAUGAUUUGAAUUUAUGGAUGAUCAUACAAAAUUUUUAUGCCGGUUUGAACUUUGCUUCUAGAAAUCUCUUAGAUUCGGCCGCGGGGGGCAUGUUUAUGGAAAUUACGUUAGGAGAUGCUACAAAAUUGCUUGACAAUAUUAUGGCUAAUUAUUCUCAAUGGACACCGAAAGAUCUUCUAGUAAAAAAGUGCAUACUAUAGAAGAAAUCAAUGUUUUGAGUGGAAAGAUGGAUGAACUUAUGAAGAUGUUUGCUACUAAAAAUACUCCUCUUGAUCCCAAUGAUAUGCCUUUGUCUUCUUUGAUUGAGAAUAAUAAUGAAUCUAUGGAUGUGAAUUUUGUUGGUAGGAAUAAUUUUGGAAACAAUGCUUAUAGAGGAAAUUUUAAUGCUAGACCGUUCCCUAGUAAUACCUCUAAUAAUUAUGGAAAUUCCUACAAUAAUUCUUAUGGUAAUUUUAAUAAGAUGUCCUCUGAUUUUGAUAAUAGUGUGAAAGAAUUUAUGAUUUCUCAAAAGAAUUUUAAUGCUUUGCUUGAAGAAAAAUUGCUCAAAGUUGAUUUGGCUAGGAACGUUGAUAGACUUUCGCUUGAUGUUAAUUCUCUUAAACUUCGAUCUUCUUCUCCUAAGCAUGAUAUCAAUGAGUCUCUCAAAGUAAUGAGAAUUUCCAUUGACGAGUGCAAGGAAAGAACCGCUAGAUUGCGUGCUAAGAAAGAAAGCUUUAUAAAAGCAUGUUCUUCUAGUCUAGAUGAAAAUAAUGAUGAGGAUCUUAAAGUUAUUGAUGCGUCUCCUAUCAUAUCUGUGAUUAUGGGACUGAUGAUGAAUCAACUUUGCCUAGAAGGCGUCCCAAAAAUUCGGAGUCUUUAGAUCUUAAUUCUAAAUUUGGUAAAAGAGAGAUUGGAGAAUCCUCAACUUCUAAUAAUGUUGAACCUACUAUCUUGGAUUUCAAGGAAUUUGAUUAUGAUAAUUGCUCUUUAAAAGGUUGUAUUUCCUUGUUGCAAUCCGUUGUUAAUUCUCCUCAUGCUUAUAGUCAAAACAAAGCUUUUACCAAACAUAUUGUUGAUGCCUUGAUGCAAUCUUAUGAUGAAAAACAUAAUUUGGAAGUUUCUAUACCUAAAAACCUUAAUGAUGAGUGGGAACCUACUAUAAAGAUUAGAAUUAAAGAUUUUGAGUGUUUUGCUUUGUGUGAUUUGAGUGCUAGUGUUUCCACAAUUCCGAAAACUUUAUGUGAUAUUCUAGAUUUCCAUGAUCUUGAUGAUUGCUCGUUAAAUUUGCAUCUUGCGGAUUCCACCAUUAAAAAACCUAUGGGAAGGAUCAAUGAUGUUCUUAUUGUUGCAAAUAGAAAUUUGGUGCCCGUAGAUUUUAUCGUUCUUGAUAUAGAUUGCAAUCUUUCUUGCCCUAUUAUUCUUGGUAGACCUUUCCUUAGAACGAUUGGUGCGAUUAUUGGUAUGAAGGAAGGGAACAUUAGAUUCCAAUUUCCCUUAAAGAAAGGCAUGGAGCACUUUCCAAGAAAGAAAGUCAAAUUACCUUAUGAAUCUAUCAUGCGCGCUACUUAUGAAUCAAGUGCCAAAGAUGGCACUCGUUAGAUCUAUCCUUGCUUUUAUGCCUAGCUAGGGGCGUUAAACCAUAGCGCUAGUUGGGAGGCAACCCAAUUUUCUUUAUGUUCUUUGUUUUUGUUCCUGUUUAGUGUUAAAUUCUGUUUCUACUUUCUGUUUAGAUGUGUUUGUAUCUUUUGUUUAGUGUUUGUGCCAAGUAGAACCUAUAGGAUAAACUAUGAUGAUGGUUGAUUUGAUUCUGCCGAAAAAGAGAAACUUUGCGCUCACGAGAAAAAAUUCAAUAAAUCACAGAAAAGUGCUUUUGCAUUGAUUCUUUUUGCUGAUGAUCAAUAAACAAAUUGUACAGUAUGUCCUAUUUUGGUACGAUUUUUAGAUUUCUGAAGCAUUAGUUACAGAUUGCUACAGAUUGUUCUGUUUUUGACAGAUUCUGCUUUUCAUGUGUUGUUUGCUUAUUUCAAUGCAUCUAUGGCUAAUAAAUUAGUUUAUAAGCCAUAAGGAAGUUGGAGUACAGUAGGUUUAACAUCAAAAUAAAUAAAGAAUGAGUUCAUUACAGUACCUUAUGUGGUGGUUUUGUUUUCUUUUACUAACGGAGCUUAUAAGAUUUCCUGUGGUGUUUUGUGUUGUGAAGUUUUGAAGUUUUGGGUAAAGCUUUUAUGGACUAUGGAAUAAAGAGUGGAAAGAGCCUAAGCUUGGGGAUACUUAUGGCACCCCAAUAUAUUCAAGAAUAGCCAAAAGCCUAAGCUUGGGAUGCCCCAGGAAGGCAUCCCGUCUUUCGUCUUCGUUCAUUGGUAACUUUACUUGGAGCUAUAGUUUUAUUCGCUACAUGACAUGUGUUUUGCUUGGAGAGUCGUGUAUUAUAUUGGUCCUUGCUUGUUAGUUUACCACAAUCAUACUUGCUGUAACACACCUUUUUGGAUAAGCCUAUUUGUUUAGAACUAGAUGAUGCCCCGUGCGUUGCUGCGGGACAGGUGUAAAUACAUAUUCAUAGAAUUAGAGAUAAAAUAUAAAGAAACAUUUUCUAGGUGCCCCGCGGAUUGCCGCGGGUGCAAAAAGAAUCCCGUACAUAAGUCUCAUAUACAAAGGAAAUAUCACUGAGAAUCCACAUAAACAAAACUUACGAUAUGUGGCUCGGUGUUACAAUUUCUACUGAUCCCUAGCAUCCGUAUGAAAAAUCAGCUUGUCAAUGUGAAAGUUUUCUUUUACCUAUAAAAAAACUUUGGUUACAAACUUUGAAUCAAUACAAUUAACCACAAUAAUUAAUUUUGCCAAGGCAUGAACAGGGUAUAAAUCAAAAUCACACUGUAUAAUCUAGAAUGAUAUAUGUUGCUUUAUGUCCAAGCGAAAGAGAUAUCCACUGCUGAAAAGGCAUAUGAAAUUCAGAGACAUAUAUUAUCAAUCAAGCACUUGUGUGGGACGAAUGGAAAAAAGAAAAUCAAAAUUGCAUUAACAAUCUAAAAUGAUAUCCGAUACCUUAUGUCCAAGUAAAAGAGCAUCUUCACGAAGUCCAUAUGGGAGCACAUGGAGCUUAUAAGCCUAGACCAGAGAGUGUCGGACGUGUGUGGAGUGGAUGAGCAAAUGUUGCAGAUUACAGAGUAGGGACUGGGAAGUGACCGGAAAGGCAAAAUCUGAACGACCUACCACAUAGAGCUGAUGCGCUAGCCCCAACCGUGGAGUACCAUUGGAAGCCAAGUUUGCUGAUUGAGUCGGAUUCCUCGUCACCGACGGCAACCGCAGGGGCAUAGCAAAGACGUUCCGAAGCCUCAGCGGUUGUGCCCUUCUUCGACGAUCCGGGAUUCUGGGUAUCCCGCAACGGAACAACAGUCCAUCUUGUGUUCCCACAAUCAAAGAGACACCGGAGGCGAGGCAGGCGAGGCGAGGAAAACCGGCUGGCGUGCGGCAGGAGAUUUGAAGCAGAGCAAAUGGGGUGCACAACGACAUGUCUUCCAUGACGACGUGGGUGCUCGGCAACGGAAUCGCGUCGCGACCCACUCUCAUAGUGGCAUCAGGACAAAGGAAGAGCAUCAAUGGUGCGAGAAGAUGGUAGUAGAGACAGGUUGAUAGACGCGAAGGCCGUGGCCGUGCCGUUUAAUCUAGCCUCUUCUUUGGGUAACGGAGGGCGAAGUAAUGAGGCGCGAUCAAUGUUUCGGUUUCAUGUGCAUUUGCGCCAGGGAGAGAUUCGGCCACGAGCCCGCGACAACAGAAGAGAUAACGGCGACGAUGAUUCAUAGCGGAGAAGUUUUAUUUUUUGAGCAAAUCAUAGCGGAGAAGAUGACCUAGUGCCGUGGUUGACCCCCAUGGGCUAUACAGCCCACAUGCAUAACAUACUAACAUUGAAUCGGGCCCUGUGUUUUGAUUUUCGGCCGAAAAAAGUGGACUUCGGCCGAAUUUCGGCCAUCUCGGCCUGGGGCGAAAAGUAUAUUAGGCCAAAAUUGCUCAAAUUUGGCAAAUUUUGGUUAAAUUUAAGUCAAAUUGUAGUCAAAAUUUGGUCAAAUUUCAGCCAAAAUUUUAGAAAAUGGCCGAAAUUCGGCCAUCUCGGCCUAGGGCGAAAAAAAGCUCAAACCGAAAAUCAAAACACAGAUCGGGCCCCAUGUGCGCAAACACAACCCACAUGCAGCUCGGGCAACCCACAGUUAGUACGUGGGUUUGUAAAGCCCAAGCGAUGGAAGUCGGGGAAGGCAGCCAGAGUUAGCGCACGACAGCUGAUUGCGUUCAAGCUUGAUCGAAUGGCUAAUAAUAAUUCAGGUGACGUGGCUGCACGAGAAUCCAAGAAAAUCAGGUAGUGGGGUGCUUCUAUUUAGAUAUAGAAGAUUUGCAAGAAUACUCUAUGUGCUUCACUUAUAUCUUUUGAGCUUAAUAGUUUUUGCUCUAGUGCUUCACUUAUAUCUUUUAGAGCAUGGUGGUGGAUUAAUUUUAUAGAAAUUGCUAGUCUCUCAUGCUUCACUUAUAUUAUUUUGAGAGUCUCUUAGAAUAGCAUGAUAUUUUCUAUGGUUUUAAUUUGGUCCUAAAAUGAUGAGCAUCCAAGUUGGGUAUAAUAAAAACUAUCAUAGAAAGUGAAUUGGAUGUUAUGAUCAAUUUGAUGCUUAAUAAUUGUUUUGAGAUAUGGAGGUAGUAAUAUUAAAGUCAUGCUAGUUGGGUGAUUAUGGAUUUAGAGAAUGCUUGUGUUGAAGUUUGUGAUUUCCGUAGCAUGCACGUAUGGUGAACCGCUUUGUGAUGAAGUUGGAGCACAAUUUUAUUGAUUGUCUUCCUUAUGAGUGGCAGUCGGGGAUGAGCGAUGGUCUUUUCCUACCAAUCUAUCCCCCUAGAAGCAUGCAUGUAGUGCUUUGAUGUUUGAUGACUUCUAAAUUUUUACAACAAGUAUAUGAGUUCUUUUGAUUAAUGUUGAGUCCAUGGAUUAUACACACUCACUACUAGGGAAAAGCCUAUACACAGAAUCUUAUCAGAAGCACGCUUUAAAAUAAGGCGCUGCUGCUAAUUAGCAGUAGCAUGCUCAGGAAUAACUCGCUGCUGAAACCAAUAUAGCAGUAGCACGCCCGCUCAAAGACGCGCUACUGCUAUAAUUCCCACGAGGCCGCCACGAGGCUAGUUAUAGCAGCAACGCGUUAUAACGACAGGCGCUACUGCUACGUAGCAUAGUAGCAGCGCAUUUCUGCAAUAAGCACUACUGCUAAAUUUACUACAAAAAUUUAGCCCCGUCUCCUCUAUCCGAUCCACUCACACAGUCACACACUAGCUCACUGGAUCCCCUCUCAAUCCCCCGCGCCGGUCCACCCCCGUCGCCCCUUCUCCGUCUGCGCCGCCGUCACCUCCUCCUCCUUGCUGGACUCGGUACCGGCCUCCUCCUCCGUCCUCCCUCUCCACUCGCCGCUGGCCGGCCCCUCCUCGCUCCGCCUUCCUCCUUCGUCCUCCCUCCACUGGCCGCGCCGGCCGGCCCCUCCUCGCUCCGCCUUCCUCCUCCAUCCUACUCUCUUCUCCCUCUUCGAGUCGCCCCUCCUUCUCCCUCCUGCCUGCUACAUUUUGAUUUAGUAGCUAGGCUAGUUCAUAUGCAACAUUUUGAUUUAGUUGAUAUGAUUUAGUUGAUUUAGUAGGCUAGUUGAUUUAGUUGACUUAGAACAUUUUGAUUUAGUUGAUUUAAUAGGCUAGUUCAUUUAGUUGAUUUGGUUGACUUAGAACAUUUUGAUUUAGUUGAUUUAGUAGGCUAGUUCAUUUAAUUAGUUGAUUUAGAACAUUUUGAUUUAGUUGAUUUAGUAGGCUAGUUGAUUUAGUUGAUUUAGAACAUUUUGAUUUAGUUGAUUUAGUAGGCUAGUUGAUUUAGUUGACUUAGAACAUUUUGAUUUAGUUGAUCGUUAAUCCUUUGCUCAUAUUGCUUUAGGAAAAAUGGCGCCACCACCACCACCACUAUGUCGACUGUGCAAGUCAAGAUGCGCCAACAGCCUUGCAACUGAUCAACGUCUCCUUCCGAGCAGAAAGACCCAAGCUAGCUGUCAUUUAUCUCAACCUGGUGGAAGAUGAUGAAGAUGGCGGAGAUGAUGAAGAUGAUGAAGAUAAUGAGGACCCACUCGAUGAAGAUGAUGAGGACCCACUUCAUGAAGCCAUCAUAGCUCAAAGAACAAGGCUGAGUGAGGAGGAGGUGUCCAACCUAUGGGACAUAAUUCCGCCACGUGCUGACUUUGUCGGGGUGCCAUUCGUGACUCGCUUGACAAAUACCAUGGUUGAUCGACAUGAUAUGGUAUGUUAUACUUACAAAUGCAAAUUAUCCAAUGAAUUACUUAGUGUACAGUCCAAUGAUAUGGUAUGAUGUGUGGAAUCUAGUCGAUGAUAUGUUUUAGUGUAGAGUUCGAUCACCUGCUUAUUAGUGUAGAAUCUAACGAAACUAUUAAUAGUGUAGAUAAUCCAUAUGUACUUAUUUGCGAGGCAAUUUAUUAAUUGAUAUGUUUUUCUUAUUCAGAAAUUGGCAAAGAGCAUAUCUGUGAGUUAUGGUAUCGAGCCUGAUGAAGAAGGCUCGGCUGGACUACGCCUUACUGCAAGGGGCUCCGUCACAACCUGUACUGACCGCGUGGAUACGGACGGUCGCACACACUUAAACUCGGUUGGGUGGAAGAAAUUCCUCGAUGGCAAGAAUCUUCGUGUUGGACAGGCCAUCCUAAUUACUAUCAGGAACACCAACCGCCCAGGCUUAAGGAUGAUGAUUGUCUUCGAUAUCAUGUAGAACUACAUAUGUGUGUGUGUGGCUAUAUCAUCUAGAACUAUAUAUGUGUGUGUGGCUAUAUCAUCUAGAACUACAUAUGAUGAUCGUCGUCGAUAUCAUGUAGAACUACAUAUGAUGAUGGCCGUUGAUAUGACCUUGUACUGCUUGAGGAUGCAUGUUGACUAUGCAUGAAAUUGUUAUCUAGUACUCCCUUCGUUCCAAAUUACUCGUCGUGGUUUGAACUAAAACUACGACGAGUAAUUUGGAACGAAGGGAGUACUAUCUAGUAAUGGUUUAUGAAUUUGAUAUCUACUAGCAGUACCUAGUAUCUAGUAUCUGAAAGGGAAACUGAAAGGGAAAGGGGUAAUGGGAAAAUGAUGAAAGAUAUAGCAGUAGCGAGGGAUGGCGAAAUCGCUACAGCUAGGUAAUAGUAGCGCAUUCUUAAAAAGCGUUGCUGAUAUCGUAAACAGUAGUAGCGCGGGUAAGGGCCGCGCUACUACUAUAAGUUAGCUGUAGCGCCUUAUUAGUAGCGCGUCCACCCGCGCUGCUGCUAGCCUCAAAACCCGUGCUACUACUAGGGUUUUCCCUGGUAGUGACUCCUUUCACCAUCCAUUAUUGCUAGCCUCUCUUGUAUCGUGCAACUUUCGCCGGUACCAUACACCCACCAUAUACCUUCCUCAAAACAGCCACCAUACCUACCUAUUAUGGCAUUUCCAUAGCCAUUCCGAAAUAUAUUGCCAUGCAACUUUCCACCGUUCCGUUCAUAUGACACACAUUACUUUUGUCAUAUUGCUCUUUGCAUGAUCAUGUAGUUGACAUCGUAUUUGUGGCAAAGCCACCAUCAUAUUUUUCAUACAUGUCGCUCUUGAUUCAUUGCAUAUCCCGGUAUACCGCGGGAGGCAUUCACAUAGAGUCAUAUCUUGUUCUAGCUUUGAAUUGUAAAUCCAUAAAAGUGUGAUGAUCUUCAUUAUUAGAGCAUUGUCCCGGUGAGGAAAGGAUAAUGAAGACUAUGAUUCCCCCACAAGUCGGGAUGAGACUUCGGACUUUACAAAAAAAAGAAAGGCCAAAAAAAGGCCAAAGAAAAAAAUGAAAGAAAAAAAAGAAUGAGAGAAAAAGAGAGAAAGGACAAUGCUACUAUCUCUUUUUCCACACUUGUGCUUCAAAAUAGCACCAUGAUCUUCAUGAUAGAGAUUCUCAUAUGUUGUCACUUUCAUUUACUAGUGGGAAUUUUUCAUUAUAGAACUUGGCUUGUAUAUUCUAAUGAUGGGCUUCCUCAAAAUGCACUAGGUCUUCGUGAGCGAGCAAGUUGGAUGCACACCCACUGGUUUUCUUUUGUUGAGCUUUCAUAUAUUUAUAGCUCUAGUGCAUCCGUUGCAUGGCAAUCCCUACUCACUCACAUUGAUAUCUAUUAAUGGUCAUCUCCAUAGCCCGUUGAUAUGCCUAGUUGAUGUGAGACUAUCUUCUCCUUUUUUGUCUUCUCCACAACCACCGUUCUAUUCCACAUAUAGUGUUAUGUCCAUGGCUCACGCUCAUGUAUUGCGUGAAAGUUGAAAAAGUUUGAGAUUAUUAAAGUAUGAAACAAUUGUUUGGCUCGUCAUCGGGGUUGUGCAUGAUUAAAUACUUUGUGUGAUGAAGAUAGAGCAUAGCCAGACUAUAUGAUUUUGUAAGGAUAACUUUCUUUUGGCCAUACUAUUUUGAGAAGACAUGAUUACUUGCUUGGUAUGUUUGAAGUAUUACUAUUUCUUAUGUCAAUAUGAACUUUUAUUUUGUAUUAUUUCGAUCUGAAAAUUCAUGCCACAAUGAAAGAAAAUUACAUUAUGAAUUAUGCUAGGUAGCAUUCCACAUCAAAAAUUCUCUUUUUAUCAUUUACCUACUCGAGGACGAGCAGGAAUUAAGCUUGGAGAUGCUUGAUACGUCUCCAACGUAUCUAUAAUUUUGAUUGUUCCAUGCUAUUAUAUUACCUGUUUUGGAUGCUUAUGGGCUUUAUUCUACAUAUUUAUAUCAUUUUUGGGACUAACCUACCAAUCGGAGGCCCAGCCCAUAUUGUUGUUUUUUUGCCUAUUUCAAUAUUUCGAAUAAAAGGAAUAUGAAACGGAGUCCAAAUGGAGUGAAACCUUCGGGAGCGUUAUUUCUGGAACAAAUCUGAUCCGGAGAGCCUGGAGUGCAAGUCAAGAAAGCUCCGAGGGCCCCACGAGAUAGGAGGGCGCGCCCCUUGUCUCGUGGGCCCCUCGGGCGUCCACGGACGUACUUCUUCCUCCUAUAUAUACCUAUGGACCCCGAAAACAUCCAGAGGCACCACGAAACACAAUUUCCACCACCGCAAACUUCUGUAUCCGCGAGAUCCCAUCUUGGAGCCUUCGCCGGCACUCUGCUGGAGGGGGAAUCGACUAUGGAGGGCCUCUACAUCAACAUCCUUGCCCCUCCUAUGAGUUGUGAGUAGUUUACCACAGACCUACGGGUCCAUAUUUAUUAGCUAGAUGGAUUCUUCUCUCUUUUUCGAUCUCAAUAUAAUGUUCUUCCCCUCUCUUGUGGAGAUCUAUUCGAUGUAAUCUCUUUUUGCGGUGUGUUUGUCAAGAUCCGAUGAAUUGUGAGUUUAUGAUCAGAUUCAUCUAUGGUUAUUAAUUGAAUCUUCUCUGAAUUCUUUUAUGUAUGAUUGAGUUAUCUUUGCAAGUCUCUUCAAAUUAUCGAUUUGGUUUGGCCUACUAGAUUUAUCUUUCUUGCCAUGGGAGAAGUGCUUAGCUUUGGGUUCAAUCUUGCGGUGUUCUUACCCAGUGACAGAAAGGGUUGCAAGACACGUAUUUUAUUGUUGCCAUCGAGGAUAGCAAGAUGGGGUUUAUAUCAUAUUGCAUGAGUUUAUCCCUCUACAUCAUAUAAUCUUGCUUAAUGCCUUACUCCGUUCUUACGAACUUAAUACUCUAGAUGCAUGCUGGAUAGCGGUCGAUGUGUGGAGUAAUAGUAGUAGAUGCAGGCAGGAGUCGAUCUACUUGUUUUGGAUGUGAUGCCUAUAUACAUGAUCAUGCCUAGAUAACGUCAUAAUUAUUCGCUUUUCUAUCAAUUGCUUGACAGUAAUUUGUUCACCCACCGUAAUACUUAUGCUCUCGAGAGAAGCCUCUAGUGAAACCUAUGGCCCCCGGGUCUAUCUCUUAUCAUAUUUGCUUUCAAUCUACUUUUAUUUUGCAUCUUUACUUUCUUGCAUCUAUAUUACAAAAUACCAAAAAUAUAUUUAUCUUAUCAUACUAUCUUUAUUAGAUCUCACUUUCGCAAGUGGCCGUGAAGGGAUUGACAACCCCUUUAUUGCGUUGGUUGUGAGUUCUCAAUUUGUUUCUGUAGGUGCGUGGGACUUUUGAGGAGCCUCCUACUGGAUUGAUACCUUGGUUCUCAAAAACUGAGAGAAAUACUUACGCUACACUUGCUGCAUCACCUUCUCCUCUUCGGGGAAAACCAACGCUAGCUCAAGACGUAGCACUCCCCCAUAGCGGUUGAGACAUGUCGGGCUAGGGAUUUACUCCAGACAGCAAUGGUUCAGCAACAGGCUUAUUCGUACAGUCGGGACAUGAUACACACUAACCCUCGUCCAAGUCGGAGUUACAGCCGGCGUGUUGAAGAGCCAGCUGUGUCAAGCAGUGGACGGAAUCAUCAUCCGCCACGGAGGCCUAACCUGGCAGGGGGAAGGAAGCGCAGGAUUUAGUGGACCAAGGACGAGCGCGCCGCGGCACCGGGUUGAAUGCACAGGACAUGGAGCGCCAGCUUACGCCGGUUCGUCCGACCACUACAGUAGAGCCAGCGGUUGCCUUUACCACUUUGGGGGUGUCGUGUCUCACACCGGCCCUGCACAAUGCGCGGUUACCCAAGGACUUCAAGGGCCCUCGGAAAGUACCCAAUUACACUUCUGAUUUACAUCUUGAGUCAUGUGUAGAAAGCUAUGAGAUGGCCAUGGAGAUGCUGGAUGUGGAUGGAGCGGUGUGUGCUAAGUACUUCACUAUGAUGCUAGAAGGAACAACUCGCACUUGGCUAAAGAGUUUACCACCCAAUUCAAUUGGGUCAUGGGAGGAGUUGAAGAGACGGUUUAUCAACAACUUCAAAGAUACUUGCAAGCAACCAAUGUCAAUUGUUGAUCUGGCUGCUUGUGUUCAAGCAGAGGGUGAAUCGACUACCCAUUGGGUACGCCGGGUUUCUGAGAUCUUACAUUCAUCUGAUCGGAUUAAUGCAGAUUCAGCAAUUAUAGUGCUAGAAGGCAAUUCCAAGUUCAAACCUUUGAAGUUCAAGUUGGGGCGGAUGAAGCGUCACUGCAAUGAUAUGGGAACACUCAUGGGGGCUUUGGUUAAAUAUGAUAACUCUGAUAAUACCAAGGAUCCCGAGUAUGACGAGGAAAAGCCGAGGAAGGGAAAGAAGAGCCGCAACACCAAAGGACAGCAACCCAACUCGGCGGGCAACGGUAACAACGGUAAACGAAAAGCAGAUAAUUCAGAUUUUGUGGCUAACACCAAUGUGCAGGGUAAUAAUCAAUGUCUUAAGGGUAAAUCGCCCCAGCGCGGCGGCGGUAUGAAUCUGGAACGUAUGUUGAAUCAGCCUUGCCCGAAGCACGGGACAAAGGAGGUUCUAGCCACGCACCUCUGGAAGGACUAUUUCAUUAUGCGAGAGUUCAAAAUUCUGACCUUUUCCGGUGUGAUCAGGGUCCAUCUGGCGGUUCAGGUCCUGGAUCUCAUGGGCCGGGUUACGGUGGUAGCGUUCAAACUCCGAAUUCCAGGGAAUCAAGGCAAUCAGGGCAAUCAGAAUAGCAGGGUGGUUAUAAUCAGUAGAAUAAUCAGGGAAAUCAGCAGCAGUCGGGUUAUCUGAGUCACCCGAAGCAAUUGAAUAGUGGGCAGUAUCAUGUUUUCACCUCUAGUUUGUGCAAGCGUGAUCAGAAGCUUCACAAGAGAGUAGUAAACAUUGUUGAACCGGCAGUAGCAUGUUACUUACGUUGGUCCGAAUAACCCAUUGUAUGGAGCAGAGAGGAUCAUCCACCCCGGUUGACAAUCCGGGUCAUUUGGCUUUGGUGGUGGCGCCUCAGGUUGGAGGAUAUAAGUUCACCAAGGUGCUGAUGGAUGGAGGGAGCAGUAUCAAUAUUUUAUAUUAUGAAACCUUCUGGCGCAUGGGAUUGACGGAUAAAAAUCUUAAACCGUCGAACACUAUUUUCCACGGAGUGGUACCAGGUAAAUCGGCAUACCCAGUUGGUAAGAUAAAUCUGGAGGUGGUAUUUGGAGAUGAUCAUGAUUCUAGAUCAGAAACCUUAACCUUUGAGGUAGUAAAGAUCCAGAGCCCAUAUCAUGCCCUGUUUGGAUGACCAACUUAUGCAAGGUUCAUGGCAAGGACCUGUUAUUUUAUCUACAGCUCAAGAUGUUGGGUCAUAAGGGGACCAUCACAAUACAUGGGAGACGUAAGAACGCUUUGGAUUGUGAAGAGGGUGAUGCGGCUUAUGCUGGGUCGGUUUGUGCGGCAGAAGAGUUAAAGUUCUACAAGGACAAUGUUGAUCUGGCAGAUAUGACUCCUCUGAAGAAGCCCACCACAGAGCAUGACCCAACCCUGAAGUUUAAACCGGAUGAUGAGACUAAAUUGUUGACUUUGUUACUGGUGAUUCAUCUAAACAGUUUAGUAUCAACACUAAUUUGGAUCUGAAAUAGGAAAGCGCGCUCAUCAAGUUCAUCCGCGAGAACCGGGACAUCUUUGCGUGGAAGCCUUCCGACAUGACAGGUGUACCGAGAGAACUCGCUGAGCACAAUCUCAAUAUUGAUCCCAAGUUUAAACCGAUCAAACAGUUUCUUCAUCGCUUCAACGAAGAAAGGCGCAAGGCCAUUGGCGAAGAGGUAGCCUGGUUGUUCGCUGCUGGUUUUAUCGUUGAGGUUUUUCAUCCUGAGUGGCUGGCCAAUCCGGUACUAGUGCUUAAGAAGAAUGGCACUUGGAGCAUGUGUGUGGAUUACACGGACUUGAAUAAAGCUUGUCCGGCCGAUCCUUUUGCCCUCCCUCGUAUUGAUCAGAUCAUUGAUGCUACGGCGGGUUGUGAGCGUUUGAGUUUCUUGGAUGCUUAUUCUGGUUAUCAUUAGAUCAAGAUGGCAGUUAAGGACCAGGAGAAAACAACUUUUAUCACUCCCUUUGGAGCCUUCUUUUAUGUAUCUAUGCCCUUUGGGAUCAAGAGUGCCCAGGCAACUUAUCAGCAUUGUGUGCAGAAUUGUCUUCAUACACAGAUUGGGCGCAAUGUUCAUGCUUAUGUGGACGAUAUUGUGGUAAAAUUCAGAAAAAAGGAGACAUUGAUUGACGACUUGAAGGAGACCUUUCACAAUCUUCGGGUUUACAAGAUGAUGCUCAAUCCGGCCAAAUGCGUUUUCGGUGUUCCGGCAGGCAAGCUCCUAGGUUUCUUGGUGUCUAACAGGGGCAUUGAGGCUAAUCCAGAAAAAAUCAAGGCUAUUACGUCUUUGGCUAAACCGGCAUGUAUCAAUGAUGUUCAACGUCUAGCAGGUCGGAUUGCAGCUCUGAGCCGGUUUAUCAGCCGUUUGGGAGAGAAGGCGAUCCCUCUAUAUCAGAUGUUGAGAAAGAAAGACACUUUUGUCUGGAGUAACGCUACUGAUGCGGCAUUUGAGGAUUUGAAGAGGCAGUUGGUUGAGCCGCCGGUCCUUGCCGCUCCGGUCGACAAUGAACCACUGUUAUUGUAUGUGGCUGCUAAUGUCCAGGCUAUCAGCGUGGCUAUUGUGGUCGAGCGCAAGGAGGCGGGGAUGGAAUAUCCGGUUCAAAGGCCUGUUUACUAUAUCAGCGAAGUGCUCAUCGAGUCAAAGCAAAGAUAUCCGCAUUGGCAGAAGCUGGUGUAUGGGGUUUUUAUGGCAAGCCGGAAGCUUAAGCAGUACUUUCAGGGCCAUCCCAUCAGAGUGGUCAGUUCUGCUCCUUUGGGCGAUAUAAUUCAGAACAGGGAGGCAACUGGCCGGGUUGCAAAGUGGGCUAUUGAGCUUGGACCGCACGGGCUGAAGUACAUGCCUCGGACAGCUAUCAAGUCUCAAGCACUUGUCGAUUUCAUCAAUGAUUGGACAGAGUUGCAGGCACCGAAAGACAAACUGGAUAACACAUACUAGACUAUCCACUUCGAUGGGUCCAGGCAAUUGGAGGGCUCGGGGGAUGGAGUUGUCCUUACUUCCCCUCAAGGUGAUAAAAUUCAUUAUGUUCUCCGCUUAAUGUUUCCUUGUACUAACAAUGCAGCUGAGUAUGAAGCCUUGCUCCACGGUCUUCACGUGGCUAAGGAAAUGAACUUAAGACGGGUACGAUGCUUUGGAGACUUUGAUCUGGUGGCUCAGCAAGUUUCUGGUACUUGGGACUCUAAGGAUCCGCUCAUGGCGGCUUACAGACAAGAGGUGGAUAUUGUGGCUGGUCACUUCAAGGGUUAUCAGGUUGAGCACAUUGACCGACGCAAAAAUGAAGCAGCAUAUGCUUUAAGCCGGCUGAGGUCUCACCGCAAACCGGUGCCACCCAAUACCUUUCUGGAUAUCCUGCAUAACCCGUCAGUUAAGUUGCCUACAGAGGAGGAUUUGGCUAUUCCUGAUCCGGAGGCACAGUUGGUGGUCGCUUUACAUGUUAUUCCGGAUUGGACGGUUCCAUAUUUGGCGCAUAUGAACCGGGGCGAGUUACCAGAAGAUGAAGUUUUGGCCAGACAGAUAGUUCAGCGAUCUAAGUCCAUGGUUAUUCACAAUGGCGAGUUACAUCACUUCAGUGUCUCAGGUGUGUUCCAGCACUGUGUUUCUCCUGAAGAGGGCCAAGAAAUUUUGCGUGAGAUCCACGAAGGAGAUUGUGGUCACCACGCUGGUUCAAAGUCCUUGGUUGCUGAAGCCUUUCGGCAUGGCUUCUACUAGCUGACGGCUCAUGCUGAUGCUCAGGAUUUGGUGAAACAGUGCGACGCUUGUCAGAAAUUCUCACGCAGCGCUCAUGUUCCGGCUCAAGAGCUAAGGAUGAUUCCAAUCACUUGGCCGUUUGCUACUUGGGGGCUUGAUAUGGUAGGACCUUUUAAGCGAUCCAAAGAUAAAAAGACCCACCUGUUGGUGGCGGUUGACAAAUUCACUAAAUGGGUUGAAGCGGAGCCAGUAAGCAAGUGUGAUGCAGGCACGGUGGUUCAAUUCAUAAAGAAGGUGAUCUUCCGCUUUGGCUUUCCACACAACAUCAUCACAGAUAAUGGCACGAACAUUUCCAAAGGUGAAAUGGAGGACUUCUGUCAAAGAGAGCACAUCCAGCUUGAUGUGUCAUCAGUGGCCCACCCUCAGUCUAAUGGUCAACCUGAGAGAGCUAAUCAGGAAAUCUUGAAGGGUAUCAAGCCCCGGCUUAUGGUUCCUUUGAAGAGGACGGCGGGUUGUUGGGUUGAAGAAUUGCCUUCUGUGUUAUGGAGCAUAAACACCACCCCAACCGGUCUACGGGUUAUACACCUUUCUUCAUUGUUUACGGGGUAGAGGCGGUCCUCCCAAGUGAUAUUCGUCAUGACUCGCCCCGGGUUGCCAAUUAUCUUGAAGAGGACAACGAGCAGGCACGUCAAGAAGCAUUGGACCUGUUAGAUGAAAAACGGGACAUGGCAUUGGCUCGCUCGGCGGUUUAUCAGCAAGACCUGUGGCGUUAUCACAGCCGCCGUGUUAAAACAAGAACCUUUCAAGAAGGCGACUUAAUGCUUCGGCUCAUCCAGGAUCACACCAAUAUGCACAAGCUAUCCCCACCUUGGGAAGGACCCUUUGUGGUCAGCAAGAAUCUUCAUAAUGGGUCAUACUACCUCAUUGAUGUUCGAGAGCACGCAGACUCACGCAAAGCUGAGGAGGAGACCUGGCGGCCGUGGAACAUAGCUCUCCUUUGGCCUUACUACACUUGAGCCAUAGGCUCCUCUUAUAUACAUAUUUUGACAAUGUAUAUAUUAUGAUCAAUAUAAUAAAUCGACAUCCUUGCUAUAAGCAGGGCCUCUGCUGUUUUUCCAAUAUCUCUUGAUGACAUGGGGGCUUCAGCUGACAAAGUGGAGUUCUAUCUGUCAAUCCGGCUAUCACGCCCUAACAUAGCUUUGGAGCUUCACACCCAAGGGGCCAAAGAGAGUCUUGUUGCUAUGCAUAGCUCAAACAUAGGCACCCAUAGAGCACAACUCACAAAGUUACUUGGGGGCUCUUUAUGCAAUGCAGCAAAGAGUUUGAAAGGACCCUUGUAAUAUGCUAUCAAGCACGGCUUGGAAGCCUGGUGUAUUCACCUAAAACCCCGGGUUAACAUGCCUUAUCAAGUAAGCCACUCCUAUCCAGGUAAUCCUGGCACGACCCGCCGAACGUUUGACAAGUCAAUCUUAUACAGACCCUGAACUUGUCAAAGUUAAAACGACGAUUGGUUAGUUGGAGGCCCAUCUUGAAAGGCUUUGCAAAAUGGUUUAACUCAGUGACCUGGCAGCCCAUGAAAAGCCUCGAAUUUGGGCCCGGCAGCCCUUGAAAAGCCUCGACUACACGGUUUGUUUGCCUUUAUCAAGAUUUUUCUCUUUUGAUAAAGUGUUGUGUUGAACCGGCGUCUAUUGACCCGGCAUGACUAUUAGUCAUUAAAUUAACCCGGUGUUUGUUAACCCGGUUUGGUUUUCAACUACAAGUUGACAGACCACAUCCAAUUGUAAACCAGAGUUUAUUAACCUGGUCUGGCAUUGACUAUACGUCACCAGGUUGAUCAUCCGGUGUUUAUCAUAACCCGGCAUGGUUUCUUAUGCACCAGUACAGCAUGGUGUGAGUUGUUAAACGCAAGUCUUGGGUUAUCACCCUUAUUACAAUCAAGUUGGUAAACCAACUAUGUGAUUCAAACAUCACAUGUAUGAUUUAAUUCAUAUUUUCAUAUUCCUAUAGCAUUGGUUAUAAACCAAGCUUUAUAUUGGAUAUUAUUAUUCGUCCGGCGGUAAACCACCAGGACAAUAUUUCCAUUCUAUCUUGUGCAGGAAUAAGAUUGCAUAAAAAUACUAAGGCAUAUAAGCAAGUACAACAAUAAUCCUGAUGGAUCAAAUAGUAUCAUGCAACACUACACGAUGGCGGUGGAUCAAAGUAUUUCAACUAGCCUAUUACAAGGCACUCGGAUGCCCAAGAGAAUAAAGUAUUUAUUUCACAGAAUUCAAUCUAUGGAAAUUAAACCGGCCGAUGGUCUACGAUUCAUCACCAGGUUAACGUGAAGUUGACAGAUCAUCUAGCGCCGGUUCACCCUCCUCCUCCCCAUCCACUGGCUGGAAGUCAAUGUUUGCCCAGUCAAUUCCAGACAAAGCUCGGAAGACGGCUUCAUCACUUAUAAGAUCUGACGGUUCAAUGUCAGGGGCAUAAGUAUGCUUACGGAUUGGUGGGAUAAGAUUCUGCACUUCAUUCACAGAUGCAUCAAUCCGUUUGUUAUCUGCAUCAUAGUUGGACCGAUGGACAGACAAGUCAGUUACUUUGGCCAAUCUGCUCGCAAGCGGGCGCAUCUCCUUCAUCAAAGCUUUAAGGGCAUCAUUGUCAAAGUGUGACCCGUAUGCUAUUUGGCUUGGAUAGCCAUUUCCAAUGUUCUCCGGAUCAAGAUCAGCUAUCCAACCUUUGGCCCGACUGAGUGCAGAUAAAGCGCCAGCCCUUGCAGUAGAUCUCUUCAAUUCUUCCAGCUGAGCAGGAGUCAUAGAUAAUCUGGCCAAUGUAUCCAUGAUUAAGGUCGGUGGUGGUUUAUUGUAUGAGGCUGCGCGGAUGACCCGUUGAGCGCCAGUAUACAACUGCUCUAUCAAUGUGUAGGCAGCCUUCAACUUUUUUCGCAUAUCUGAGCCAUGAUGAGCAAUACGACUACCUGCAAUGGUUUAAGAAAUUACUGUUAAACCGGCAUGAUCAAAGAUGUUUCCUAAAAAGCUGAAGAAGAGUACUUACCAAAGAUAGCAGAAGUCAUCGCAUCGAUUUGCCGCUUAAAGCCACUCAGCUCUUCUGCUACCGGUUUAAGUGCUGCUUCAGCAUCUUCAGCCCAUUUCAGCAAAGCGGCCUUUUCAGUCUCCCAGCCUGCCCGCUCGUUCUUGAAGCCAUCCUUCAAUUGUUCCAUGGACAUCAAAGCGUCCUUCAAAUCAUGUGUUGCUUUUGAGGUUGCAGCUUGCUGGGACUUAAUGUUUUCCUGGAGGUCGGCAAUUUGGGCAUCCUUGCUGGUUAAGUCAGCCUGCAAAAGGCAGAUAUUAAGAUGGUAAUACUUUUUUCAUAGUCCCAAGCACAUAACAAGUUAUACACUUGGCACUUGGGGGCUAAUGCGGAUUGUUUCUCUCAAGCUGAUAUUUUAAAGUCCCAAGGCUCAAUACAAGUAUUCAUCUUGGCACUUAGGGGCUAAUGCUUAUUUGAUCAUAUAAACUGGAUAUGAAGGAACUCAACAAGGAUAAGCCUUGCAACAUAAAGUACCGGUUCAUCUUCAAGAAGAUAAACCAGCCCUUGGGGGCUACACAGUUGAAGUUUUUCAUAUUGAAGUACCGGUUCUUCUUCAAGAAGAUAAACCGGCCCUUGGGGGCUACACUGGAGUAGACAUGAAGCAAAAGAAUAGUUUUAUGAAAUGGUUCGAGCAAUAAUUACCUCAUAGCGCUCCUUCAUCAAGUUGACUAAACCGGCUUCAUAGUCACAACUUGUGUAUAGGCGGUUUAGAAAUCCAGAGUGGAGUUCCUGAGCAGUGAGGUUAGCACAACUGGCUAAAUCAGUCUUCCACUUGCCUUUGCCCAUAGCAGCAACUUCUUCCUUGGCAGUAUGCUUCGCUAGAGCAACCGGGUUACCAGGAAUAGUAUGACCAGUACCAGUAAUGACAACGUCGUCAUCACCAUCUUUGGUUGUGCUUGGCGGAAUAUCAGUAUUCCUGGUUGGACUUGGCGGAUGGUCUUCAUCCUUGGCUGGACUUGGCGGAUCAGUAGGAUGGUUCAUAACAUUACUCUCAUCCGGUUCAACAAAAGUAUCUUGAACCGGAGGUACUGGAUCUUCCUGAACAACAUCGGUAUCCAGGUCAUGAGGUUCAAGGGUCUUCUCCGAUUCAAGGGUAUGAUUAUCAUCAAUUGGAACAGUGAAUUUGGCUUUCUUGCUAAGCCUGCCUUUAGCACUGAGAAGAGUAAAGUACAGGCAUUAGUACAGUAAACCGGAGCAACAUAUAAAGUAAGUAUACUGCACUUACCCAGGGACGGUCUUGAGUGGAGGCAUCUGUGUGGUCAAUGAAUCGCCAGAGGAUGAAUUGGAAGCUCCCUGAUAAUUUGAAUCAGACGAAUUAAGAGGAUAUCGAAAGCAACCCGCCUUGGGAUAAGAUGUAUUGGAAGUACAAGAGACCUCUGGUCGGCGUUUGCGAAUCGGAGUAUCCGGUAAACCAGAGGAUGUAACCUGUUGACCACUGUGACGAGUUGUGCGACGAGCCUCAUGUUGAUGUGUCUUCAAAGAAAAGUGCGGAUCCAAAUGAGCAAGAGGAUGUGAAUGUUUUACUUUCCGGACUGCGCGAUGGAGUUUCUGUACCGGCACAUGAUCUGAAUCAGAGGAAAGGGAAAUUACCUCUACAUGGUCAGCACGACUUGCCUCCACAUCAUCCCGAUAAUGAUUAUUGUCAAUAAGGUGCAUGAAAAGUGAACCAAGUGAAUCAAUUUCUACCUCCGUGUCUGAGUCAUCAACAUCUUCGGCCGGAUCAGAGGAUUCGGCGGUUCUCUUCUUAGCAGACUUCUUGGUAACCUUGGACUUAGCCUGAGGCGCUCUCACCGGUUUGUCUUGAGCUUUGGCCGGUUUGACCAGCGUUUUCCUCUUCCAAAAUGGAUCAUUGCUCUGCAAAGGUAAACAGAAGGGCUGUCAGAAAGUGUCAAAAAGGGCGGAGUAAAAUAGGAAAAAUGCAAUUCUUACAGCUGGCGGUUUAUGGAGAGCACAUAAUGGACGCAGCCCAGUUUUGCUGCAUUCAGCUACCAGUUCAUCCAGCAUCCGCUUGACAAAUUCAGUAAUCACGUCAUCAGUCAAUUGAAUGUCAAUAUAAUGUUGAGCAUCUUUCACAUCUCCUGUAUACUCGCACAUUAAACCGGAACGACGACUUAAAGGCAAGAUACUCCAUGAGACCCAGCAACGGACAAGAUCGAUACCGGUCAAACCGUUUGCCAUAAAAGCCCGGACCUUAGAGAUCUGUGUGGCAUAUUUCAUUCGCUCCUUAGCAGUCAGACAUUGAGGCAGUGGAUGUUCAUUACUAAGCCGGUGAGCACAAUAACCCGGCAGAGGGUUUUCAUCUUCAGGGGCAAUGUUCCGGCAGUAAAACCAGGUUUGGUUCCAAUCCUUGGGGUGGCUAUGAUGUUUGGCAUGAGGAAAACUAACUUCUUUCCUCUUCUGUAUUGACACCCCGCCAAGUUCAGUAUUGGGGCCAUCGAUGAAUUCAGUAUCGCGGUUCAAGUGAAAGAAACCUCUAAAUAGCUCAACGGUUGGUUCCUCUUGCAGAUAAACCUCACAAAACAGUUGAAAGUUGCAAAGGUUGGACAUAGAGUUUGGUCCAAUGUCUUGAGGGUGGAGUUGAAGGCUGGCAAGUACAUCACAGAAAUUUUUUGAUCCAGGAGGGCUAAACCCCUGGUCCAGAUGAUGUACAGACACAAUCACCUCUCUGUCUUGAGGUUCAGGAGGACAUUCAGUACCUGGGACACUCCAAUGAAUAAUUUCCUCUUUUGCUAAAUUGCCAGUCACAACGUACUCAGUCAGUUGUUCUUUAGUGACCCGGGAACGGACCCAAUUGCAAGUAGAGAACUGCUUGGCCAUUGUUGAUGACAACUGUAAAAGAAGUUCAAAAUGCCGGUUCACGGUUCAAUAUUGAUAUGUAUAAACUGGGGUCAAACCGGAGGAUUUAGUCAGAGCAUAUGUGCACGUCAAACCGAAUUCUUAUGUUUAGGUUAAGUUGGCGGUUUAAGUGAGGGCUAAUGGUGCCUGGCGGAUUGUCAUUUUCUAAAGGUUAAACCGCCUAUAGUGGAGGAAGUAGAUCCGAACAUUUCACUAAGUACUGUAGAAACAUGUUUCACAGGAUGGUGUUAUAAUUUUGGAUCUACUGCGGUUCAGUAAACAAAAAUUUCUGAACCCUAGAAUGGAGACAUCAGAACAGCGAAGAUCUAGAUGGGAUUUAUCCAGGAACGAAGAGAUACUAUGGUGAAGCAAACUAAAGCUACAGCUUCGGCCGCAAAAGGAGGAUAUCAAGUUUAUAUAGAUUCGAUGAUACAAUAAGGGCAAAGAGACGAACGAGGAUGAACACUGAUGAACACGGACGAACACCAAAAUCCUAAUACAGAUCUGAUAAGUUGGGAACAGGAGAACUUACUGGGGCUGCGGGGCAGCGGAAGAGCGUCGCAGUGUUUCUGGUCAAGAACAGGUUGAUGCAGUGGCCUUGUUGGUGCAGAUGCAAAAGUCGACGGCGCCGGUGAUGCUUGAGCUCUUCGGAGUCGCGAGGAAGAAGAAGAGGCAAGGGGGAAAAAGGAAAGGACCCCUGGGCCUAUUUAUAAGGCGAAUGGAUAAGUAAGGCAAGCGCAUGAAUCGAGGAGCCCGAAAAUGAAUGGGGCACAACUGUUGCCUCGAUCUUCGGAGAUCAAUUAAUAAAAAGAAAUCUUUAUGAGUUUUUUACGCAGAUGACGUCACAUCGGUUUAAUGUGAUUCCCGAAGAUGACGUCACGACAGUUUACAAGGACAACAUGGAGAUGUUCAAAUCAGAGUUUCUUUAAGUGGAAGAUUGACAUGAACAAGUUCAAAUCAAUCUGGGGCCUAAUGUUGGGGAUAUGACUACUGAGUUAAACCGCCCAGGAAAGGGCCGGAUUAACUCACAAGGAUUCCUGUACAAGAGCCCAUGAAGAUGAAGGCUAUGGCGCUUUAACCAUGAAGACUUAGAGUCCCAGAGCCCGAUGGCGGAUUAGGGCCCAUAAUGGUAAACCACCAUAGAUGUGUAACUUCUGUUGUAAGUCAAGGAAAGGAGAAACCGAGCUGGACACUUGUAUGAGCCGGCCUCGGGAUUAUGUAAACCGGCCGAGCGUCAACCUGUGUAUAUAAAGGGACGACCAGGCGGCGGUUCAGGGACAAGAAACAACAACUAUAAAGCCAGGCAUAGCGUGUUUGCUCCCUGGUAACCGAGACCACAUCAAAAACACCCCAACUGGAUCGUAGGCUUUUACCUUCACCGCAAGGGGCCGAACCAGGAUAAACUCCCCGUGUCCUUUGUCCGGUUUAACCCCAUUAAGCUAACCCGUCGCGAUGGCUCCACGACUAAGUCCUUUCACUAGGACAUCUGACAUGAUAAUUCCACGACAACCCCCAUGGCGGUUCACUCAUGGGCCACUUCAGGCAGCCCAUGUCGCAUACAAGGAUUAUUCCACAAGACUUGGUGAUCAAGACAAGGACUCCUAUCCACCAACGUAUUCGGCUAGGACUCUUGUUAUCCUAGGCCUCUGGUGCAUUAUAUAAGCCAAGGCUAGGCUAGUCGAUAGAUCAUUAUGAAAAUCAUACAAGCUAGACUUCUAGGGUUUAGCCAUUACAAUCUUGUGGUAGAUCAACUCUUGUAAUACUCAUAUUCAUCAAGAUCAAUCAAGCAGGAAGUAGGGUAUUACCUCCAUAGAGAGGACCCGAACCUGGGUAAACAUCGUGUCCCCUGUUUACUGUUACCAUCGACAUUAGACGCACAGUUCGGGACCCCCUACCUGAGAUCCACCGGUUUUGACACCGACAUUGGUGCUUUCAUUGAGAGUUCCAUUGUGUGAUCGGUAAAGGAUCGAUGGCUCGUCUGCAGAUUAACUGCGACGUCAGCAUCUUUGUCAUCAGCUCGACUGGUCAACUCGGCUUGACCGAGGACUGUGCCCUACCUCCGAUAGUCAUGUUCGAACGAGUGCCUUCAUUAACAUCAACUCCGAUCUCGAUCAUGAUCAUGGAGGAAUUAUCCUUGGAGCUCGGGGGCUCAACGUCAACACUGCCCUCAGGCGACCGAGCUAUUUUCCCGGAGAACAAACUUGUAUCCCCUGCCACCACCUCCUCGAGCAUCGCUUUGAUGAUUCCUUCGAUGGAAUUGUGUGGAAUUAUGUCUAUAACAACCAUGCAAAAUUUCGCGAGUUCCGAUGGAGGAAUCUCCGGCAAUCUACGAUAUACCAGAGCCUUGUCAAAUUUGGACAAGAAUCUGGACGAUUUUAGGGCGUGGUCUCCAGAUCCAAGCUCGCUCGGAGGUCCUUUGGAAGAUCCAACCGUUCCUCCGCUGCGGAAUUCUCAUAUCUACCACCCCUCAAACUUUCAGCUCGAUCUGACGGUUGAAACUCCAGGAACGUUCCGAUGAGUGGACCAAUUUUCUCAUGUUUUUUCUUCGCGAGAACAAAUCCGAGCCUAGUUCAUCUUUUUUAUGAACGGGAUUUCGGACAUCCUUUUUGAAGGAAGUUCUGUAUGGGGUAUUGUGUUUUGUUCCCAAACACAUCCCACAAAUUUUAAAGUCUUUCCCAAUAUGGUCUUCAAUGCACCGGUGUCAAACCAGCCUGACAACGUUACUCCACGGCUGCCGACCUGCGUUAAACAAGUCGUCCCUUUGUUGAGCCGAUCUCAACUUCUUCGGAUCAUCAUCUCAGCAAGCCGGACAAGUGUUCGGCACCGUGAAGGAUAGAUCACCACCAACAUCGCCGCCCCACGGAUCAUACGGAGCGGGCACACCGGCAUCGCCGCACGGUCACUUCAUCGAGCUGGCAUUUACCGCGUCAUAAGUUAUGACCUGCACCGUCAUGUGGCGGCAUUGUUGGUUCUUCAAGCCGAUGUCCAUCACGCUGAACUGCUUCAAUACCUCGGCUGACACGGCAGCUGCAAUGUCUCCUUACCGACCUGCUCCGUCACCUCGGCUAGACCGGGGGCUUCGCCAUCCCUUCUUCAACCUACUUCGGAGACUUCGGCGUCGUCAACCGACUAGCUUAGUCACGUUAUCUAGACCGGGGCUUUGCCUCGGUGAGCCAACCCUUACCAGCAUCACCAUGCCGUCACUUCACCGCCAUUAGGCAAUGGGUGUGCGGAUCAAUUCUCAAUUUUGGGAGUCACUUUUCUUCGGACUGCUACAACAAAUAAACCAGGUGCUAUUAAUCCUAGCAAUUUUUGCUUAUUUGGGUUUUAUUUUUCUCAAGAAAUUAUUAUUCUGCUUCGUUCCAUCAUCUGUACACAGGCCUAUCAAAUGGCAGCCACAUUAACAACGGUCGCGUGGUGGUUCGGUCAGUUUCCGUACAUAGUUUGGCGAACGCCGCAUCCGGAACUCGGACUGACCUUUGAAUUCAGGCUUUGCCACGCCUUUACCACAUCACGUUGUUGUCUGGCAUCGACAUUGACUUCGGCGCUAUGACACAUAUUUUUAAAUAAAUUAUCUUGCGUAAAUUAAUUACGCGAGGAUUUUUAUAUUAUUAUUGUCGGCCUGCACUAUUUUACUUGUACAUGUAAUCGACUUCGACUGCGUCACUUGGUCACUUUGACAAGCCGACGCCGUCGUCCCAAUCGGCUUAAAUCAGCUCGCGUGAUUACCUUGUUUGUCGAAUUGCCAUACCGACAUGCUCGGUCGCUUUGGGGACUUCGGCAUCGCUGAGAGAGCCCUACCUCAUCGACUGUUCCACACACGAGCCAUAUUUCUUUUAUUACUCACUUUGCAUAAAUUAUUAAUUAAUUAUUUAUUUAUUAUUACUACUAUUAUCUCCGGUUUGCACUAUUUUCUGUGCACACGUAAAUGAUUCGGGUCGGGCAGUGUUAUCUCCUCGGCGUACUGACAUAGCACGUCACCUCGGCUGGACUGGGGGUUUCGUCAUUGAGGGAGUCCUAGAUUAGGGGGUAUUCGGACAGCCGGACUAUAUACUUUGGCCGGACUGUUGGACUAUGAAGAUACAAGAUUGAAGACUUUGUCCCGUGUCCGGAUGGGACUCUCCUUUGCGUGGAAGGCAAGCUUGGCGAUUCAGAUGUUAGAUCUCAUUCUCUGUAACCGACUUUGUGUAACCCUAGCCUCCUCCGGUGUCUAUAUAAACCGGAGUGUUUUAGUCUGUAGGACAAGAACAAUCAUAAUCAUAGGCUAGCUUCUAGGGUUUAGCCUCUACGAUCUCGUGGUAGGUCAACUCUUGUAUUACCUCCAUCGAGAGGGCCCAAACUUGGGUAAACAUCGUGUCCCCAGCCUCCUGUUACCAUUGUCCUUAGACGCAUAGUUUGGGACCCCCUACCCGAGAUCCGCCGGUUUUGACACUGACAUUGGUGCUUUCAUUGAGAGUUCCUCUGUGUCGUCGCUGUAAGGCUCGAUGGCUCCUUCAAUCAUCAACAAGGACGCGGUCUAGGGUGAGAUUUUUCUUCCCGGACAAAUCUUCGUGUUCAGCGGCUUCGAACUACGGGCCAAUUCACUUGGCCAUCUGGAGCAGAUCGACAGCUAUGCCCCUGGCCAUCAGGUCAGGUUCGGAAACUUGAAUUACACGACCGACAUCCGCGGAGACUUGAUCUUUGACGGAUUCGGGCCUACUCCAGGAGCGCCGGACGGUCACGACGGGAACGACUUAGACCGGUUGUCGGACGGUAUUCGGGAUAACGCACCUGCAGCGGCUCUGGACCUAAAUCCAAGGCAGAUCGCGUCGUCCGAGGACGGGUGGAUGGACCCCGCCACGGAGGCCGCAUACUCAUCGGCGGUAGAGCCGAACACAGACUCCACCUCUAAGGAAAUCUGUGUCACCGGACCCCAGGACGUGUCUCCGGCCUCAGGUUCCAGAUCGCGUGCAUCCGGGCCUAUCGAAUUUGAUUGGGCUCCGAUAAUGGAGUUCACCACCACGGAUAUCUUUCAGCACUCGCCCUUGGGCGAUUUGCUGAAUUCAUUAAGGUCUCUCUCUUUGUCAGGAGACUCUUGGCCGAACUAUGUCCGGCUCGAGUGGGAAGCAGAUGACGAAGAAAUUCGUCACCCACCCACCACCCACUUCAUUGCCACUGUCGAUGAUUUAACCGACGUGCUCGACUUCGACUCCGAAGACAUCAACGAUAUGGACGACGAUGCAGGAGAAGAACGGGAACCACCGCCCACAGGGCGCUGGACAGCCACCUCCUCAUAGUAUACAUAUAUAUGGUGGACACACCCAAAGAAAACAAUGGCGAUGAGGCAACAGAGGAUAACCCCUUAGGAAAGCAAUCAAAGCAUGGGCAUCACCGAUGCCGCUCUAAGCCCCGCCACAGCAACACCGGCACAGGAGACGAAAACAAUCCGGAUGGUGCCGAAGAUUAAUAUAAUCCCAAUCAACCUACCUUCGAGCAGACCGAACAGGAGGACGGGAAAGCUAGCCCAGAUGAACAGGCGAUGGACGGAGACUUGGAGGAUGACAAUUAUAUGCCUCUCUGCGAAGAUGGGGUGAGCCUAGGCGAUGAUGAAUUCGGCGUGCCUGAGGAUCCCGUAGAGCAGGAGCGCUUCAAGCGCCGGCUUAUAGCCACUGCAAGAAGCCUGAAGAAGAAGCAGCAGCAGCUCCAAGUUGAUCAAGAUCUGCUCACAGACAGAUGGAAUGAGGUCCUGGCAGCCGAGGAAAACGGACUCGAGCGCCCCACCAAAGGUUACCCAAAGCACAAGUUGCUACCUCAACUCGAGGAGGAGGCCAUAGAGCCUACACUACUAGCACAGGACGAGGCUGACCAGCCACCUCGUGGCCGAGACAAAGGGGUGUAUUAGCCCGAAUACCAACCCGCACCCCGACGCCCAUAUACUAUGGCCCGGGGCAAUACACAGGACCUGCGACAUAUUGGAAAACAAUGCAGGACAACCAAGAUCGAUCUACGGAUCGCGGGGGCGCGUCACAUCACAUGACGAUGAUCGUCAUGCCGGAUACACUAACAAUAAGUUCGACCGGGCCGAACAUAACCGACCAGACUUAGUUGGACUGCGUCGUGACAUAGCCCGGCAUAGAGGCGCCGCACACCCCCUCUGCUUCACUGAUGAAGUAUUGGAUCAUGAAUUCCCAGAAGGGUUCAAACCCGUAAACAUCGAAUCAUACGAUGGCACAACAGAACCCGCGGUAUGGAUCGAAGAUUUCCUUCUCCACAUUCACAUGGACCGCGGUGAUGAUCUACAUGCCAUCAAGUAUCUUCCCCUUAAGCUUAAAGGACCAGCCCGACACUGGCUGAAUAGCCUGCCGGCGAACUCCAUCGACAAUUGGGAAAAUUUGGAUGACGCGUUCCUCGACAACUUCCAAGGGACCUACGUGCGACCACCACAUGCUGAUGACUUAAGUCACAUUACCCAACAGCCCGAAGAGUCAGCCAGGAAAUUCUGGACUCGGUUCCUAACUAAAAAGAACAAAAUUAACGACUGUACGGAUGCCGUAGCCGGCCUUUAAGAAUAAUAUCCGUGACGAGUGUCUUGCCCGACACCUCGGCUAAGAAAAACAGAAAUCCAUGGCGGCCCUCACGACACUCAUGACCCGCUUUUGCGCGGGCGAGGACAGCUGGCUGGCUCGCAGUAGCACCACGCCAAGAGACUCUGGCACCUCAGAUGUCCGCGAUAGUAACGGCAAGCCUCGGCACAACAUACAUAAGCGUCGGAACUAUGGCGACAACACCGAAGACACGACAGUCAAUGCCGGAUUCAGUAGCUCCAAAUCCGGUUAGCGGAAAAAGCCGUUCAAAAGAAACAAUCCGGGAUUGUCUAGUCUGGACCGCAUACUCGACCGCUUGUGCUAAAUUCACGACACCCAUGAUAAACCAGCUAACCAUACUAACAGAGAUUGCUGGGUGUUCAAACAGGCCGGCAAGUUGAAUGCCGAGAACAAGGACAAGGGGCUGCACAGCGACGACAACGAGGAGCCCCAACGGCCGAACACAGGGGGACAGAAGAAAUUUCCUCCCCGAGUGAAAACGGUGAAUAUGAUCUAUACCACCCACAUCCCCAAGUGGGAAUGAAAGCGUGCACUAAGGUACGUUUACACGAUGGACCCGGUCGUCCCAAAGUUCAACCCAUGUUCAUCCUAUCCGAUCACUUUCGAUCGCAGGGACCACCCUACCAGUAUCCAUCAUGGCCUGAACCUGCUUUACCAGGACACAGUGUGCAAAAUGGGCAUUGAUCCCUCAAGGAUCAAACCCACCAAAACUACCUUUAAAGGUGUAAUUCCAGGCGUAGAGGCCUAUUGUACGGGCUCAAUAACACUGGAAGUGGUCUUCGGAUCUCCAGAUAACUUCCGAAGGGAGGAGUUAAUCUUUGAUAUCGUCCCUUUACGUAGUGGCUAUCAUGCACUGCUUGGACGAACCGCAUUUGCUCGAUUCAGUGUGGUACCACACUACGCAUACCUCAAGAUGAAGAUGCCAGGACCUCGAGGGGUCAUAACAGUCAAUGGAAACACAGACCGCUCUCUCUGUACGGAAGAGCACACUGCGGCCCUUGCGGCAGAAGUACAAAGCAGCCUUCUUCGGCAGACCGCCAAUUCGGCGAUGACAACCCCGAACACCAUCAAGCGAGUCCUGAGUACUCUGCAACAGGAUCGGCAGGCACGCCAAGAGCUCAACUAGCAAUCUGGCCUCCAUCCAAGUCCCAUUCAGGCCGCAUUUGUGUCGCGCGUACACAAUUACGGACUCAAAAUACCACGGGCAUAGGCGGAGGCGCGAUGAUGAUGCGGUCCACAAUGCGGCUCAACCGCCACGAGACCCGCAUACCUCUAUAACCUUCUUUCUUUUUCAGGACCCUACUUUCGGGCAGCCCCUUCAGAGAGCCUAAUCAUCGGACUCGUCAUAGGAGGGACAACCAAGGGGGCAAGAGGCUUUGCACACAAGGGAAUACUUAGGUGGUCUUUGUUAACGAUCAUUAUGCCUGUUUUACAUACCCACAUGCAGCCUGCCCUUGGAUAGGACAUGUCAAAUAGUACUAUUUUUGCUUGUCGCAUUAACUUGUACACAUACGCUUUGACAUAUUAUUUAAAUAACAACGGGAAACAAUAUACAGCGUCAACUUAUUAUUACUAUUUUCAUAUUUUCCCUGGACUGUUUAUUUAAUAUUGCAUCCCUACACUCUGGUACGUUCAGUUUGCUAGGGGCUUUUUAUUGUGCCCCAUAACACGGCAAGAAAAGUCCGAACACUUUUGAUAUUGCGGCACCCCGAACUUAUAGCAUUAUAUGCAUCUGCCCCGAAUCAUGUAUUGGGUCAAUAGUUGGGUUUGGCGGGCUCCCUUGUUUUGGUACCUUACGUUCCGUUAUAUCGGCUAAGGUAGUGCAGGGAGAACUACUGCGAUUGUGUCCCAGUUCUUCCGGACGAGCAUCUCAGUAGAGAAAGCGGAAAACUGACUGUCAUGAUGCGGUGAGAGUUGGUCGCUGUUCGAGAGGUAUUAAAUCCUUAAAGAUUUUUUCCUCUUCAGGCGAGGAAUCGGCCUUGUCCGGUUUAUGCAUGUAUAGCGCCCCAAUUCGGCUUUCCGAAUACUAGGGGCUUCACCAAAAUUUAAAAUUGUAGACUUCUAUGGCUAAGUGAGAGUUAUAAAGCCGCAUAGUCCGAUUGCCUUGUUCACUGUGCUAAACACCUCCUUAAAGGACCAAGAAUUUGUAUACAGAGUGUUUGGGUUUUCCACAAACACCCCAGUACUAGUUACACGGGGGCGGAAGCUGACGACUUGCCUACUUUCAGAAUUUUAUAAACAGCCGCACAGAAGGUAAUAUUUCAAAUCAACAAAGCGUCAUAUAGCGCAAACGAACUCGUUUUCAUAUUACAAAGAUGACAUGAGUACAUUCACUCAACGAUUAUGUCCUUGGUACAUUCAUUGGCCACAAGGCAAGCGCCUUUUAUAACGCCAUCAUAAUAUUUCUCGGGGUAGCGAUGCGCCUUACCCUCCGGGGGUCCAUCCUUCACCAGCUUCUCUGCAUCCAGUUUGGCCCAAUGCAUCUUUGCACGGGCAAAUGCCCGGCAGGCACCUUCAAUACAAACGGAUUGCUUGAUAACUUCAAGCCACGGACAAGCAUUUACCAUCCGCUUUACAAGGCCGAAGUAACUGUCGGGCAGGGGCUCGUCAGGCCACAUCCAGACUAUGAGGUCCUUUAUGGCCAGUUCGGCCGCCUUGUGGAGUUCAACCAAUUGCUUCUGUUGGUUACUUAGAGGCAUUGGGUGUUCGGCUCCAGUAUACUGGGACCAGAACAGCUUCUCCAUCGAGAUCCCCUCUUCGGCACGGUAGAACUCCGUGGCAUUCGAUAUGCUGCGUGGUAGAUCUGCGAAUGCCCAGGGAGAGCUCCGAAUUCGAUUAAGUAAAAGAAAUGUCUCCUCCACAUGCUUGCUUCGCAUAUUGAAGGCCUUACCCGCCGCUAUCUUCUUGGCCGUCUGGAUUUCCUAGAGGGCCUUUUGGGCUUCGGCCUUGGCGUGUUCCGCGCUCUGGAGGGCCUUGGCAAGCUCAGACUCUUGCGUCUUGAAGUCAUGCUCCAAGGACUCGAACUUCUGGCCGAACUCCUGGAGCUCUUGCUGUACCUCACUCACCCGAGAAUCUUGCUUUUCACGCUCAGUACGGUCCGUGGCUGCUUUAUCUUUGGCCUCGGAUAGCUCUUUCUUCAGGGCCGCCACUUCGGUCAUGGCCCCUAUUAAAAAUCAUGAUGCUUUUUGUUAGCGUCACCAAUUUUUUCCUCUAUAUGACACACGGACGGGGUAUCACUUACUUCGUUCUCUUCGAGUUGCCUCUUCAUGAGGCUGAGCUCUUCUUCGGCCUGCUUCAGGUCCCGUUUGAGUCCGGCGACCUCCGCAGUACGGGCGGUAGCGGCCAGCAGCAACACCUGCUUACUCACAUAGACAUUCAUUGUUAGACUCCUGCGGAUUAAAAAUUGACCCUCCGUUUGGCUUUUCUUUCCGAACACCAAACAGAGUAUCAGGGGCUACUGUCUAUUAGGUGAUAUUUUCUCACACCUUUCAUCACUUACCUCAAAGCCUGUUAGGAGGCUGGUGCAGGCUUCUGUCAAUCCGCUUUUGGCGGACCGAACAUUCUCAAUCACCAUACUCAUAAGAGUAUGGUGCUCUUCGUCAAUGGAAGCAUCGCGAAGCACUUCCAACAAAUUAUCUGAUGCCUCCAGCUGGAUGGAGGUCAUCGGCACGGCCGGCUCGCCCUCCUUAGAGAGGGGCUACCUACUUGAAUCCGAAACCUUUGGAGGCUCCGGCGCAGUAACUGUCUGGGAGCCAGACUUGUUGUGGCUCCCGUCCGCAUAAUCCAUGGGGAUCUUACCCCCCACAUGCCCGGUGGCUGGGAUUUCGCCUUGGGGCGUCUCUAGAACCGCCAUCCCCUAUUCUGGUAUCCUUUGGGACAACACCUCGGUGUCAUCCGCGGGCCAAGGGGAGGUGGCCGUUGGGAGUGAAUUCAUCUCCGACUCGCUCAGGGACCCGUCCGAAGACGAUACCUCGAGGCGGGACCCAGUCGGACUACAUAUGCGUGUUCGGCAUUGUCACAAACCAUGAAAUUAAGAUGCAUGAAAAAUACUAUAGAGUGUGGAUACUUACUAUCUCGCCAGGGGCUUGCCCCUGGGCAACCACUCCUCCUCGCUGUAGGCGGCCGCGGUGGAGUGAUCCGGAAGGGAUGCCUUUCCCUUCUUCGGUGUCCUGGCCUCCCCGUAUGGGGUGGCUUUCCUCUUCUUCUCCUCCCCAAUGCGGGGAGGGGGAAUUUAUUCAGGUUUCCCCCCAUCUCCGUGGGAGGAAUUUGCCUCGGCGUACUCGGACGACGAGUCUAUUACAGCCUUCACCGGAGACCUUUCCUGGUCCCUGCGGCCGCUUUCUUGGACCUUUCGGCCUCCUCAGAUGGGGCGGCCUUCCUCUUCCUCUCCUUCCCUUCAUGGGAGGACUGUGCCUCAUCGUCUUCAGAUAAGGCAUCCGGCGCAACCUUGUGCCGAAGACCCUUCCUGGUCCCCGUGGUCUUCUUUUCGGCCUUAUUAUCCGGCACCUUGUAAGGCGCCAGAACCAGCAUCUCCGUGAGGAGUGCGGUUGCUAGAUCUUCCGGCAGCGGAGCCGGGCAGUCGAUCCGCUGCGCUGUCGCCACAUAAUCCUGUUUUGAUAAGCAUGGUGACUUAAAAUCCUCCCACGAGUUUUCUGGGAAAGGUACAUCUUGUGAUGUUCGGAGAACUUACUGGAUUGGCGAGGCACGUGGCGCUGAGUCCGCGGUCCUCGGAAGCGGGAGGAGGUACUUCGGCGGCCUUGAACAGCACCUUCUAGACGUCUUUAUGCGUCGUGUCGAAGAGCUCUCGCAGCGUUUGGUGUUCGGCUGGAUCAAACUCCCAUAUAUUGAACGCCCGUCUUUGACACGGGAGGAUCCGGCGAAAGAACAUGACCUGGACCACGUUGACAAGCUUGAUCUUCUUGUCUGUCAGGACCCCGAUCCUAAGUCACACCGAUCUGGCAUGUAACACAUCAUAUCACUCUGCGGCCUCACGCACGGUAUUCCCACGGGUGCCACCUUACCUGGCCCGGGACCGUUUGCACCUUUUGGCUCACAUAUAUGAUAGUGCCGCUAGCAUCCAUAUGACAAAGAACCCGGGCUGACAUGGCUAGUCGUGAACCCAAAGUGGCACUAACUUACAGGGACAUGCAUACAUGACCCAGCAACGAACGUGUCGGUCAUCAGCGAGUGAAUCUGGGCUGUAGCAACUGGGCUAGCAGGACUCCGGUAAACCAGGCUGUAGCAGGCUAACAGGACUCCGGUAGACACCGCGUGACAUUUCCCCGAAGGGAUAGACACAGGAAUGAAGAAGGACACAUGCCGGCCAGCCUAAGUGUUCCGGAGCAGUAUAAAGCUACCAAGGCUCAGUGGAAGCACUAGGAGACAUUUCCCGGUAAGAGAGGCUACCAAGGAUGAACAACUAGAUAGUCAGAUCCCACACAGACCAAGCAUUUCAAUAACAUACACACAAUAUGCUCGAUAUGUGCAAAUACAACAUGGCAUCACAACAUGACUCUACAACUCAAGUAUUUUUCAAUAGGCUCCGAGGAGCGAGAUAUUACAAUCAUGGGUCGCAUGACCCAACAUUCAGAGCAUACAAGUCAAAGCACAUGCGGAAGCUUAACAUGUCUGAGUACGGACAUCUACAAAAGAAAAAGGCUGAGAAGCCUGACUAUCUACUAGAUCCUGCCGAGGGCACAAGAUCGUAGCUGAGGUAACAAGCUAAACGUCAAAGUCCACAUGGAACUACUAGCGAGACUGAAGUCUCUCUGCAAAAACAUAAAUUAAGCAACGUGAGUACAAAUGUAACCAGCAAGACUUACAUCAGAACUAACUACAUAUGCAUCAUUAUCAACAAAGGGGCGUGGGGUUUAACUGCAGCAAGCCAGCUUUGACUCGAUGGCUAUCCUGAAUUAUGACUGUAAGUAUCUCUUUUGAGGUGACGCACACGAGUCCACAUAUUCACCAUAUCAAUACACCACUAUGGAUCCGCUCCCGUCUCCCUAUGAGAACGCCAUCCAUAGCACUCACGUAUAUCUUGCGUAUUUUAGAGUAUCCACUUUCACUUGUCUAUGAACUGUAUAGGCAACCCAAAAGUCCUUUGCCGCGGAAACGACUAUUCGAAUAGAUCAUAUUAACCCUGCAGGGGUGUACUUCUUCACACACGCUCUCACCACUUACCGCCGUUUACACGACAUGUACUCGGCAACCUUCAAGCGGAAGCCCAGCGAGGGUGUCGGCCACGACCUGACUAACCACACAAGUCUCUCAUCCAGGUUUAUCGCCUAUUCGGGUUCCAUCCGCAAGGAGAUCCGGCCGGGGUGUCGCUCACGGCCCCAAACGAUGUGUGCAGGGUUCCCAAGCCCACCAUCCGGGUGCCACUUGGUACACCGGGCCACUGUGCCUAGUCUGUCCCAAGCCCACCUGUACCGGGUGCCACUUGGUAGACUACUAGCACUACCUACAAACACCAGAAACUAGCUGCAACUCUUGGACACAGAUCGAGUUGAUUAAUAAGUCGAGAGAGUCAAUUAAGGAUCCCAAUGUGUGGUAGUAGCUGUUAAUGGAUCACAAACACAGAACUCAGUUCCUGAGGACGGCUGCAAUGAGACAACCCACCAUGUACUCCUACACGGCCUCUCACCGCUACCUUUACCAAAUCGUGUUCACACACUUAGCUCACACACAGUAGGACAUGUUCACACACCUCCAAUUCAUUCCCGAUGAAACAGACCUGACACAACUCUAAGCAAUAGCAGGCAUGACAAACAAGCAUGAAUGAGUAGGCACAUCAGGGCUCAAACAACUCCUACUCAUGCUAGUGGGUUUCAUCUAUUUACUGUGGCAAUGACAGGUCAUGCAGAGGAUAAGGGGUUCAGCUACUGCAACAAGUAACAAAUAUGUCAUUGUUGUCCUAAUGCUGUAAAAGAGAGCAGGAGCGAGAGAGUGGGAUUUUAUCGGAAUGAACAAGGGGGUUUUGCUUGCCUGGCACUUCUGAAGAUAGCAUUGAGUCUUCAUCAGUGUCAACGAUCACAAUGUCGGUACAACGUCUACCGAGGGGGAACAACACCGGCAAACAGAGAAGAAACACGAUCAAUGCAAUGCACAAUAUGAUGCAUGCUAUGACAUGGCAAUAUGAAUGUGUUUUGGGCUAAUGCAAGCUAGAACAGGUUGAGAUGAGUCCAUUUGAACCAAAGAUUCAAAUGCAAACCCAUUUUAAAAGGUCGUAUUAGUGCAUUACCUUGUUUCACCUAAACAGCAAGGUUAAAGUGUUCUAUCAUGCAUGAGAAUGGUACAGAUGGAUAGAUUGCAUUUUUCUGAUCAUUUUUCAUAUAUAAAUUGUUUGAUUUGGAGCUACGGUUGAUUUUCUAUGAUUUUUAGAAGUUUUGGUUAUUUUCUGGAAUUCCUUGUAUAAGAAAAUUCCAGUAAUUAGUUAUUGCGUCAGUGUGACGUAAGUGGUCAAAGGGGACGUCUAGGUCAAACUGACCUGUGGGCCCUGCGUGUCAGUAGUUAGUUUAACUAACUAAAUUUAGUUAGUGCUAAUCCUGGGUUAGUUAGCAGGGCGGGCCCCACCUGUCAUAGACCCAAGGGUCAAAUUGGGCCCACCUGGUCAACUCAGUCAACAGGGUCAACUCGCCGGCGUUUAGCCGCCGGCGAGGUCAGUGGCGCUCUUGUGCCUCGGGUUUCCUCUGUGGUGCUCCAAAUGACGUGCGGCUAGGCGCGUUGGAGAGCUAGCUCGACGGCGCGUCGGGUGGUGGCCGGGGUUGCCGGAGUCGACGGCGGUGAGCUCGAUUGCGGCUGCCGGAGUUCGGUUGCACUCGGAACCGACGUUGUGGUGCACGGCAUGUCGAGCGGUGGGGUCCUAGGUGCUCCUGCAAACGUGCUGAGCACGGUGACGCUCUCAGACGCGGCGGAGGUGGGCUCUAGCCACGGCGGCGAAGAAGCGCAACGGCGGCGAGCUUCGGUCGGGGUGGCCAAAGGGGCUAGAGGAGGAAAUCAACAGAGGGAAGAGAGGUGUUGGGAUCAGGGGCUCGCGGCGAUGCCGAAGAGGAGAUCAGCGAGCCUGGGGAGGUCCUGGCGGCGCCGAAUCGACCGGAGGCGAGCUCGGGUGCCUGGGGUUGAAGAUGAGGCAGAGACGUCGCUGUGAUGCUCCCGUGGUCGAACAGACUGGUGUAGACGACGGAGGAGAUGACGCCGGUCCUUCUGGAUGCUUCGGCAAGGCGAGGGGUGGACGGUGGCCACGGUUUCACGGCGGCAAACGCUUGGCGGUUGCGGCCAUGGCGAGGAGAGGGCAAGAGAGAGGGCAGAGGGGGGAGAGUGAAACGUCCAGGGGGUCGGGGCGGCACCGAAGAGAAGGCCCGAGGCGUCGUGGUGGCCUCAGUGACGCAGGCAAGCAGGGAGGUGUGUGGCGCCGCGGGCGCGCGUGCGCUGUCUCCCUCCUUUGCCUACUGGCAGAUGUAGGUGAUGACUGGCACGGGCCAGGUGGGCCGGCCCAGCCAGGUAAGUGGCCUGUGGCCUUUCUCUCUCUCUCUCUCUCUCUCUUCCAUUUAGUUCUAUUUUUCUAUAUUUCUGUAUCUUAUGGGCUUUAUUAAAAAUAUCUAGGCACUUCCAAAAAUCAUGAAACUGCUCAAUGUCACUUUUUGGAAUAUUUCCAACAGCAAACAUUUCAGUUUGUGAUUAUUUGAGCAUUUAAAAUAUUAUUUAGCAAAUAAAUGCCCAAAUGCAAAUACCAUAUGAUUUAAUUCAAAAAUCCAGAAUGGCCUAGAAAUAUGUGCACCAUUUUUGGGAGAGGUUCUAGACCAAUGCAAAAAUGAUGAACUUUCUGAAGGGCAUUUUGGGUUCAUUGAGAAUAUUUUUAUUUGAACCUAGUUGAUUUGAUCUGGUGCUAGGGUUUGAGCAAUCCCCAUUUCAGGUUUAAAAGAAAUUUAAACAUGAUGCAUGAUGCAACACAAGACUAACUAACUCAGAGCAGAUCAGAACUAGGGAUGUGACAUUGUCUAUCAUAUUUUUGACACAGUACUUGAGUCCUGUCAGCUCUGUAGGUUCGCCACAGGCCAGACCCUUCUUUUCAGAGGAGGUGAGCCGCGUGGGGAUGCCAGAUCGGAAUUCGGGGGCCGACGCCCAGUUGGCAUUGCAUGGCUCGGUGAUGUAGAAAUACCCCGAUUGCCACCCUUUCACGGUCUCCAGGAAGGAGCCUUCAAGCCAGGUAACAUUGGGCAUUUUUUCCACCAUGGCGCCUCCGCACUCCGCGUGCUGGCCACUCACAAUCUUCGGAUUCACGCAGAAGAUUUGUAGCCACAGGCCGAAGUGGGGCUUGAUGCGGAGGAAGGCCUCGCACACGACGAUAAACGCCGAGAUGUUGAGGACGAAAUUUGGGGCUAGAUCGUGAAAAUGUAGCCCAUAGUAAAACAUGAGCCCACGUACGAAUGGGUGGAGUGGAAACCCCAGUCUGCAGACGAAAUGAGAGAGGAACACUACUCUCUCUUGAGGCUUGGGUGUGGGAGUAAUUUGCCCCUUCGCCGGAAGCCUGUGCGUGAUGUUUGCGUCCAGGUAUCCGGCCGCCCGAAGCUUGGCAAUGUCCUCCUCUGUAACGGAGGAGGCCAUCCACUUGCCUCCCGCUCCGGACAUGUUGCGAAUGGUCCUACGGAGAAGGUGAGAACUUGGGCGCUGGGGCUCAAGGGUGCGAGAAUGGAUGAGCAAAGGAGGAAGAAGGCAUGGGUGAAAAUGGGGGAUCCUUAUACCUUUAUAAAGGCGGUGAAAACUGUGCGCCUCCCCGCUUGCCAGUCAAAAUCACUCAUUUUCCAGGCGCCACGAUUGAUGGUGCGGUUGGGUUACCCAUACCCGUAUUGAUGAGAAUCCCGUGAUAAGGGGACACGAUCUCUGCUUCGACAAGACGUGCAAAGGAAACCACCUCGCAAUAUGUGCGGUGGCUGGUUGUGAGAAAACGGUUCGAAUAAUGACCGGACCAUGGCGUGAUGUCAUUCAACAGAAGUUGUUAGUAGAUUUGAUUUGUCGAACAUUGUGCUCUCUACGGUGGUAUGUGGAAAAAAAAUUGCAGAGCCGGACACGAUCCUUGUGUUCGGAAUCUUCUACGGAGUAUUCGGAUAUGGAAACCGCCUUGCAAUGCCGAAGAAAAUCUGCGUGUCGGACUCAUCGUCAUUGAAGCCUGGUUCAGGGGCUACUGAGGGAGACCUGGAUUAGGAGCUAUUCGGACAGCCGGACUAUAUACUUUGGCCGGACUGUUGGACUAUGAAGAUACAAGAUUGAAGACUUCGUCCCGUGUCUGGAUGGGACUCUCCUUUGCGUGGAAGGCAAGCUUGGUGAUUCGGAUGUUAGAUCUCCUUCUCUGUAACCGACUCUGUGUAACCCUAGCCUCCUCCGGUGUCUAUAUAAACCGGAGGGUUUUAGUCCGUAGGACAAGAACAAUCAUAAUCAUAGGCUAGCUUCUAUGGUUUAGCCUCUACGAUCUCGUGGUAGAUCAACUCUUGUAAUACUCAUAUCAUCAAGAUCAAUCAAGCAGGAAGUAGGGUAUUACCUCCAUCGAGAGGGCCGAACCUGGGUGAACAUCGUGUCCCUAGCCUCCUGUUACCAUUAGCCUUAGACGCACAGUACGGGACCCCCCUACCCGAGAUCCACCGGUUUUGACACCGACAAUCAUCACUUCAUCAACCCACGCCGGGGACUUCGGCAUCACUCUGCCGGCCUGCAUUGGCUGAGCCAUGUCACUACCUCGGAAUGCCGAACUCCUUGCCCGGGCACCUCAGGCUUGGAGGCUGGGACCUCAGCCAUACCGAGGACUGUGAACCUUGUCGGAUCUGUCACGGAUCAAUGGGCAUCUUCGUCCCGCCACAAGCCCGAAUGGCGUCAUCAACAUCGAGCACAUUAAUCAGCUAAGUUGCUUUCAUGCUCAAAAACUUUGUUCGGUUCGACCAAGCAUUAUACUUUUUGGCAAAAAGUUGUUUGUGACAAAAUUCCUUGUCAAAACUUUGUUUGUGACACACAAAUUCAAAUACCCCAUUUAUUUGGGGGCUUCCUUUAUAAAGACUCUCCUCUUGCAUAUGAUUAUACUUGUAUGGCUUCGUUCCUUGUUCGUGUAUUACACCACAAUAUGCACCAUGUUGACUUAAUUAUUCCGCAAGCUGGAUUGCCUUGCUCCAGUAUUUACCCCUACGUUUCUGAUUGUUCGGCUAGGGAGUAAAGGGAGCACCUCUGCGAUUGUCACGAUCGGGUCAUCCGAGCUCGGACCUCAGACUGGGUGAAGCCGAAAGCUAGCGCUCUUAUUGUUUUCAAUCAUGGUCGGCACAUAACGGAACUCAUGUGUACAAAAAAUCUAUUGCACAAGUCUCAUAGUAACAAUGAGCAACCGAAAAAAGGUAUCGGUGGGGGUACUAUUUUCUUCGAAGAUGCUUCUUAAACUUCGUCAGUAAUAUAGCAUAAGUUCCCUGAGCGUGCUUUGUCUGUUACAGCCUUAUGGCCUGAUUGUCUGGUUAUCGGAAACACCAUCGAUAUUCUCUACAUGUGGGGUACAUAACACUUUUCAGCCCUUGACCGAAGAGGGAGAAGUUGAUGGUCAGUUAAGACGCAUUUAAAGUUCAGGUGAAUACAAAUAUGAUAUAAGUACUUCGGUACAUACAAUAAUCAUUAUACAUAAAAUUCUUUUACCCAAGUCACUUGGGGGUUCUUAAAAUUUAUAUGAGCUGUUUUAUAGUAAAUGUGUUUUCUUCUGGGUUGUUGCAAAGUCUUUUUCUACCGCUCCUUUUUCGACUCGAGUGUAUGGUCAAUAGACAGAUAGCCUGUCUUCUCUCUAAAAGCCGCUCGAGUUUAGUUCGCUAAACUGACCUCGGAGAAGUACUCCGCCUUUGGGAUAAGGAACUUGAAGCCGUAGGCUGACCUGCGUGAAGUCUUGAGAUCGGAUAUGUCAUGUUAAAGCACGACAAAAGCACAAUUUUUUUCCAAUUUUGGAUUGGCACCGAACACUUGAUCUUGUUCGGACAUCAACUUUUUACUGACGUUUUUUGGUUUUCCAAGCUUAUGGCACUUUUAAACUAUUUGUGUGUUUCCAGCAUAAGUCUCGCAGUGCAACAACGGACACCUUUAGAGAUUCGUCAAAAACAUUCUCGGAUAUUUCUAUAUAUGCAUCGGUUUGAAAUUGUGUCUUCGGUCAAUAGUUGGGUUGCCUGGCUCCUCUGCUUGCCUCCUAGGUUCCGCUUUGUUCGGCUAGGUGUGCAAAGGGAGAACCACUGCGAUUGUGCUUCCAGCUCGCAUGGUUAAGCACCUCAGUGGAGAAAGCCGAAAACUGACUGUCACAAUAAGAGUAAACUGGUCAGCGAUCCGAUGACUAUGUUAAAUGACGGGCCAUUCAUAAUAUUGGCCGAAGUGUUUACGGCUUGAGCUCGGCUGUCGCCAAACACUAACCGGAGGCUCGUAGUUAGCUUCCCCAGUUUAAAGCUCCUAUGACUACGUGAAAGUUAUAAAGCCCGCAUAUCUGAUUGCCUCAUUUCCACUAACACAACCGCCUUCGGGCACCGAGACGUUGGCUAAGGGUUGCCUUGUUAUUGCGGAAACACCCUGCGUAGUAUCUACAAAGAGGUAGAAGCCGACGAUGGGCCACUUUCAACUGAUAAACGGUCGCAACGGAGUCAAAAUAAACAUAUCAUCGGCAUUUGUAUUUAUUAUACAAGGGCCGCCUUCCAUAAUCAUCGUUAUAAAGCCAUAAAUAUGCAUCAAUUUGACUUAAGAUUUUUGCCAAGCUGGGUUGCCUGGCUCCUGUGCUUACCCCUACGUUCCCGAUUGUUUGGCUAGGCGGUAAAGGGAGCACCUCUGUGAUUGUUACUACCGGGUCAUCCGAGUUAGUACCUCAGACUGGGUGAAGCCGAAAGGGAGCAAUCUUAAAAGAUCAUAUUGGUCGGCAACAACGACAGAUUUUGGUUCAUUAAUACCAUAGAGUUCGGGAACUUUCCCCGAACUAAAUCCUCAAUAUUUUCCUCCCACAUUGAUCGGAGGUGAGGUUUCAUGAUCAUGAUAAGCAUGACGACCCAAAGAAAGGAACCGAUAGCGGGACUAUUUUCCUUGAAAGAUGUUUCUUACAUUAAGUAAUAUAACAUAUCUCUCCACGUAACUUUGUUUAUAAAACCGUAUGACCAGAUUGCCUUGUUUCUCAUAAAUCUUUGCUCUCAUGAAUGCUUUAUAAAUAAGGACAAACACUCCCCGGCUGCUGGCCGAGGAGGUGGAAGCCGAUGGUCGGUCAACAAAGUUUUAUAUAAUGCGGACCCAAGCAUUAAUGAUGUAAAAUACUUGGAUACAUAGGAUCCUAAAUUGCCAGUAAAGUCGAUUUAUUGCAGCUCAUCUUUUAAAGACCAAGCGAGCAACUUACAUAAAUCUCUCCUAAAUCCCAAGUGGCAUCGAUUUCCUAUCUAUUAAGCCCCUUGGGGCCAACCUUGGCUAGCCCAGCUUUCGCUGGCUCUAGCUCCUUUAAGAGAUCUUUAUUCUCUUUUCGAGAAGUUUGUGUUAAACACAACAAAAUUUUCUGUCACACGAAUAUCGAUCCUUAAUUCAGCCACCUAUGCCCAUAUUAAGGCUCGGGGGCUACUGGGCUUCACGCUCAUUAUUUAUUUAGAUAUAUUAAAACUGAUCACCUUUCCAACCAUCUCAGGCCAUUAGCAUUCUUGGCCGUCGGAUCUUCAAUUCUAAGCUUUUUUGGCCGUCUAAUCAAACUCUUGAGCACUACUUCUGGCCGCUGGACCGGGCAGCUACUCUGAUAACUAAAUUGAAGGCAUGCAGUUAAUUGGCAGCUACUCCAGCGGGUGUUUAGCGAGGCAUUAAAGAUGCAUCAAUGGCGCAUGUGGGCGAUUGGAGCUGAUCAGGGGCACAUCGAUCCCUUGAUCUAGUGUUGCCACCCCACCAGUGUCUCGGGGGCUACUACGUUGCCUGUUCAAUGCAGAAAAUUCAAAGUGCUUAGUGUUCGGCUUGACCGAACUAUGGGCAAACGCGUCUUCGGACAACAAUAGGUACCAUCUGGACCUAUAUGGCGUCAAGCUAACAUAUUGCGGCAACUUCUCAAGACCCUCUCUCAAGGGCCCGUUCGCCGAUCACUAUUAUCUCUAAUAAUAUUACACUGCGUUUCUAUUCCUACGUAUGCUGCCGAGCUAGGAGUUAAUUCUCAGGCCGAUUUUGCAAAUCGACCUGAGUCUCAGGGGCUACCAGGAUCAACAGUUUUAUGUUUUCCUUCACGUGCACCUCGGGUUUAGACCGACACACACCUUGAGGGCUACCAGAUAUACAUAUACUGGCUAUAUACCUCGACAGAGAGUAAAUUGUACCAAUCAAAAAUAUAAACAAAAAUCGGCCCGCGGUCGGAGUGGUGCACCACCUCGGAAGCAGUCCGGCAUAAAGCUCGGGCUCCAGUGGCUGGCUCCAUAGAGGACAUUUCCGGCAUUAAGCUCGGCUGAAUUUGUUCAAUAUUUUAAAAGACCGAGGUAGUUUACGACACCUCAGACGCUGACCAUCGUUGGAGCUCAGAAGUGGUCCGGCUUAAAGCCCGGAUUCGAAUGGCUCGUUCCAUAGAGAACUUUUCAGCGUUAAACUCGGAUAACCUCCCUCAAACUUUUUCAAGCCAAGGUGAUCUAUGACACCUUGGAUAUAGUCCGGCGUUGGAGCUCGGAUAUAGUCCGGCGUUGGUGCUUGGCUGCAAAAGAUAUCUCAAAUGCAGUCCUGCGUUGGAGCUCGGAUGCAAGAGGACACUGCCGCACGGGAACAACUUCAAACCCGAGGUGUGGCGUAAAAAAUAAUCCUAAGGAAUUGAUAAAGGCCGAGAACUUAAAGGGGCUCCUCGGAUACCCGAUGUGUAAACCCUUCGGAUUCAUUUCGGCAAUCCUCAAGAUCAAAGACGAGAAGAUUUAUUGAACCAGUUUUCAACACCGACGACCGAAGAUUAAGAACAGUUUGAAAGGAUGGAGGAGCGUCCCCCACUUCAAGACCAGUUCAGGGGGCUACUGACGGUGUCCUGGACUAGGGGGUACUCAUCACAUCGUCUCCGGACCAGGUGGAUCGGGCCGAGGACCCCCAUGGCGGUUCACUCAUGGGCCACUUCGGGCAGCCCAUGUCGCAUACAAGGAGUAUUCCACAAGACUUAGUGAUCAAGACAAGGACUCCUCUCCACCAGCGUAUUCGGCUAGGACUGUUGUCAUCCUAGGCCUCUGGUGCAUUAUAUAAGCCAAGGCCAUGCUAGUCGAUAGAUCAUUAUGACAAUCAUACAAGAUAGACUUCUAGGGUUUAGCCAUUACGAUCUCGUGGUAGAUCAACUCUUGUAAUACUCAUAUUCAUCAAGAUCAAUCAAGAAGGAAGUAGGGUAUUACCUCCAUCGAGAGGGCCCGAACCUGGGUAAACAUCGUGUCCCCUGUCUCCUGUUACCAUCGACCUUUGACGCACAGUUCAGGACCCCCUACCCGAGAUCCGCCGGUUUUGACACAGACAGUUGCUAACCUUUGCGAACUUGGAUGGAUGGGGUGCCUUGAAAUCUUGACAAAUUUUGGUAAAAAUGGAGGUGAGCUUGAGAAAGAGGGGAAGAAAACAGAGAUGAGGGAAAAAACAGAGCGCUUCGGCUCGGGCUAGACAAAGCACUAUAUAUAGUGAUCUCUUUAGUCUCGGUUGAUUAUACAAACCGGACUAAAGGUGCACCUCUAGUCCUGGUUUGUGACACGAACCGGGACUAAAAGUGUUCGUGGGGCCCCAGCCUGACACCAGCCUGCCACCACCCCUUUAGUCCCUGUUCGUGUCAUGAACUGGUACUAGAGGUUCAACAUGAACCGGAACUAAUGAUGCCCACCCCACUAGCCGUUGGAACCGACACUAAUGGUCACAUUAGUACCGGUCCGUUUCCAAACCAGAAUUAAUGGGGCUCACGUAAAGUCAUUUUUCUACUUGUCUUGCUCCAUAUGUAGUCACUUGUUGAAAUCUCUAGAAAGACAAAUGUUUAGGAACAGAGGGAGUAGAAGCCGUCGGCCAAGGAGGGCCGAGCUCGAUCUCCCUUGGCCGGCGCGGUACCUACUUUGUGCUGGCGCUCCAUUUUCCCUUUUCGCGUGCGUCGAACGGCGACAAUGAAGAGGUAAGCCAAUUUAGCCGACUGCUGAGGGUCAUGUCUCCGAAUUUAUGGAGGGGUCAUGGCUUCGCGUGUGUUGGCCUCUGGAUAUCGGUCUCGAAUUCAUCACACGGAUGAAUGUCCAGACCAUCCAAACACCGGCAUUCGGGGCAAACAACGCCAAUGCCAAAUUCUUACUCAGAAUGUCAACAUCCAAAUGGCGCCUAAGGGUUUUUCUAGAUAUUUAGCAUAUAUAAUUCGUUCAAACUUUUUGAACUGCAAGUUCAUGAAAAUGCUCAAAAAUGGGCUGACAAUGUUAUUUGUGUUAAUGAAUCUAUGUUUAGACCUUAUCCAAUAUAAAUAAAAGACACCCAGACAUCAGGGUGCGAAAACACGACCCCAAACAUUGAGCUUAUUAGUUUUUUAAUUCCAGAAAAUGCAAAUAAAAUGUGAAAAAUAUGAAAACUGGCAUGGUGUCAUGAUAUGAUCCCUAGAUGUCGUAGUAAAAAUUUGAGUAGUUUUCACAGAAGUUAUGACAUACACUUCUUGGAAAUUGAAAAUCUCUCAGGAAGAAUCAUGGUUUUGAAAAGAAAUUGAUCGGGUUUGAAGGCAAAGUGUUAGUUGCUUUAUCAUUGGACCUUGAAACUUUUUCUACACUCAACAUACACCACCAUAUGCUACAUGCCGUAAUUUGGCAUUUUCAGGGUUUGUUUAUUUAAGUUAUUAAGUGAUUUUCUAGAAAAUCAAUGGAUAUAAUUCAAAUUUAAACUGCAAGUACAUGAAAAUGUUGCUAAAAAUGGGUUGAAAAAUUCUAUUUGUGUUAAUGAGUUUACUUUUAGACCUGAUCCAAUAAAAAGAAAAGGCAUCCCAAACAUCAUGCUGCCAAAACUCGACCCUAGACAUUGAGCUUGGCAUGGAGAAGAUCCUAAAGGUGGUGCUCCAUGAUUGUUUACAUGCACUCUCCAUUCUUACUAUCCUACUAUUCUGAAUGAUCUCUCGAAACAGGCUUGCAUACACUUUUAUUAAUAAAGCCACACUCUCCAUUCCUACUCUUCCGAUUGAUAUCUCCCUUUUGUCGUUUUUUUUGGAAAAAAGGUUUAAACCCUAUCUCUACAUCAAUCAAUGCAUACACCCAUCUUUAUUAAUUAUUCAACAAAGUUUUGACAAAAACAUGCAUCAAGCCACUUGAAGCCACCACUCACACCUAUAUCAAUGCCACCGGAAGCCAUCACUCUCACUCCCCAUAUCUAAAAUCGGUGUCGUCGCCGAUCCAUCCGCACAAUGUAUCGGAACGAAUAGCCGAUGCAGAAAACCUAAAGCGUACACCACUGCACACAUUUUAGAAGCCGCAAUUAUUAUCGAACCGCUGACUCAUCUUCAGAAAAGAGACCCGCAUCAUCCUUGCCAGUCCGGCCCUUCAUCUAUGCCACCACGGCGCCGAACAGCACCACCUCCGUACAAGCAAACUGCUGAGCACGUUGUGCUCGCCGUCGGUACACUGCAACACCAUGCUGCCAAGUACCACAGUCCCACACAGCUUGAAGUCUCUCGAAGAUCUCGUGCGUAUCACCUGCCGAACAGGCAUGACACGACGUAGCACCUAUUGCCAAGGAAUGACUUGACAUCUCCACUGAAGCUCCGUGCACGACGAAAUCGCUCCACCUCCUGCCUCUGUCUUCCAGGGCUACUCCACAAACGAUGCUCCCAAGAGAGAAACGACACCGUAGUGUCGCCAUCGUCCGAUUUGAAAGACCAGAUCCUAGGGUUUUCCCUUGAGCACCACGAGUGGGUCGACAUUAGUUACACGACGAUGCCUUCAUCAAGGUAACAACGUAGAACGCCGCCAUCACCCGCCGUCGGCUUGGUUUUCACCGGAAAGUAUGUCUCCCCGAUUCACAGCCGAGACUACAUGACGGGUCUCGUGAUCCGACCACCCAGCCUCAAGCCGACCACCUCCGACGGAAGAGACGACCAUCACCGCCAAGCCUAGGGUCGCUACCCCAGGUGCGCGUGAUGCAGAUCAAGACCAGGAGCGCCAGUCGCCACCUGCCGCCCGGAGAUUCGAUUUGCCAGCCGCCACCGUGCCACAUGAGACACGCAAACAAGGCAGAGAUCCACCACCGCCUUCGGCCACUGCCGCCGAAAGGGAAGCAGUAUACUCCGACCUGCGCCACUUGCCGGCCAGAUCCGGCCGCUGCCUCGAGCACGCCCCUCCCACCACGCACUACUAGGAAAAGGCCUACUAAUGGCGCACCAGUUUUGCCUACUAAUAGCGCAUCACUGGUGCGCCAUUACUAGCACGCCAUUAGUAAUUUUUACUAAUGGCGCACCACUGAUGCGCCAUUAGUAUCUGGUAUACUAAUGGCGCACCACUGGUGCGCCAUUAGUAUAGGCCACAGUGCUCCAUUAGUAUAGGCCACUGGUGCGCCAUUAGUAUAGGCCACGGUGCGCCAUUAGUAUUUUUGAAUUUUGAAGGCGGGAAAAUAGAAGUGGCGCACCAUCUAACCCCCACCGUGCGCCAUUGCUAUUUUUGAAUUUUGAAUUUGGAUCUGGAUCGUGAUUUUUUUGCCCAUUUUUUGCUAGUUUUUUUGCUCGUUUUUUGGCAUGAUAUUAUUUCAAAUUUUGUUCCUGUUUUUGGAUCUUGUACGUUCUUUUGCCGUGUUCUUUUGCCGGAGAGGAGUUCGCCGGAGAGGAGGAGGAGGAGGUGACCGGAGAGGCGCUCGCCUACAUCGCCAGAGAGGAGGAGGAGGUCGCCGGAGAGGAGUUCACCGAAGCAUCGGAGAGGAGGAAGGAGAAACCAUGAGGGAAUGGGAGGAGAGGAGGGAGGAGGAGCUCACCGGAGAGGAGGGAGGAGAAACCAUGAGGGGAGGGNNNNNNNNNNNNNNNNNNNNNNNNNNNNNNNNNNNNNNNNNNNNNNNNNNNNNNNNNNNNNNNNNNNNNNNNNNNNNNNNNNNNNNNNNNNNNNNNNNNNNNNNNNNNNNNNNNNNNNNNNNNNNNNNNNNNNNNNNNNNNNNNNNNNNNNNNNNNNNNNNNNNNNNNNNNNNNNNNNNNNNGGAGAAGGAGUGGAGGAGAGGAGAGGAGGAGAUGGAGUGGAGGAGAGGAGAGGAGGAGAUGGAGUGGAGGAGGUGCGCCCAGCCAUAUAUACGACAUAGUAAUGGCGCACCGUGGGCAGGUGCGCCAUUACAAACUUUUUUUUAUUUUUUUGACUUAUUUUAUAUUUUGAAGGCGGGAAGAUACUAAUGGCGCACCAUGGGCCGGUGCGCCAUUAGUAACUUUUUUUUUUGUUUUUUGACUUAUUUUGAAUUUUGAAGGCGGGAAGAUACUAAUGGCGCACCAUGGGCAGGUGCGCCAUUAGUAACUUUUUUUUAUUUUUUUGACUUAUUUUAAAUUUUGAAGGCGGGAAGAUACUAAUGGCGCACCAUGGGCAGGUGCGCCAUUAGUGAGUUUGAAUUUUUUUUUGAAUUUUUUUGCCUCUCCAGAUCUUAAAAGCCCUGUAUCUUUUUUUCUGUUAGGUUUUUGAGGAUUUUGAAAAUGUUUAACGGGGUUCCCCCAGUUAAAUUCGGAUGUAAUUUUUCGAGUAGAUGAUUUUUCAUAUAAAAAACUUUUUCAUCCGAGUUAGUAUGCAAAAGUUAUGCUCAUUUUUAUAAAUUCUCGAGAGAUUUUGCAAAUGAUGUCGAAAUUCAUAUUUGCAAAUUUUCCCAACAACUAGACCACAUAUCACAUGGNNNNNNNNNNNNNNNNNNNNNNNNNNNNNNNNNNNNNNNNNNNNNNNNNNNNNNNNNNNNNNNNNNNNNNNNNNNNNNNNNNNNNNNNNNNNNNNNNNNNNNNNNNNNNNNNNNNNNNNNNNNNNNNNNNNNNNNNNNNNNNNNNNNNNNNNNNNNNNNNNNNNNNNNNNNNNNNNNNNNNNNNNNNNNNNNNNNNNNNNNNNNNNNNNNNNNNNNNNNNNNNNNNNNNNNNNNNNNNNNNNNNNNNNNNNNNNNNNNNNNNNNNNNNNNNNNNNNNNNNNNNNNNNNNNNNNNNNNNNNNNNNNNNNNNNNNNNNNNNNNNNNNNNNNNNNNNNNNNNNNNNNNNNNNNNNNNNNNNNNNNNNNNNNNNNNNNNNNNNNNNNNNNNNNNNNNNNNNNNNNNNNNNNNNNNNNNNNNNNNNNNNNNNNNNNNNNNNNNNNNNNNNNNNNNNNNNNNNNNNNNNNNNNNNNNNNNNNNNNNNNNNNNNNNNNNNNNNNNNNNNNNNNNNNNNNNNNNNNNNNNNNNNNNNNNNNNNNNNNNNNNNNNNNNNNNNNNNNNNNNNNNNNNNNNNNNNNNNNNNNNNNNNNNNNNNNNNNNNNNNNNNNNNNNNNNNNNNNNNNNNNNNNNNNNNNNNNNNNNNNNNNNNNNNNNNNNNNNNNNNNNNNNNNNNNNNNNNNNNNNNNNNNNNNNNNNNNNNNNNNNNNNNNNNNNNNNNNNNNNNNNNNNNNNNNNNNNNNNNNNNNNNNNNNNNNNNNNNNNNNNNNNNNNNNNNNNNNNNNNNNNNNNNNNNNNNNNNNNNNNNNNNNNNNNNNNNNNNNNNNNNNNNNNNNNNNNNNNNNNNNNNNNNNNNNNNNNNNNNNNNNNNNNNNNNNNNNNNNNNNNNNNNNNNNNNNNNNNNNNNNNNNNNNNNNNNNNNNNCGAGGGUCCAAUGUAGGUUGAGGUUGAGACGCAAAUAGUUGGGAGAUCGGUUUUUUCUAUGAUUUACUUCCAAAUGAUAUGGUCGUAACUGGUCAUAUACAUGUCUAUGAGUUGAGCUCCAUAUGUCCAAGUUUUAUGUCUUUCCAUAAACAACGCUCCUCUGUUCUAAUAUACUUUACCUUAUAGACCGUUAUGAUGUUGCAAGAAACCCGAAUGCUGAAACUAAUGUAUGGCAUCAGCUUGGCGUACUUGGUACCACCCAGGAUUUAUAUCAGACUUUUCGGUGCCAGCUAUCAAGGGUAUCAAUAGGUGCUGAUCAAUGUUGUGUUGUGUUGCUAUUGGGCUCCCUUUCUUUAAAGUAUUGCCCUUUUUUAAUACAUCUAUAAUUAACUCGUCUGGUUUCUGUAGUUGUUCUUAAUUUUCAAAUUAUGAGCUUUUCAUUUGUAUGAGUGAUAAUUAGAAGAUUAUUGAGGUCUAUUAUGGCCUUACCAAACAUCAAAUUAAUCACCAUUAGUUGUAUGCCCAUGCUUUGCCGCCGAAAAACAAGGAGACGUGUAAAUUUGAAAAAUUUAUUGAAAGGUCAUACAUACAUUGCAUAAAUGUGUAGCUUCCCCGACUACAUUGUCCUCUUUCCUGCCCCCUCUCUGGCAACCAUCACAUGUUAAGUAACAUGAUUGUAUUAGGAAACAUAGAUUAGACCAGGAAUUAUUCUGGCUUGCCUUGUACUCCAAGUAGAUUAUGUACUCCUAUAUAUAUGCCCACGAGGCUCAAGCAAUACAAAGGACUAUUCCACCAAUCCUCUCUCUCCUCUUCUAACAUGGUAUCUAUCGCAAGUCGAUCCUAAACCCUAGCCGCCACCGCUUCUGCACCUGCCCGCCGCCCCCGGGGCGGUCGGCCUCCAUGACCGCCGCCGGGGGCCGCGCCGCCCGUACCUAGGGUUCGUCCGCGGGUCGUGUUGACCGGCUGCCCUAGAGAGUCUUUUUCCCGAGCCCUUGCUCCAGAUUUUUUUCGCUCUCUCGCCGGUCGUUUUGAUCGGCGUUUUUCUUUUUGGUUUUCCGAUCUAUGCUUGAUCGGUAUGCGUCGCCCGCCGCCGCCGUCGACACCGAGCGCCUCUACUUCGACCCCGGCGCGACCAGCCGGCCUCUCCUCCGACCAGGCAGCCACGCGCGACGAGGUGGCCCGUCAGGACCAGCCGUCGUGCGGGCGUCGGUCCACCCGUCGCCCUGCGCCGGCUGUCACCGCCCUGCUUCGACCGGGACACCUGCAUCGCCCCGACCCGGUGGCCACGCGCCACGCGAUGGCCAAUCAUGCAUAGUCGUCGCUCGCGUGCCGGUCCGCCCAUCGAUCCACAUCACCCGCCUUCGCCGCUCUGCACGGCGGCCCGGCGGUCUACCUCGCCGGCCUCGUCCUCGGCUGCGUCAGGCUUGUCGGCUGCCCUCAACUCGGGCACCGCUGCUCCGUUGGUCGCUCGGGCCUUGCUGCUCGGGCGCCGGUGUUGCUUUGGCAGCCCGGGUGCCGGUGCUGACAAGCUCGUCCGCACGACGUCUCACGCCGUCUGUCGUCACCGAUUUCAUCUCGGACUCCGCCGCCACCACGCCUCCACCGGGCGGCGUCCCCGACCUCGCGCGCGAUCGGCUUGAUCACCCGCUCGCCGCCGCGAUCCGCCUCCUCUACGCCGCGCAACCGACCUAGCCCAUUGGUGACGCGCGCCUCCGCAGGUCCCGUGAAGAUCGUCCUGAGUACCGCGCGCCUCUCCACCGAUCGAGUAUCGGGCUGCCGCUGCGUCGCCCCGUCGGGCCGCAGCGCCGCCGCCCCGUGGUUCUCCUCGUGGCUGCAUCGACUUGUGUGUCGCUGAUGCGUCGCCCCUUCGGGCCAUAGUGCCGCGAUACGCGGUCCCCGCCGCCGCCCCGAGGCCAUCCCCGCGGUUGCACCGACUCGCGAAUCGCCGUUGCGUCGCCCCUUCGGGCCGCAGCAUCGCGGCCCACGGUCCCUGCCGCCGCCCCGAGGUCUUCCCGCCGUCGCCCCGACCCGCCUGCCGUCGCUGCGUCGCCCCUUCGGGCCGUAGCGCUGUGGCCCGCGGUCCACUCCGCCAUCACCGCGCGUCGACCUCCCGUGGUAUGCGCCGCGCCUUCUCCCUUGGCGCGGGAACGCCACCGUCCGCGCCGGUCUUUGUCACGCUGUCAGGGUUCUUCACCUACUUCGAGCACCGCCGCCGCACUCCUAACCUAGCCGCUGCCACCGUCAGGCCGCCGCCGCCGCUCUUCUUUGGCCACUGCCGCCGCUACCUUAGUAGCCGCCGUCGCCGCCCGUCCACCCCCUUCGUCUUCGUCCAAGCACCAGCCUGUCGCCAGCGUCGCCGUCAUCUACGCCGACCACUUUGUCUACUCCGACCACCGUUGGUGCCAUCGGCCCCGCGCCGAAGGACGCCGCAAUCGUCGUCGAGUUCUUCUCUGUUGGCCCCUCCGACUUCUUCGACAUGGCGUAUAGCUCGUGCAGGUCCCUCGUCUACGCAUGCCCGAUGCUGACAACACCGAUGCGUGCCUUCAUCCACGACGUGUCCCCGGGCCUGGCAAGCAUGGUCGGCGCUUCGUCAACUUCGUCUUCAUCCGUCUACGCAUGCCCGGUGCUGGCAACAUCGAUGCGUGCCUUCGUCCAUGAUGUGUCCCGGGCUUGGCAAACCCGCUGCGAUGCGUCGUCAACAACAUUUUCUUCCCGGUGCACCCCUACUCCGACACCACUGCGCCCAUGCUAAUCAGGCGCCCCCUUGCACCCGCGGCUCCACGGCGACUUCCUCGACACCGGCUACCCCGACUCGACAUCAACCACGGCAUUCUUCACACGGCUACCUCGACCACGGCUUCACCACCCACGCUCUCGGCUACAUCGACAAACGGCACAAAGGGCUACCGUCUGCUUGAGCAUCCUCGUCCGUUUUCACUCCAGCCACGACUCCGCGAUCCAUCGACCGUUACGACUGUGGGGGGUGUCCGUCGGCUUGCCUUCGAAUUAUUCUCCAGUCUCACCGUCUGCGUCACUACCGUUGUGACUGCGGGGGGGAUGUUGAGUAACGUGAUUGUAUUAGGAAACAUAGGUUAGACUAGGAAUUAUUCUGGCUUGCCUUGUACUCCAAGUAAAACAUGUACUCCUAUAUAUAUGCCCACUGAGGCUCAAACAAUACAAGGGACUAUUGCACCAAUCCUCUCUCUCCUUUUCAACAUCACACACCUCUUUAUUUCCCAUUCUCCUUUCCAUGUGUUCCUCUAUUCUCAUCCUGACCCCUUCUCCUCCAUCUCUGCUCGCCCCUUAACCUUAUCUUUGUGUGUUAGGCUUCACCGUUGUCUUCUCAACUCUGAUAAAUCCAAGUGAAUACUUGGAAACCCAUAGCUUUUGUCUCAAGAGGCUGACACAAUGUAUAAAACCCAUCACCUCGAUGUGGAUAAUGAAGGAGACAACUAAGACGGCAGCCACCACAUGCCACCAUCGUCUCUAGUUCCAUAUUUGUGGACACGUCCCGUUGUCCGCUUUGUCGAAGUCUCCGCCUCUGACUCACUCGAGGGUAAUAUCUCACGGCCGGUAUGCUCACGUGCAAGAGAACAUCUUAGUGUGGAUUUUUUUCGAAAAGGAGGAUGACCCCUGCCUCUGCAUCUGAGAGAUGCAUACAACCAUUUUAUUGAUUAUUCUCGAGGACCUUACAAAGUAUAACAACAAUAUGCCUGAAACCGCCAUCUUGACAGCAUCUGCCGCUACACCUAUCCAAAUAAUGAAGGGGUACAAGCUGGACCACAUACCCAUACCUCUCACUAAGCCUAACAUCUAAAGCCGGAGGCCCGACCGAGCCAUCUGCCGGGUCCGGGGCUCAAACCGGUCUGACGCACUCACAUGUGUUGUCGCCGCCAUCUUCCACUAGUCCAUCUUCAGAGCAGAUUGAGGUAACAACCUUGGCAGGUCCUCCGCCAUCAACGCCACCAUGACGCCAAACGACGACCUUCACCUACGCGAGCCUUGGCAGGUCCUCCUCCAUUGACACCACCACGACGCCAACCGACGACCUCCACCUACGCGAGUCCAUCUCCAAGCAACGGACGUAAAUCCAUGCUAGGAAAGGGCCACACCACCGCCGUCACCCACCACCCACAAGUGCCACCCAACCCCAAGGUUCCCAAAGCAGUGCCUUCAAGAAGGCAAUGGCGCCGUGAGCGCCGCCUGCGCCCAACAGAGUUAGGGCUUUAGCCUGGGAGACCUAGGGGAAGGUGAAAUGAGGAGAUCAGUCCAUGCCGACGCCUCCAAGGAGGGAAACGGCGCCCUCAGGCAUCGCCAUCGGCGCGGCCGGUCAUGGCCGGCCAGGAAUUUCGCCCGAACUAGAUUUCCGCCACCAGCAGCACCUCUUGUGCAAAACCGGCGAACAAGAGGAAGCGCGGCCCGACCAAGCUGGCCCGCAUGCCGAAUAGGGGAGGAAGGGAGGCGCCAGAUCGCGCACACCGACCGCCGCAGAAGCCGCCGCCGACCACCAACGACUACCAGAUCCCGCCGCCAGCGCGGCCGGGACACCGGAUCCACCACCCGCAUAGCUGUUAGCCGGGCGUGCCUUGCCAAUGGAGCCGCUGCUCCAGAUCCGGCGUUCCCCACAUGUGAACAGGGCAACUGAGGCCCCACCGACACCAUCGUUGGCGCCCCAAACUUGCCCGACGGCUGCCUCAGGUGGCGGUGAGGGAGGAAGGAGGGGAUGGGUGGGGAGGAGGAGGCGGCUAGGGUUCCUUAGUGUGGAUCCUACACUUGUAUGUCAAAUACUCCCUCCAUUACAUACUAGUUUCGCUCAAAAGGAGUCCUAAUCCUACUACUACUAUAGGUGCAUAAUCAGAAUCUGACUAGGAUACACCACUACACGUCAUGUUUAUUCCUACAUUCACCCUCUAAACAUGACGUCCUCGGUGCGACUAGAUCCCAAAUACGAUGACUACUACUCAUAGGCGUCACCGUCGGCACUGCCUUCAUCGUUCCUCGCAACAUUUUAGGGACCAACUUUACUGCCGAUAGCUCAUCCAUUGCUUGACGGCAACACUCUCCUUUGAUCACAUUUUCAAACUUCACCUGUUCUUCGGUGCUUGAUAGACUGUCUUUCCUAUCUUCGAGCGUGACCAAACUUCGGUCUAACUUUGAGUUCCAAGCUCUUGGCGCUUGCUUCAGCCCGUAAAGUGCCUUCUUGAGCUUGUAAACUUUCCCUUGUUUGCCUUUCUUCUCGUAGAAGAGGGGUUGUUCCAGGUACAAUUCUUCUAUGAGCUCACCAUUGAGAAAAGCGGAUUUAACAUCCAUAUGAUGAACUUUCCAAUCCUUUUGUGCUGCCAAAGCUACGAGCACUCUCACCGUCUCAAUUCGAGCAACUGGUGCAAACACCUCCUCAUAGUCAACUCCUUGACGUUGUACGUAGCCCUUUGCAACGAGUCUUGCCUUGUACUUCACAUAAACUCUCUGCCGCGAUCUGUUCGUAGAGCGCGAACCUUCACCUUGUGUUCCAUCUCCGUUGCAGCCUUUAGCUUCUUGAACGCUUCAAAUGCCUCAUCUUUAGAUCGUAGGAGAACAACCCACAGGUAUCUUGAGUAGUCAUCUACUACAAGGAAGAAGUACUUCUUUCCUCCGUGAGUUGCUGGGGUGAUAGCUAGGACCACAUAGAUCGCCAUGGAUCAGCUCGAGUGCAUCACUUGCACGCUAGGUAGACUGAACAGGGAACGGCCGGCGGUGUUGUUUUCCAAUCAAGCACCCGUCACAUACUCGAUAAACAUGGUCAAUAAACGGCAUCCCAGAUACCAUCUCCAUCUUUGACAUCUUAAAGGCGUAGAAGUUAACGUGUCCAAAUCUAGCAUGUCAUAACCAUGAAUCAUCAUCACUCUUGGCGAGCCAACACUCCGGUUGAGAUUGAUCAAGGUUGAGGAUAUAAAGCCUGUUCCGCGUGCGAUUCACACGGGCUAGCACGUUUCAGAGGUUGUCAAAGAUCGUCAUCACUCCGUUCUCAAUAUCCACGUUGCAUCCAUUCUCAUCAAAUUUCCCGACAAAGAUGAUGUUGUUGCGAAGUCAUGGGAUAUAGUACACUCCGAUGAGUAUGCGAUGUUCUCCCGUGAGACCCUCGAAGAGGACAGAAUCUUGCCUGCAAAUCUCCACAUUUGAAUCAUCACCGAACUUGACCGAGCCUUGAACAUCAUAUUCUAGCUCGAGGAAUUCUCCUUGCACCCUGUCAUAUGGUUACGGGCACCCGUGUCUAGAUACCACGACACAUUUUGGCUACCGGAUAACUUUGGUGUUACUUUUUUCUCAUGAAGUAGCACCUUCCGGGUUGGUUUCACAACCACCAUAUCAUAAACUUCGGCCAUUAGAAGACCUGGACGUUCGUAUUCCUGCUUCGCCAAAUUUGCCUUGAUCUCCCGCUUGUUAGGCUCCGGAUAAUCCUUCGCAAAGUGACCCAUCUCAAAGCAGUUAUAGCACUUGAGCUCGGACAUAUCCAAGUUGCGUGGCUUCCGCUCUUUAGACCGGUCCGCCUUACCACGACCUUGUGGCUUGCCUUUUCCUUUGCCUUUUCCGGUUUGUCCGCCGCUCUUCGCGUUGCUUGAUCCUUCGCCAACGUUGUGCCUUCCUUUGCUACUUGGAGACCCCUAAUCUGCGACGAGUAGAUGAGUUGGUCACUACCUCCUCCUUUGCCUUUCUGACAACCAUGAUCAUUCUAUUCCCAUGUCCGCAAGCAUCCGAUCGCCUCCGUUAUGGUCAUGUCGUCGAUGUCGUAAAGCUGAUCGAGCGUGCCGAUCAUGUACGUGAAUUUAUCAGUCACCAAACUAAAAAACUUCUCCACAAUCUCGGCCUCCUCGAGCUUUGCACCGAGCGCGCGGAUCUCUCCCACCAAAGUAGUCAGACACAUGGCAUAGUCAUUCACCAAUUCAGUUUCCUCCAUCUGCAACUUGUGAAAUUGACGCUUCAGCACUUGUGCCCGAACCUUCGUGACGUGAUCUUGUCCCCUCAUCCCAUUGAUUGCGUUCCGCACCUCUCUUUCUGUCUCGAACUCCGCCAAUGUCAUCAGCACGGAAUCCGGCACAGGCUGAGCUAUGGCGGCCAUGGCACCAUCGUCACACUCCUUGUUGACGUCGUCGUCCGUGAUGGCCUCCCACACUUAAAGGGUUCGGAGAAUAAUCUUCAUCUUUACCGUUCACACGCCGUAGUUGGCGUCUGUAAGCAUCGGACUGGAUGGGGAUGUUGUGAUGAGCCAGUACGUUGGCGUCGCCGGCUCCGCCACUACUGGUUGCUGACUUGCCUCCCUUCUUAACCUUGUCGCCGUUCUUAUUCGCUUUGGAACCACCGUUGUCGGACUUGACCGACUCAGCAUGGCUGUCCCCAUCAUAGAUCGUAGAUCGUCAAGGCUCUAGAUACUAAUUGUUGGCUUCUGAACUGUAGUUCAACUCACCCGGGAACUACACGUACGACGUGCAAAGCUAGCUAGCUAGAAACCAAGCAGGAAAGCUGCUGGAUCGCGUCUAGCCGGCGACUUGCGUCUACGUAUGCCAUGCCAUAGCUUCUGUACGUGAGUGAGCUAGCGAUCAAUUCACGGCGGCGGAACUCGUGUGUAACGUGGCGAUGGGUGGAAAACACAGAUCGGUAUGAUGGCCAAAGGCUCGUAUCGAGCCUUGCUCUUACUUUGUAUUUCGUUGCUCUUUUUCGUUGGUGAUUACAGGUGCUAUAUGUGAGUAUAUACUACUCACUCCGUUUCAAAAUAAAUGUUUUGAGCUUAGUACAAUUUUGUAUUAGAGCUAGCACAAAGUUAAGACACGUAUUUUGGGACGGAGGGAGUACUAUUAUAGGUGCCUAAUCAGAGUCUGACGAGGAUACACCACUACACGUCAUGUUUAUUCCUACAACAAUUGGCGUGCUGUAUGCUAAAAAAAAACCAAUUGGCGUGCUGCACGUCUGAUCCGUAAUGGAUUGGAUACUUGACAAGGACCCGAGUGACGGUGACUGCGGGUCUGGCCUGAUCUCCGCCACCCCUGAACGCCGACGGGGAGCACGCCAUCGCCAUGAAGUGGACGGCAGCCCUCCGCUCGCCGCCUGUCUACACCGGCUGACGUGUUUUUGGGCACCCCGCACGGAUGGGGUCUGUACAAUCUGCUGAUCAAAGUACAGUAUGAUGCAUGCAUGGACGUGUCCAAAACUAUACCGGUCACUUGAAUUCUGAUGAAUAUAUGCUGUAAUUAUCUCAGAACAAGUGAAUUGCCGGAUGAAUUCUAUUUAGUUCAACUCUGCAACUGGUAGCAACUGACCGAUUCCCGUAAAAUAUUGGCCACAUCUUUUCUAACCUUCACCGUAGAUCUGUGCUUACCCAAGGCAAUCUCCUCUUAUCUUUUUUUCUCGAAUACGCACGAGUGUGCGUACUAUAUUAUAAAGAAGGGAUCGGGGUAAAGAGCCCGUCCACGUUAGUGUUACAGAUUACAUAUUUACACUGAACACUAACUCCACACUCCACCUAUCUCUCCUAAGUCUACGUACUCUCCCCUGCCCACUCCUCCACCUCGGCAAAGAAGGCGUCCAUGUCUCCUCACAGUAUGCCCGCUUGUUUCCAUAUACGGCCCUCUCGGAUGACUGCCUGGAUGAUCCGGUUCUUCGAGGGUGUGGCUCCGUCAAAGACGAUCGAGUUGCGAUGCUUCCAAAUCUGCCAUAGUCCUAGAAUGAUGAUUGCGUUAGCAUCCCUCUCAGCAGGCCUUCUUCCUCCCUUGUCUUGACACCACGCCCCGAGGUUUUCCCUUGCAGAAGGUAUCCACUCCGGCCUUCGCAAAGGGUGACAGAUCGCCGUCCACACUUCCCGUGCGACAACACACUCAAGGAGGACGUGAUUUAUGCUCUCCUCUUCUUGGCUGCACAUAGGGCAGUACUUUUGAUGGUCCAGUCCACGCCUAGCUAGCCGGUCGGAUGUCCAGCACCUGUCCUGGAUUGCAAGCCACGUGAAGAAACGGCAUGGCGCCGGUGCCCUUGAUUUCCAAGUGAAAGCGGCCGUGGGAACGACCUGCCUGCCCCAGAACUUGGCCGCAUAGGCGCUCCGCACUGAGAAACAUCUGCUAGCCUCCCAUGUCCAAGAGAUGGCAUCAUUUUGUGCUGGGUCCAGCUCAACUCGUUGGAUCAUCGUCCACAAUUGCAGGUAUUCACGCAACGAUUCAGCAGUGACCUCUGGGCUCACCUGGGUGACCCAGUUGUCGUUCAGGAGCGCCUGGGAGACGGUGCAUGUCCUUCUUAUUUUCCUCUUGACUCGCUCGCAGGCCAAGGGUGCGAUCUCUCCGAUCCUGUGGCCUUCAAGCCAUCUAUCUUCCCAAAAGAGCGCCGUAUUUCCAUCCCCUAGGGUCCAGCGAGCAGCCGCGUUGAAUAUCUGUGUUGAGGUUUUUGGCACCGUGAUGUCAAACUCCGCCCAUGGCCUUGUUGCAUCCGAUCGCUGUAACCAGGGCCAUCUUGCUUGCACCGCCUUGUUCAUCCAUCCUAGGUUGGGGAUGCCUAGUCCACCUGCCCACUUCGGGGCGCAGACCGAAUCCCAAGCGACCGCGCAGCUGCCACCGGACGAAUUCGCCUCCGCGCACCAAAGAAAACUGCGUCAUAUUCUGUUCAUUGCUGAGAUUGUCUUCUACGGGAGGCCAAGUGCCAUUAUCGCAUGUAGCGGUAUUGCACACAGCACGGACUGUACAAGGAGCAUUCUUCCACUCUUUGGCAUCUUCGCAGCUUUCCACUUUGGCAACGCCAUGGCAAGUUGAUCCACAAGGCCUGAUAGUUGAACAUGGGACUAUUUUCUGAGGGUGAGCGGCAAUCCAAGGUACUUGCACGGGAAGCUACCUCUCGGACAUCUCCUCUUAUCUUAUUUAAUGGUAACGGACUAGAGUCAAACGAAUUACAAUUUCCAAUUAUGCUAUAGGCUAUAGCAUUGCCCUAGGUUUAGGGUAGAAUAAUAGACUAGAGUCUAUCGAAUUUCAGUCGGCACACAACAACAAAAACCAAGUUCCAAUUUCUGUCAGGCUUGUGUAACCAUUAGAUAUGUGAAUAAAAGUACAACAUGAGCUAUCAUUAUUUUUAACUGCACGAUGUACUAUGUUAGAGGGCAAUCUUGAAUUUGUAGUGAACGGUUUGUUUUAGAAAACCAGGCACAGAAGGUCACAUGCACGCACAUGCACUUACUUCUAUGAACACACAUACAUGUACACCCUAUAAGCAUAUCCGAGAGAGCGUGUCGGCGAGUCUUGUGAUUGAUUGAGUCACCAUAGGAGCCUCGCUAUCGAUUGAAAGAAUAUUUGGUCUCAAAUGAGACUCACAUGUAUGGAACUUGAGGUAUGAUCCGUGAUGGGCUUGACUACAACUACCAUCCUAACUAUUGAACCACCCGUUGGUUCUCAAUUUACAUUACACAGAUGAAUGGUAAUUAACUUGUAGUACUAUUGCAACGAACAGGUUCCUCGCAUAGAAAUAGGGUACACAAGAAUACAAUCACACACAAAAAGAUCUAUUCCAUCCCCUCCGGUAAUGGCGGAUAGGUUGAAGCUUUGUCCCCUCCAUGCUACGCAACGAGAGACCGCGCACUUGCCUCCCAUCUGUCUGGCGCUCCAGUGCCCGGCGGCGGCGAGGGGAGUCUUAGUGAUUCUUUGGGCAGUAGUUUAGGAUAGGUUUCUUAGUCAUCAUAGGGACGACACCUUGGUAAGUGGCCACACUUCAUCUUCGAACUGGUUUUUCAUGUUUCGAUCCUCCUCGAGUUCGUCCGUCGAGACCGAAUCCAGCGCUCUGACGUAGAUUCCUACUAUCUCCUUGUGGCGGUGAGGUUAGGGUUUAUCACUGUGCAUCCAAGAUGGUAAGAUUUGGUGUUAGGCGAUUCAGAUCAAUUUCAACAGUUCAAUGACAACGACAAUAACUCUGAAGCGUUGGCCUUAGGGCUAAGUGCUCGAAGACUUCCUAGUUGUGGUCGACAAGAUUAAGUCAGCUCCAGUAAAGGAGCAGCGACUGCGAUGCGUCGACAACUCUUUCUUGCGGCGGUAGUGAUUUUUCAAUGGCCUUGGGAUCUCGAUGUAAUCUACUAUAUCACUAUGCUCUCUAGGGGUAAAAGGCCUCACAAUCAAUUGAGGUGUCCAAUUGGAAUUGGAUCACCCAAUUUCAACCAAGUCAAUAAUUCUCAAAGCUCUCAUUAAAUUCUGUUAUACUAUACACUAUGCUUCCUGAUUUUUGAGUCAUCACAAUUAACUGAGGUCUUCAAUUUAGAACUUGGUCACCUGAUUUUGACCGGGUCAAUAAUUUCUCAAGGAGCUCUCCCAUUUAAUUAUUUUAUUUCACCAUAUUUCCUAAUUUUGAAGCUCUUUUAUUCGAUUGAGAUAUUCAAUUUUGAAUUUGGUUUACAAUUUUGGUCGGACCAACGAUUUUUCAAAUCAAUCAACACCAAUCGGCUAGAAAAACAUAUCAACCCCGUGCACCCUCUUACCACAUAGAAAAAAGAGACGCCGCCAUAUGAUGAUACGGUAGCACCAAUAUAGUACAUGUAGGCACCGACGCAAAAAUAUACCCACAAAAGUAUGAGUUGAUUACUACAUAACACAGAAUCACACCAUGAAAGACCCACAAAUAACCGCAUUAUAAAUAAAUAUAAAACACACUCCAUCAUCUUCCCCAUCCGCCAAAUUAAAUAUUCCAUCAGUUCCAAAAUACAAGAGGUAUUAGUUCUUUGGAAAGUCAAAUUUCUUUAACUUUGACCAAGUUUAGAGCCAAAAAUAUCGACAUCCACAAUAUUAAGCCAAUUUCUUUUGAAAAUUCAUUUCAUGAUGAAUCUAAUAACUCUAAUUUGAUAUUACGAAUUUUGAUAUAUAUUUUCAUACAUGUGAUCAAACUUAAAAAGGUUGGACUUUUCAAAAAAGUAAUACACCUUAUAUUUUAAAACAGAAUGAAUGACUUUUUAAAAGAUUCCCAACAACACCAAUGGUGCAGCAAAGCGUGCCCAACCCUUCUAGUUCCCAUUAUGUUUUGGACACUUCAUUCUUCUGGUGAACCUUUAUAAUAGAUCCGGGUCCCUUUCACAACAAAAGAAAAAGAAAAUUGAACAUGCUCUUCAAUGAUCUUAACCUUAUGUAGUUUCGGUGUCCCAAUUUGAUUGCUAGAAAAAUAAGUUUUUAUAUCUUUAUUUCAUGCCCAACCAGGCACCACAUAUUAUUUGGUAAUUUAUUAUAGCGCUGUGGCAUUUUCCCAGAAUUUUCCUAUUAGUUGAUGGAACUAGUCGGCGUAAGAAAAGACGACGUAGUCCUUGCGUGCACCAGCCCUGUCACAAUCCGCCAUCUCUUCCGAGCCUAUCCACAUCACCCACAUCAUGUAGGUUGGCGUACAUGAGAUGCCACACGAGCGCCACAGUGCAUCGUAUCUUUUGAUGCCCGCAUAAUAAAAUAUUUCCAGUAUUCUUUGUGUUCCCUCUUUCUCUAUGCAAUGGAACUGUGGCCGCACGGGAUCACUGAGCUAGCCAUAUGUGACAAGAGCCGUAUCUGUGCUUGCAUAAGAGCUAGUCCAGUAGUCGCCAUAGCAGCCCCGCAUAUGCAUACAGAGCAUUUCAUAUGCAUUAUGGAGGCCGUUCAGACAAGACGAAAGUCAGUCUUUUACAAGGGCUGCAUUCGUAUUGUAGGACCUCUAGUCAGUGGCAUGUUCUUUUUUCCUCCAAUCUUCAAUACACAUUUAGUUAAAUGAAUAACAUGUUAAAUCCGAGCACGACGGCGAGGGCUUGGAUGACCACGGGCACGAAGGUGAGGGCGAGGACGAUUCUGUUGGGUAUUGAUUUCGGUGGCGAUAGUGGCAACUUGAUUCCAGCAGUGGUGACUCGAUUCCGACGGUGAUACUCAAACUGUGGAUGCCUGUCAUAAUGCUUUUCACAAUUUCAAGCAUCGCCAUUGAUUUCACGAAUUCACAGCUAGAGCACACAUACAUAGCACAUGAUGACAAACUGCUCGUCCACAUGCACAGAUCCACCCAAUGAUAAAAAUUAUACUAAACAUUUUGGGGACACAUAAGAAAACAAUUAAUGAAAUCGUUGUAUGUCCCAUGAAAUUGUGAGUAUAAGUUUUGACAUCGCUUCACGGUGAUCCCACUCAUACCCGAGAUCAUCACCAGUCUGUCGGCGUGAUAGUGGAGGUUGUGGAUGGCUAGAAGGAAAGUGUAGGCUACGGGCGCCGAGAAGGCAAGUGGAACUUGUGGAUCUUUUCAUAGCUGCGUCUCACACCACCCUGAAGACCAAGGCGGAUCGGCUGUUCAGAGUCUUCACCAAUUUGACCAGGGCCAAGAAGCUACUCCCUCCAUUUUUAUAUAUAAGGUCACUGUCAGAAUUACAAUUUUCAGCUAUAUUAGGUCACUAACAGUAAUCGAGACAAAAUUGAUGGUGUUUGUCUCGUACUAGCAACCAAGGGCAAUAAUAUCCCUUGCAUGCAUGUAGGAAUAAGAAGUUUGGUUUGAAUGCGCUGCAUUAAUCAACCAAUGAGGAGUGAGAUGGUUGUCUUGUUGUGAGUUGAACAGAAAAAUACACAUUAAUUGAUACACCAAAAAAGGAGGAAAGCUAGAUUUCAACAAUGGAUAAAACCGACAUUAAUGUUUACCUUAGUACCUGUAAUAUGAGUUUGCGGCGUUGUAUACAAAAAUGGAAGAAAUAUUAUAGUUGGACCAGCUAGUAACCUUCGGCCUGAAGGAAGCCAUUAAGACAGACGAGAAACUAAGGUCCUGUUUGGUCCAUAAGUCCUAGGAUUUUUUUGAGUCUCAACUAAAAAGUCGCUAGUCCCUAAAAAGUUCCUAUCUGUUUGGUUUCUAGGACUAAACAUAGACUAAAAGACCAUGUUACAACUAAAAAUCCCAAAAAGACUCUUCCUCAGGGUCUUCUUUCAUAAGUUCCAAAUGCCCAUUCUAAGUCCCUAUAAAUCCCUUAUGCUUGGUUUAGAUGGGACUAAAAGGGACUUUUUCAAGUCCCUACAUCAAUAAGUCCAUGUAAACAAACACCCCCUAAGGAGGCGACAGGACGGAGAUCCAGACGGUGAUGCGUGAGCUCGAGAAAAGGGACGAUCUACUCAAGAGUGAAGAGCGCGAAGGAGGUGAUGCAGGACAUGUUCUCAGUCCUUUGGCCCAACGAGCUACGAGCAUCUUUGCCCUUGUCAGCACAAUGAAGCAGGGGCAGUGAGGUUGGGAUUUUUCGUUCCGCAUGCAAGACGAAAAGAUUGCGAUGAUUACAUGCCGUCAACAGCUCGCUCUUGUGACUAUAGUGGUCGUUCAGUGGUUCAAGGAUCUGAUUAUAAUUCUUCAUUAUGGUGAUGUUGAACAUGUAUAUAUGUAUGUAGGUCCGGGUUUUGUAUGAUGCAUCUGUAGUGUCUCUCUCCCCCUUAAUCUACUUGUAUCUUGGAAGACAAGACACCGGUCGCACCCCUUGUACUUAUAUAUGUGCUUAGUGCACGAUCAAUGAGAAUAUCGAUGCACACAAUCCCUCUUUCCCAAACUUACAUGGUUUCAGAUACCGUAUCGAUCCUUUCUUAAUCGCUUCCGCAACCCUAGCCGCCACCAUCUGCUGUUGCCGCCGCUACCACCUCCCCAUGCCCUGCCCCCCUUCCCGCAGCCGCGCCCUCCACCAGCCAUCGUGCCGCCGCCACCCCUUCUCCAACCCUAGCCGCCACCUCCACCCUAGCCGCCUCCCCUUCCCUCGCGCGUCGCCACCAUGUCCAUCGCCUCAUCUACCUCCAACCCCUUUGCCAGUCCAGACCCCGCCGACAUUCGCGACAUCAACAUCCAUGACCGCGUUCUUGUGAUCCUCGAUGCCACCAACUCCACGUACUACACGUGGAAGACCUAUUUCUCGCUCCUUUUCCAUGAGAACAAUCUCGUGGAUCAUGUCGACAGCACCGUCGACUCUCGCGCCAUGGUGAACGACUCCAAGAGGACUGCGAUCGACGCUACGGUCAUUCGGUGGUUCUUCACCACCAUCUUCAAGGACCUGUUUCACACGGUCGUGACUGAUGGGGUUGAUGCACGCGCCAUGUUGGUCAAGCUCAACGGCCUCUUCACCCGACAACAAGCUUCAACGUCGCGUCUUUCUGCAGCAGGAAUUUUUGACUAUGAUCAGGAUGAAUAGUCCAUUGAUGACUAUUGCCGCCGCCUCAAGACGUUGUCGGAUGAGCUCCGUGACAUCGGCGCCAGGAUUGAUGACGACCACCUUCAAAGCACGCUCACCGCCAGCCUCAACGAGGACUUCGGCAACGCCGCCGCCAACCUCACCUUGAUGUCGGAGCCCUCCUUCCCCAAGUUUGUGGCAUACUUGCGGUUGGAGGAGCACCGGAUGAAGGGGGUGACGAAGCGCGUGCAGCACCACGCCCUCACCGCCGGCACCUAUCAUGGCACCCCACCACCACCCGCGUCGUGGCAGCAAACGCAGCCCCCCGCACCCCAGGGGUAUUACCCCCUCCCGCCCGCGCCCCCCACUCCUCUCGCUGCUCCCUAACAGCGGCCUCAAGGCGGCGGGCGGCCCGGCAACCGCCGCCACGGCGGGCGCAAGCAGCAGGAGCAGGCGCACGGGGGUGGCCAGGAGUACGGGGGGCACCUCAUCAGCAAUAGCCCUCCCCGUCGUGGACUUAUGGCACCAACCCGUGGACAGGAGUUGUCCACGCAUACUCGAUGCCAGUGCCCCGGCCCCCCGCCCCGGGCAUCCUUGGGCCCCGUCCGGCGAGGCACCAGGCAAAUCUUGCCGCGCCCUACGCCGCCCCCCUACCCGGCCCUCCCUGCAUCGCCGACCACGGGUGGCUAUGGUGCCGCUCCAGAGCCACCUUAUGGCAGGUUCUACCCUCCCCUGGUGCAGCCGCCGUGGGAUCCCGCCCUCCUCGCCGCCUUGCACUCGGCUCCGCCACCUAGCAACUACGGUGGCGGCGGUGACUGGUACAUGGAGUCGGGCGCCACUGCUCAUAUGACAUUUCAUCCCGAUAACCUUACGUCUUCCACUCCCAUUCAUACUCCCACUCGCAUCACCGUUGGUAACGGUUCCUCUUUACCCAUUACACAUGGCGGGUCAUAUGUCGUUUCCAUCUACUUCUACUCCUAUUAACAUAUCUAAUAUUCUUGUCUCUCCUGACUUAGUCACAAACCUUGUAUCUGUUCAUCGCCUUGCUCGUGAGAAUCCUAUUACUGUCGAAUUUGAUGAUGUUGGCUUCUCUGUGAAGGACGCCCGUACACGGAUGGUACUCCACUGAUGUGAUAGCCCCGAUGAGCUCUACCCGGUGCAUCCCUCUGCCACCACCGCCACCCGUCCAGCCGCCCUCACCGCUAGCAUCGACCUUUGGCACACUCAUCUCGGUCAUCCCAACUCCUCGGUUUUGUGUCAUAUUCUUCAGAGUUUUUCCUUCUCAUGUAAUAAGGUUGACAACCACACUUGUGCGGCAUGCCGUCUCGGUAAGCAUGUUCAUCUUCUGUUAGCGAGUCUACACACAUUUCCACUUUUUCGUUUCAAUUAUUGCAUAGUGAUGUUUGGACGUCCCCGGUUGCAAGCAACACGGGCUAUCUAUACUAUUAGGUGAUAUUCGAUGAUUUCUCUCAUUAUGCGUAGACGUUUCCUCUCCGUCGCAAGUCCGACGCCCUCACCAAACUCACCAUCUUUUAUUCAUGCGUAGACAGUUUGGUCGUCCUAUCCUUACACUACAAACUAACAACAUAAAAGAGUUUGACAACGUCGCCGUCGGUAAUCUCCUCACUUCUCAUGGCACCAUCUUUCGCCUCACUUGUCCUUACACGUUCUAGCAAAAUGGUCGCGAUGAGCGCCUCAUUCGCACUCUUAAUGACUGUGUCCGCACGUUUCUCUUCCACUCCAACGUGCCCCCUCGGUUCUUGCCACUGCCAGCCUCCUCAUUAACAUCCGCCCGGGCCGCCCUCGCUGGAACUAUGCUCCCCACCAGCUCCUCUUUGGUGCGGCCCCAUCUUAUGAUGGCCUUCGCAUCUUCGGGUGCCUUUGUUAUCCUAGCACCGCAUCCACCACUCCUCACAAACUCGCUCCCCGGUCGCUCCCUUGCAUCUUUCUCGGUUAACCGCCCAACACCAAAGGUUACCGGUGCUAUGAUCCAGUGUCCCACCGCAUUUAUACAUCGUGGCACGUGUACUUUGAUGAGCUGGUGUUCCCUUUUCAGCAGGUACCGUCCCUCCCCAUGCAGCCUUCAACGCGUCCCGCGGCGCAGCUUGCCCCCGCCACCACCUACGACGGGUCGUCCCCUUCGUCGAGAAGUGCCCUGGCCCAGGCCCGUCCCGCGCACCCCGCACCCUCUAGCCUGGCCGGCCCUUCCAGAGGCCCCGCAGACAUGGCGGGUUUAGCCGCCCCCUCCAGCGGCGCCUCAGGUGAGGCCCUCUCCACGGACGCCCCUGCCGCCAUGGUCUCCGGUGCCCCCUUGGGUUCUCCCGCCACCGCAGUAUCUGACUCGGUCCCGCCGGGCGCUGCCGCAGAUCUCUCAGCAUCAUUGGAGACCGGCUCGCCCUCCUCAUCGCCGAUCUCCACUUCAGCUCCGCCGACGACGACUGCACCCCUCACCGGUUUGGUCACUCGGGCUCGGACCGGGACGUUUCGUCCUAGCACGCGCUACACCUCCGACGAGUACGCAUGUGUCGCGUCUUCCUCGACCCCGUCUCCGCUACCCACCUCGGCUCGCGCAGCCCUUCGGGAUCCGAACUGGCUUGCUGCGAUGCGUGAGGAGUUUGAUGCCCUACAGCGUAACCGUACGUGGCAGCUUGUACCGUGGCCUCACCGUGCCAAUGUUAUCACUAGCAAGUGGGUUUUCCGCCACAAGACUCGCCCCAACGGUUCCCUCGAGCGCUAUAAGGCACGUUGGGUGGUGCGCGACUUCCGACAGCACGCUGGUGUGGACUUCACGACACCUUCGCCCCGGUUGUCAAACUGGGCACGAUUCACGCCGUUCUCCAGCUGGCUGUCUCUCGCGCCUGGCCAGUUCUCUAGCUCGACGUGUCCAAUGCCUUCUUGCAUGGUCACCUCGAUGAGAAGGUGUUUUAUUAGCAGCCCACUGGCUUCGUCGACAUCGCCUAUCCGGACCACGUGUGCUUGCUCUCCCGUUCUUUUUACGGGUUGAAGCAGGCACCUCGGGCCUGGUACCAAUGUAUUGCGGCCUUCCUCCAGCAGCAGGGGUUCUAGUCCACAUGGUCUGAUAUCUCCCUGUUUGUUUAUCAUGAGGGCGCCGCUAUCGUGUGCCUUCUCCUGUACGUCGACGACACCAUCCUGACUGUGUCCUCGCUAGCGUUACUUCAGCAGAUAACCGCUCGCCUUGGCACCAAAUUUGCCCUCAAGGACUUGGGGGCUCUCCACUACUUCCUCAGCAUCGAGGUCGUUCGCCGUGCCACUGGCUUCUUUCUGCAUCAGCAGAAGUACGCCUACGAGCUUCUGGAGCAAACGGGCAUGCUUAAUUGCAAGCCUGCUUCCACGCCUGUCGAUACGAAGGCUAAGGUGUCCGCCGUCGAGGGAUCCCUGGCGUCCGACGCUCCCUUCUACCGCUCCAUCAUCGGUGCUCUUCAGUAUCUCACGCUAACGCGGACGAAUAUUAAGUAUGCUGUUCAGCAGGUGUUGCUUCACAUGCAUGCCCCUCGUGACACCCAUUGGGCUCUAGUGAAAUGUAUCCCCCGGUACAUACGUGGCGCCAUGGCUAUGGGUCUCACCCUGACGGCGUCCUCUGACACCGGCCUCGUCGCCUACUCCGACGCCGACUGGGCUGGGUGCCCCGAAACACAGCGCUCCACCUCCGGCUACUCUAUCUACCUCAGGCCCUCUCCGAUCUCGUGGUCAUCUAAACGACAACCCACGGUUUCAAAAUCGAGCGCCAAGGCUGAGUACAGGGCUAUGGCUAAGGCCGUCGCGGAGUGCUCCCGGCUCCGACAGCUACUUCAGGAGAUGCUAUGUGAGGUUCCCAAGGCCGCGAUUGUCUACUAUGACAACUCUCCGCGGUCUACCUCUCUGCCAACCCUGUUCAUCAUCGCCGAACGAAGCAUAUUGAGCUCGACAUCCAAUUCGUCCGGGAGCACGUCGCACUUGGUCGUGUUUGAGUUUUGCAUGUGCCCACUGAUCAGCAGUUCACGGUUCGCAGAUGUCAUGACGAAGGGACUACCUACCUCGACUUUCAAGGGCUUUCGGUCCAGUCUUUGCGUCACCGGCGACGCUUCGACUGCGGGGAGGGGGGUGUUGAACAUGUAUGUACGUAUGUAGGUUCGGGUUUUGUAUGCUGCACCUGUUGUGUUUCUCUUCCCCUGUAUCUACUUGUAUCUUGGGAGACAAGACACCGAUCGCCCCCUUGUACCUAUAUAUGUGCCUAGUGCACGAUCAAUGAGAAUAUCGAUGCACACAAUCCCUCUCCCCAAAAUUUACAGUUGAAAUGCUUCGUACUUUUGGUGGAAGCUUAUAAUGAAUCAUGUCCUUUUCGCGAAAUAAAUAAAUAAACUAAACAUGUUCCUAUGUCUUUAUUGUUUCGUCGUCUCACUUGGUUUUGCUAGAAAAAUACUGAGUUUCUAUGUCUUUAUUUCAUGCCCAACCAGACGCAUUAUUUGGUAAUCAAUAAUAGUGAUGCGGCAUUUUUCUACAAUAUCUCCUAGAAUCGGAUAGAAGUAGUCGGUGUAAGAAAAGUCGAUGUAGUCCUUGCAUGAUACUAGGCCGGUCACAAUCCGCCCUCUCUUCCGAGAUUAUCCACGUCAUCUAGAUUGGUGUACAUGAUACAUUGAGAUGCAAUUAUCACUAUGGGUGCGGCUAAUCUGCAUCCGGGCUCAUCUGCACCCACGCUUAGAAAAAAAUUCAAAAAAAAUACCGAAAAAAUUCAAAAAAUUCCAAACUUUUUUGUGGUGGUAGAUAAUUUUACGUGUGAGGUGCGCCCCGAAAUUCAACUCAUUUGAGCAUCUGAGCAGCUCUCGGUAAAAAAGACAAAAUCAGGGUCUGUAAAAAUGUGUAUUGUUCACGCACUGUUUUGACCCCGAUUUGUCUUUUUUGCCGAGAGCUGCUCAGAUGUCCAAAUAAGUUGAAUUUUGGGGCGCACCUCACGCGUCAAAUUAUCUACCACCACAAAAAAGUUUGGAAUUUUUUGAAUUUUUUUAGUUUUUUUUUGAAUUUUUUACUGAGAGGGAGCAGAUGAGCCCGGGCAUCGUUUUGAGUUUUUCUUAUCGCUAUAGUGCAUUCUAUCUUUUGACGUCUGCAUAAUAAAAUCAUCCCAGUAUUCUUUGUGUUCCUCUUUUUCUGUGCCAUGGAACUGUGGCCGCACGGGAUCACUGUAUUUCACUGAGAACACGCAUAUCUGUCCAGAACUUGCAUAGGGAAAAUCUCCCCUCUCAAUUAGCUAGCUUGAGCCAGCAUCAUGUCCACGACAAGGAUUGAUGGACUAUGGCCGAGCUGUCCACGUCAAAGGCACGGGAGUUGAGCAGUACGAGUUGCUAGUUGGGAAAUAUCUGAGUGCACUCGUGCUUGUGAUGCUGCCGGUGCACCGGCUCUCCAUAGCACAUUUUAAAAUGUGAAAAAAAUGGAAACAAUUAAGCACAUCCAAACAACAUCACUAUUUGAUGUCGUAAAUUUUUAAAUCAAAAUUAUCAUUUCUUGAGAUAAAGAAAUGUCAACUUUAACACUAAAUAGUAUAUAAGUUGGGCUUUAGAUUUGAUCCAUUAUCACAUUGAUGUUAAAUUUAUCAUUUCUGUAUCUCGAGUAAUGUUUCUAAUUUUGAUUUGAAAUUUUGUGACAACAAAUAUGGAUGUUCUGGACGGUGAGGUUAGGGUUUCUUGGUGUGCAUUCAAGACGACAAGAUUUCGGCGACUGCAUGGCGUCGGCAACUCGUUCUUGCAGCGGUACUGGUCGUCCAAUGUUCCAGGGAUCUCGAUGUAAUUCUUAAUUAAGCUGGGAUGUUUUUGUACUUCUCGUGAACAUUUAUAAUGGAUCCAAGUCCUUUUCACACAAAUAAAUAAGUAAAGUAAACAUUUUGCUCAGUGGUCUUGGCCUUAUAUUGUUACGUCGUCUUACUUGAUUUUGCUAGAAAAUACUAAGUUUCUAUGUCUGCAUUUCAUGCCCAACAAGACCCACAUAUUAUUUGGUAACUAGAACAGCAUAGUGGCAUUUUUCUACAAUAUUUCCUAAAAUCUAUAUCAGUAUAAAAAUACUCGAAGAGGCGUAUCCAAGUAAUUUCUUUCAUAAAUCCAUGAUAAUAGAAUUACCUAGAUUACUUCCAUGGUGAGCUCUCAACAUGUUUAGUAUGCAAUAAAUACAUAUAUCUAUAUCAAUACAAAUAUAAAAAGACUCAAAUGGGCGGAUCCAAGUAAUCUGAACCAUCAAGUCAGGUUAAUCCAACGACCUAUGCUGCUUCAAUGGUGAGCGCUUAACAUGUUUAGCAUGCAAUUAAUAUCAUACUGAAUAUCAAUAUUAGUGCUAGUCACAUAAUUAAGGCGUAAAUAAUAUCCUAUCAGUAUUUGCAUGCAACUAAUACGUGGUCUAAUAUCAACGUGCAUGACAUGUGCACAUUUAUUAGUAGUAUACAAAAUAUCAAUACCAACACCAAUCACAUAUUACCAUGCAAUCAAUAUCCUAUCUAGUACUACAAUUAAUACCUAAUCCAGUAUCAUCGUGCAAUUAUUAUUCUUUUAAAUAUCAGUGUGCAGGCAAGUACUCCGUCCGUUUCUUUUUAGUCUGCACAUAAGAUUUGGUUAAAGUUUGACUUAUUUUACGGAAAAAAAUAUCAACAUUUACAAUACUAGUGUUAUAUGUUAUGAAAAUUAAUUUUAUGAUACAUCUAAUAAUAUUGAUUUCAUAGUGUGAAUGUUAAUAUCUUUUUCUACAAAGCUAGUCAAACUUUACAAAGUUUGAUUUUGACCAAAUCUUAUAUGCAAACUAAAAAUAAACGGAGGGAGUACGCAUUUACUAGUCGGAUAGAAGUAGUGGGCAGAGAAAAGUCGACAUAGUCACAUUUUACCGUCUCUUUUGAGAUUAUCCACAUCAUCUAGAUUGGUGUGCAUUUAUUUUGCGAAUACGCAAAGCUUGUGUAUCCAUUCAUCGAUAGAAGAAGCUAAAAUGUUAAUGAAGGCAUGGUACAUCACAUGGCAAUACACUAUUAGGGAAAACCUUAUACACAAAACUUUAACAAUAGCGGAUCCUAAAAACAACGCUAGUGCUAAGUAGCAGUAGCACAUUGGUGUAAAGCGCAUUACCGAUAAAAUUGUAGCAGUAGCGCGCCUUCAGAUAACCGCGCUACUACAAAAAUUCCCACGGCUUAGCCGAUGGGCUACACAUAGUAGUAGCGAGCUGCGAAGAACCGCGCUACCGCUACAAGCUUUGUAGCAGCGCGUUUAGGCGGAAACGCGCUACUGAUAUAGGAAAUAAAAUUAAAUAGAAAGAAAAUAGAAAAGUAAAUGAAAAUGAAAAAAAUAGAAAAAGGAGAAAGGAAAAAUUAAAAUGUAAAGAAAAUUAAAUGAAAAAGGGGAAAAGAGAGAAAGGAAUAGCAGUAGCGCGUAUCCAGGAACGCGCAAUAGCUAGCUUAGCAGUAGCGCACUUUCUUGAACGCGCUACUGCUACUUCUAACUUAACCGCGCGAUUCUUUCUUCCCCACGGCCACUUCCCCCAAAUCGAAACUCCUCCGCUGUCGCCGUCGCCCGUUGGCCGCCGCGCGCUCUCCCGUCGCUCUCCGCACACCCUCGACGCCGCCCCCGCCCCCGAAUUCGACGCCGCCCUCGACCACGACCUCGACGCCGGCCCCGACCUCGAUGCCGCCCCCGACCCCGACGUCGACGCCGACCUCCGCCAUGCACCCGCGCCCCGACCACGACCUUGACACCGCCUGCCACUCCCUCGCCGCAGGCACCCGAGGUGAGCACGCCUGCUCCUCCCCCUCUCCUACCUCUGCCUAGGGUUCUUCAAAUUUUAAUUGCAUCAAAUUAGCUAGUUAGGGUUCAUCUAUGGGUGGAAACGAAUCGGAUGCGGAUAUUGCUUAAGUGUAUUAGUCAAUAGCUAUGUGACAUGAAGUAUUCAACUUGUGACAUACAAUAAGUCAAUGAUAAAUAGGUUUAUGAAUAAACAAUAUUGUAAUGCAUAAUAAUUUCUAAGAUCAAUCAUAAAACAAGUAAAAUUUAACCACUUAUUUGAAUUUUAAGUUGGAUAAUUGAAAUAUCCGAUCGAAUACGAAUAUAGGAUAUUUCAGAUUAUCCGCUACCACUUUUUACCCCUAGGUUCAUCAAAUUAGAUGGUAAUUAGAGUAGUUCCUAGGUACUAAUUAGUUAGUCAGAACUAGGUACUAAUUAGGUACUAGUUUGUUUUUAUUUAUAGUAAGUUUAUUUUAGUAAGAACUAGUUGAACAUGUCACUUUUGUUGUUAUUUUUUUAGUUAAAGCAAUUAUUCCCGUAUCGACGUCAACGAUGCCUAUCCCGCAUCCUCGUCAUCGACUCGGCGGAGGACACCUGCUUGAGCAGAUGGGCCAUGUCCGGGACUGGGCUCCGCCGGGCUGAUACUGGGAGGCGCUACCUAGCAGGGGGGCGCAACUUGAUGAGGAGUCAACCCGUCAUUGACCCGAACCUUUUUUGGUGACAGUCACGUGGGCCAGUGACGGUCUAGAGGCUUGAUGACCUCGCGGAGGUGGUGCGUCAUCGUGUCAGCGAGGAGGACACGCACGUCCAUCGCUACUUGGUUGUGUUGGAGCACAGGUUCUGCAAUACCUGGCAGGUUCUCCAGGGAUCACUAGAGCUUUGAUCCUAUGAUGGUUCCUUCUUUUUGGGUGUCCACCGCCCGCGCCGAUACCCGUCGUUCGCUAGGGUUUUAGUUGUAUUAGUGAUACUAUAGGUAUGAUAUUAUUCGGGAUGUUCCAGUGAUAAUAUUCGACGCAAGAGAUGAUUUACUUUUGCUAGUGAUAAUAUUCGACACAAGAUAUGAUUUACUUUUGCUUAUUGAAUGCAUGCUAAAUUGAAUACUUAUUUAUUUUACGAUUUGAUUUUGCUUAUUGAAUGCUCAUGUCAAUAUGAGUCCUAUAAGAUAUUUUGAAAUGUAUAUAUUGUGUUGCUCAAAUAGGAUAUGUGCUUGCCCAAGUGGUCGGUCAUGUUUGCAGGUUACACCUCCGAGUGGCCUAUGUUUUGCCGGAGUGUUGAUUCAUUUUCGUUCCGGCAAAUUUCAGGCGCUCGAUAUGUCCUAUUUUAGCAAAGUCAUGACGGAUUUUUUUCGUGAAUUUUGGCAUGACUUAUGCCAGAAUAUGUAGGAAAUAUCGAGUGCCCUGAAUUUGUGUGUUGAGUAUCCUGGUAGUUGUCUUCGAUCGAUUUUCAAUUAAUGUUUCAACUAUGAACAUAGGAAAUGUCUGACAACGAAAAUGAUUUCAGUAUUUGCAAAUACUGUGAAGACGAGCGCGACCUGUGCGACGGAAUCUUCCUAGAUGAUGAUAGGCGCUUCAGCAUCAAGCUGGACGAGAACUUCGAAGUGGAUACAGUAAGUCACAACGACAAGUCCUUUUUCGUAAUUAAGCAUGACAUCUGCUUCAUUUGCUUCAACUUAUAUUUUUUUUACUAUUCUACUAGCGUAUCCCCUGCCAUGCAAGAGCUUUUGUCUUGGAUAAAAUAGAUUUCAGUCGUAUGAAAACUACUAUGGAGGUAAAGAGAGUUUACUUGAAGAUCGAGUAUGGUUAUACUUUCCACGCAAAAUUAUACAACGCAGACACCUACACCUAUUUUGAAUGCAAAACUUGGCAAGCACUAUGCAAGGCCUAUGCAUUUGAGCCUGAUAUGGUUAUCACCUUUGAUAUUCGUCCGGAAGAUGAUAUUGAAGGUAAUACCGAUAUUUGGGUCGAUGUGCAGAUGCCUCCAGUUCUACCAUUAUGUGAGUGUUCCUCAACCAUAUUUAUGUCUUCGAUAUUGUUUAUUUCAAAAAUAGUUCACAACUAAUUUCUAUUGACAGCUUAUUUCCAUUCAAACAAACAUGUUCAGCGCUUGGUAGACAGGACCUACUACUGUCCCGGGGCUGAAAUAAACUGCUAGGAGAUAAGUCAUUAUGUUUCAUGGCUUGAGAAUCUCCAUACUGUCAAGACAAAUUAUUUUUCUGGACUUAAAAAUCUUAGUACUCAAAACGUGCAACCUAUAGUGUUCGUACCGAACUACGGUCACAUCUAUUUAGGAAAGAUGGUAAGAUUUUUACUAUUUGUCCUCGGUGCAUCUUUUGCAUACAUUAUUUUUUAAGCUAAACUUCAUUGCUAAGUAUGUUACUAUACGAUGUUCUUCAACAGGGACUCCCGAUGAAUGUUGUGCCUCAUUGGAUCGAGACUAAAGGUUGCAUGAGAAUUGUUAGCUUACGGCCAAGACAUCCUACAAUGCACUUUAGUGCAUUCAGGAUUCCUAAUAGCGAGGAAUGCUUAAUAGUGAAAGACUGGAGCAAAAUUGUGAACGAUCGCUGAGAAGUACUAGGGGCAGCAAUCAGAAGAGCAUCCCAUGAUUAGGAGACAGGUUCAUCUGCAUGCUCCAACAUGAUGAAGAAGGAGUGUGACACAUAUUUUAUGCUAUUUUACCUGAGAGAGAGCAGCAGGAGUGAUUAGCUAGCUAGAAAUGAGUUUGAAGAUGAUGAUGUGCUACACUAUGACUAUGAUGAUUAGAUAGCUAGUGUUGGUGGUAAUGACUGAUGAUUAUUAUUAGCUAGUGUUGGUGGUGAUUAGAUAGCUACCGUAGCUAGUGUUGGUGAUGAUUAGCUAGCUAGAAUGAGUUUGAAGAUGAUGAUGUGCUACACUAUGACUAUGAUGAUUAAAUAGCUACUGUUGGUGGUAAUGACUAUGAUGAUGAUUAAAUAGCUUGUGCUGGCAGAUUAGAUUCAAGUGGAGUCAACAUGUGGUGCACAUCGAAAUUACUACUAGUCCAAACUUGAUCAAGUUUGGAUUAGUAGUAUACUUUUGACAUGCACCACAUGUUGCCUCCACUUGAACCUAAUCCACCUUCAUUUGACACACUGUUAUGGACAUAAUGAUAUAAACCUCAUAAUUGGUAUUGUACCAAAAUUUGUAUAACGGCGUAUAAAUAUACUAAAAAUAAAAAAAUGAAAAAAAAAGAAUACUAGUAGCGGUUGACAGUAAACACGCUGCUACUAGCUAGAUUAGCAGUAGCCCGGUAGCGAACACAUGCAGCGGCUAUAUGUCUUAGCAGUAGCGCAUGUGGCACCCGCUACUGCUAAGUAAUAGCUGUAGCGCCUUACUAUUAGCGCGGUGUCCCGCGCUACAAGUGGGCAUUAAACUCGCGCUACUACUAGGGUUUUACCUAGUAGUGCAACCUCAAACUGGCAUAAAUAUAGUGCCCGAAGUAGAAAAAAUUGGGAUGCUCAGCUCAAACAGAAUUGAGUUAAUUGCAUGGAGAUACCACACUUGGGGCAGGUGUGAUGGAUCAAUACCACUAUUCAUUUUUUGCAUGUCGGUACCAUGUCUCGGGCAACUUGUUAUAAAACGGUAUAAACAACGUAUGACACCGUAUUGAUGAUGUAUCUGACCAUGCAGCCCCACAUGUUAGGUGACUUGGUGGCCAAUCGGCGCAUGCCACUCCGCUAAAUAGGACGAUGCCGGCUCGGUUAGUCUUGGAUGGGUCAAACCGAUUCAAACCAUACGAACCCUAGUUCCUCCUCUUCCUCUCCCCAUGCGGCUCUCAGGCGAUGGCGGUGGUGACUCAGGGUGGAGGUGCCGGUGGCUGUAGUAGCGGUGGCGGUGUGGGCGGCUAUGGAGACCUUCUUGGCCUUGGGAGUGAUGCACACGGAGGAAUCGACAGUGGCUACUCUAGUUCUUCAUAUUACUAUAACGACAAUGACGCGUGCAUGGAGCCGCCAUUUUCCAUGGAGCAGCGGGUGUGGCUGGCUGAGAUUUGGGCGGCCAACCCGACCACGAGCCAUCGUUGGACCCACGGAGUGGGUGGCGUGUUGUAAGUUCCUCUCCUGCCACUAGUAGAAAAAGGCCCAUUUGUCCCGGUUCAUGAGGCCAAUUUCUCCCGGUUGACGAACCGGGACUAAAGGGUCGGUACUAAAGCCCAACACCUUUAGUCCCGGUUCGCCCAAGAACUGGGACAGAUGGGCUCCAUGUGGCCGUUGCGGCUUUCCCAGGCAGGAGGGCCUUUUGUCCCGGUUGGUGCCACCAACCGGGACCAAAAGGCUUCCACGGGUCAGCNNNNNNNNNNNNNNNNNNNNNNNNNNNNNNNNNNNNNNNNNNNNNNNNNNNNNNNNNNNNNNNNNNNNNNNNNNNNNNNNNNNNNNNNNNNNNNNNNNNNNNNNNNNNNNNNNNNNNNNNNNNNNNNNNNNNNNNNNNNNNNNNNNNNNNNNNNNNNNNNNNNNNNNNNNNNNNNNNNNNNNNNNNNNNNNNNNNNNNNNNNNNNNNNNNNNNNNNNNNNNNNNNNNNNNNNNNNNNNNNNNNNNNNNNNNNNNNNNNNNNNNNNNNNNNNNNNNNNNNNNNNNNNNNNNNNNNNNNNNNNNNNNNNNNNNNNNNNNNNNNNNNNNNNNNNNNNNNNNNNNNNNNNNNNGUUAAUUUAGGGGUUUCAUAUAUUGUGUUAGCUAGCUAACAGAGAGAAGUGUCCUCUCUUAUCUCCGUGCUAGCUAAUAUAUUAUGUUAGCUAGUUAAUUUAGGGGUAUAUAUAGGCACAUCAUUGGUCCCGGUUCGUGGCUUGAACCGGGACUAAAGGACACCCUUUGGUCCCGGUUCAAGCCACCAACCGGGACCAAUGGUGGUGGGCCAGGAGCGAGGCCCAUUGGUCCCGGUUCAUCCCACCAAACAGGACCAAAGGGGCCAGAAAAAUCGGGACCAAUGCCCCCACGAGGCCCGGCAAGCUCCCCGGCCUCAUGAACCAGGACCAAUGCCCCCAUGGGUCCCGGUUCGUGACUGAACCGGGACUAAUGGACUUAUCUGGCUUGAACCAAAGCCCUGUUUUCGACUAGUGUCCCUUCUUUCUAUCUUCAUUUUAUGCCAUACUUGGGGGCUAGGGUUUACUGAAAAUGUACAAAUUUGCUGUCACUUGUAGUUUAGAUAAUGAUGUUUGGGGUGUUAGGAUUCACUUUGAUGCUCAGCAUAAUUUGGAUAGGCAGAUAUGCAACUCAUAUGUCACAUUUCUGAAUGUGUGUGCAUUCUUGCAAAUGCAAGGAUUUACUUUGUCAGAUAAACUGUACCACAUGGAUAAUCCAGGCAUAGGAGAGCAGAGAGAGCAUGUCUUAGAAUUGGUAGACACAAACAUCAAAUCGCGGCAACUUAAGAGGCAGUAUGAGGAGAGUAGAGUUCUGAAUUUUUUAGUGAGGGCAACAACACCUGACAGUACUAUAUCUCACAGAGAAGAAGAAUUAGCCGCAAUUGUAUAUGAAGCACCUCUUAUGUAUGAUCUCAGUGAGCUUGUUGUGCUUGUUGUUGAUGAUCAAGGUAUUGUUUUUGAGAGCCAGUGCAACAGCAGUAGUGAAGUACAACCUCCUGAUAUGUGCACACAAAAGAGCAGAAAUGUUUGUAAGUAGAAGCUCAAAGCUGUGGUGGAAGAAGUAGCGGAGAAGGGAUAUACGAGUACUGAUGACUCAGAGGGUGCAACAACCCAAAGUAAACUAAAGAACAUCAGAGCAUCCGCAUUGCAAACUAAUCUCCUGGACAAAUAAUUUAAGAAAUGAACUUUACAAAAAGUACAACAGCUAUAAUGCAUUGAACAUUGAGCAUCUACACUAAACAAUCAUCGAGUUGCCCAAUUAAACAAUGAGCACCUUCACUGCAAACUAAACUCUGGGUCAAAUAUAAAAUUAACAUCUUCUUGCCAAAUUAAAUAUACAAGGAGUGCAUGAGCACAUGCCUACACAACUUACUCAAAUGAUGAGCAUCAGUACUACUAAAUGGCUAAAAAAUGACCACUAGUACUACUAAGAGCAGAAUCUUACUUGCUAGCACAAACUAGUACCAAUUUUAAUACAGAGAACAUGCUACUACCAAUUUUAAUACAAGCAAUAGAGAAUACACAGAAUCGUACUCUCCGAGGACAAACUAGGAACCUCCCGCCCAUCUCAAAUCCUUCACAGACUACAUGCCUCUCAGCUGGCAGAAGAUGGAGCUCGCAACGAACAAUGGGUCCUGUCUCAAUGCCCAUGUAGUCUUGGUCUUCAAUGCUAGCAGGGAUCUAUAGGAGAAAAAUAAACCAAAACCACGAAAUCCAAAAUCAAAUCCCCACUAGUAGAAAAUGGGCCUUUUGUCCCGGUUCCAAAGGGCCUUUAGUCCCGGUUCAGGAACCGGGACAAAAGGGUCGAGACUAAAGCCCCCCCCCCCUUUAGUCCCGGUUGUGUUACGAACCGGGACUAAAGGCCCUUCACGUGGCCGCUCUCUGGAGCUUCACCUUUAGUCCCGGUUGGUAACACCAAGCGGGACUAAAGGUUGUUUUUUUGAAAUUUUGUUUUUCUGAAUUUUUUGAAAAAGAAAAUUGUAUUUUUUUUGAUUUUUUUUACUUAUUUUUAAAUUUCUGAAUUAUUUGACAAUUCAGUCUCUAAUCACCCAUCAUCACUGCUCAAUUAUGAACCACUCAUUCCAAAUCAUCUAACUUCUCGACCGGUCACUCAUCCUCUCACUACUCUAGCCUGAGCACGCUUAACUUACUAGUUCUAUUCCCCCUAGUUUUCAAGUCUGCACUUGUUGUUUUCCUGACAAUACUAAGUUGUCAAUCCUAUUAACCCUUAGGAGUUGAACUUGAGCAUUAAGCAUCGUUUGAGUUUGAAACUAUUAUUCUAAAAACAAUAAUUAUUUAAUAACAUUAAUAUUUCUUGAAUAAGUAGUUUACCAUAGUUUGACCACAGUUUGACCAUAGUUUGACCACAGUUUGCCAUAGUUUGACCACAGUUUGACCAAAAGUCAAAAAAACUAAAAAUAAUUAUUUAGUAACACUAAUAUUUCUUGAAUAAGUAGUUUGACCAUAGUUUGACCACAGUUUGACCAGAUUUGACCAAAAGUCAAAAAACUAAAAAUAAUUAUAUAUUAACACUAAUAUUUCUUGAAUAAGUAGUUUGACCAUACUUUGACUAGAUUUGACCAUACUUUGACCAGAUUUGACCGUAGUUUGACCAUAGUUUGACCAAAAGUGAAAAAAAACUAAAAAUAAUUAUUUAUCAAUAUUAAUAUUUCUUGAAUAAGUAGGUUGACCAUAGUUUGAUCAGAUUUAACAAAAAGUAAAAAAAACUGAAAUUGAGCAUAUAUUUUUUUUCCUUUCACAAUUUGAGGAUUCUAAAAAUUUGCAAACAGGCCUAUGGCUGUCAAAAUCAGAUGCGGACUUUCGUGAUGAUUUUUUUGAUGUAUUAUGCGUUUCUUUUCGACAUCUUAUGCAAAAGAUAUGGCCGUUUUACAUUUUAUAACACCUUUUUGCAAAAUAUGUCCAAAUUUAAGUUUUUUAAUUUUCCUAACUAAUAGAAGUAGUAACAUAACUACAUCUCGAAGGAUUUCAAUUUUUGAAGAUUUUGUCAUUUUAUUUUUGUUUUUUACAAACUGAAAAGGCGAUAAGGGGGGGGGGGGUAGAGUUUGAACUUUUAGUCCCGGUUUGAGAAAUGAACCGGGACUAAAGGGCAUCACACCCUUUAGUCCCGGUUCAUGUCUCAAACCGGGACUAAAGGUCCCAUUUGAACUGGGACUAAUGCCUUCCUGACGCCUUAGCCGCUCGAACCGGGACUAAUGCUCACAUUAGUCCCGAUUCGUGAUGCAACCGGGACUAAUGUGUACAUUGAGCUGUGACCAAUGCCAUGUUUUCUACUAGUGCCCCAAAGCAGAAACCCUAACCCUAGCUCUACCACUCACCAUCUACUGCGUGCCAUUAGAGGAGUUGUUGUACUACAUGUUGGAGUAGUCGUCGCUGCUCUCAUCCUCAUCCACCAUGGUGUGGAGGCGGUGGCGGACUACACGAAAGUCGAUGGCGAAUCAGAGACAGGAGGGCGGGAGCAAGAGAGGGGACUAGGGUUCGAGGGGAGUUCGUCCGGUUCGAAUCGGUUCGACUGGCGCACAUACACCGACCGAGCUCGCUUCGUCCUAGUCAGCGGAGUGGCACACGCCCAUUGGCCGUCGUGUUACCUGAAAGGUGAGACCGCACAGUCGGAUACAGUGUCAAUACGACGUCAUACAGUGUUUAGACCGUAUUGUAACAAGUUGCUCCAGACAUGAUAUUGACAUGAAAAAAACAAGCGAAUAGUAGUGUUGAUCUGUCACACCUGUCCGGAGUGUGGUAUCUUCAUGCGAUGAACCCAACAAAAUCUACAACACAACGAGUCUGUUUGGAUCCAUGGGUUAGAGUUAGUUUGGACUCAACUAACCUAAAAAUAUCCAAACAGGAGGGUUAAUUUGGGUUAUAGGCAUCUAACCCUCCCAAAAAAAAACCACCCAAGAGGUGCUUAUUUGGGUUAGUUUUCCUCGGGACCACUAAAAAGCACAUUUUUCUCUUGCUUUCUCCACAGCAGAUCCCUCCUCACUUCCUCAAAGCUUCUCGUCCUCUCCCUCCCUCCCUCUCGCACCACCCUUGAAAGUGCCUCGCCAUAUCCGCGCUCCUGUCCGCCGCCGGUAAGUAGCCCCGCCCUAUCCUCCAGUUCCAACCCCCUCGUCUCCUCGGGGCCCGUCCACCCGACUGUAAGCAGUCGCGGCUCCUUGCGCGGCCCGUCCCCGUCGGCCUCGGCCGGCGCGGCUCCUUGCGCAGGAACGGCGGAUUCGGCCGGCGGGCUACGCGAGAGGCCAGCACGGCUCCUUGCCGAGCGCAUCCCCGUCUGCCUCGUCCACACCAAAUCCGGCAGAAAAUAGGAUCCAAAGUAGCCAAAUGAUUGAGAAAGAGCAUUCAUUGACAAUCUAACCCUGCCAUCCAAACACCUCUUUAGAUAGAGUUAGUUCGGGAUCAAUUCAGGAUUAGAAUCUAACUCUAACUGAGUUACAGUAUCCAAACAGGACCAACAACGCAAAACUAUCCUGACCAAGACGAAGAUGGGUGUGCAUGAGAUGACACGAUCGCCACAGUGCAUUGUAUCUUUUGACGUCUGCAUAGUAAAACUACCCAGUAUUCUUCGUGUUCCAUCUUUUUUCUGUGCCAUGGAACCGUGGCCCCACGAGAUCACUGUAUUUCACUGAGAUUAGGCAUAUGUGACAGGAACCGUAUCUGUGUUUGCAUAGGGAAAUCUCCUCACUCUCUCUCUCUCUGACUACUCAAUUACCUCUCCGGCAUCAUGUCUACGACAAGCAUUGAUGGACUAUGGCCGAGCUGUCCAUGUCAACAGCGCUUGAGUUGCUACUAGCGCCUGCGCCCAUGCCACCCACGAGUAUACAGUAGCAUUGCCCUAGGUUCCAGGGGGAAUCAUCCACAAGCAUUCAUGGACUAGGGCCGAAUCUGUACACGACAACUAGAGUUGAGAAGGAGCGGUGGCCAGCUCUGAGUCCUUUGCGCCCACGGGUUUGCGUCGGCACACAACAACAAAAACCAAGAUUGAACCGGGAGUCAGAGCAUCUCCAACAGCCGCGCUAAACUAGCGCCGCGCCGCAAAAUAGGCCUUUUUAGCGCGCGCGCAAUGCGGCGGCUCGCUCCAGCGUGCGCGCAAAAACGGCGCGCGCGCAAUAACGGGUUGGGCGCGCGGUCAAAAACACUUAUCCGCGCGGUGUAUUUGGAGCGCCAGCUACAGCGCGCGGCACACUAGAGCACUCGCGCCCGCACUCUCUCCCUCUCCUCCUCCUACGCCCCGCGCGCGCCGGCGCCGGCGCCCUGCCCCCCGCCAUGGACGCGCACACCGGCGCCCCGCUCACUCCGCUGUACAUCCGCGACCCCCCCGCCGCCGCCGCCGGAAACCCUAGCGCGGCGAGCGCUGGCGUCGCCACCGCCGGAGCUCCGCCGCCUCGCGCGCAGUCUCUUCUUGCCGCCGCGGAUGACUACGGCGCCGGCGCCGGGUGGCGUCGCGCCGGCGCCAUCCCGUGCCGCCGCCGCACCGUCGAAGAAGGUACCCAAUGCGGCGCGGGCGAAGAAGGGCAAAACAUCCGCGAAGAAGAACAAGGCGGCGGACGGCUCCGACAUGGCGAGGGGGAAAAAGCUUGCAGGGCGUCCGCGAAGAAGAACAAGGCUCCGGCAGGCAUGGGUGCACCUCCGGCCGCCAUGGGUGCACCUCCGGCCGCCAUGGCUUCUCACACACAUUCCCAUGAAGAUGCCGUUGAAGAUCUUGCCAACACCGUCGGAGCUUCACAUGAUGCGGUGCGUGAUGCGGUGCGUGAUGAAGAUAGGGAGGAAGGUUCAUCUUCGGAGGCGGAAGAGUCGUCUUCGGAAGAGGACGAAGACGAAGAAGAGGAAGAUGAAGAUGAAGCUUGAUGUGUCUUUCAUGUCUUGAACUUUUAGUUUGCAUUUGAACUUGGUUGGAUGAACUUGUGGGCAUGAUUUUGAUGAACUUGUGGGCAUGAACUUUUAUUCAUCAACUUGUUUGUGUCAAAUUUUACAUGUUCAUUUUUGUCCAAAAUAUCCAUAUAUGCAAAAUGCCCGGCGAGUCGCGCGCGCUGCUGGAGCGGCAUUUCAAAACCAGCCGCAGCGCGCGCUAACAGGUUUUUUGCGCGCGGCGCUUUAGCGCGGCCGUUGGAGAUGCUCUCAGUCGUGGGCCUGGUGGCCACGGACUAAUAGUACUGUAGUAGUAGUACUGAAUCACUUGCAACACGUACGCAUGCUUACCACGCGCGCGCGCACACGCUAUAAGAUGAGACGCACCGCCCAGCAGGUUUCUUACAGAGUAGCUGCGUUCGUGUAUACAUAGCAUAUAGCAAACCACCACUGAAUCCAUCAUCCAUGGCGAGAUGCUGGCUGCUGCUCGUCUUCAUGGCGUUCAUCUUGCCGGCGGCGAACGCGACGCCGUGCCACCCUGACGACCUCCACGCUCUGCGGGGCUUCGCCGGGGAGCUCGGCGGUGGGGGAGCCCUCCUCCGCGCCGCAUGGUCCGGCGCCUCGUGCUGCGGCUGGGAAGGUGUGGGCUGCGACAGCACCAGCGGCCGCGUCACGGUGCUGCGGCUCCCCUGGCGCGGCCUGGCGGGGCAAAUCCCUGGAGGCUCUCUAGCGGGCCUCGUGUGGCUGGAGGAGCUCUUCCUCGGCUCGAACCAUUUCGUGGGCGUCCUCCCAGACGAGCUCUUCGGCCUCGUCAAGCUAAGGAAGCUCUCCCUCGCAUCCAACGAGCUCACCGGCGAGGUGAGCCCACGCCUCGGUGAGCUCACACACCUUACCUUGUUGGAUUUGUCUGCUAACCGCUUCUCCGGCCCCCUGCCCGACGUGUUCGGUGACCUCACGUCGCUAGAGCAUUUGGCCAUGCAUUCUAAUGGCUUCUCCGGCUUCUUGCCACCGUCUCUUUCAUCACUAUCUUCUCUCCGUGAGCUCAACCUCCGAAACAACUCCAUGUCCGGUCCGAUUGCUCGUGUUAGCUUCUCCGACAUGCCACUUCUUGCCUCGCUUGACUUUUCCACAAACUCCCUGACUGGGUGGAUCCCGACUAGCCUCGCCGGCUGCGGUGAGCUCAAGUCGCUCAACCUUGCCAACAACAUAUUGGUCGGCACCAUCCCGUCGUGGAUUGGUGAGUUUGACAACCUUUGGUACUUGAAUCUCUCAAAUAAUUCAUUUGUCGGCGAGGU
rnacentral:lncRNA from 1 species